AAGGAACAAGUUUAGUUUGUGAAUGCUCAAGUAAUUGAAAGCAAUGCAAUUGAAGGAAAUAUAAAGCAAUCAUCAUAAUAUUUGACAAUCUUGAGAUUUUAAAAAAGUCGGGAAAAUAGACAAAUAAUGAAAAUAAGGUAAAUAAACAAAGUAAAACAGGGCAAAUAUUUACCAUUACACGUACAUUUUUCAUUUUUUAUUUUUCCAAAAACGAAUGUUGCCAUUACUAAUCUAGAAUGUCAGCUAUUGUAUAUAAGCACACUACCACACGUUGUGCUUUCUUUUUUUUUACCUCCCCUUUUAGUAGUUGAAGUUACUAUAAAUAGAGUUUCCUCUCACUCUAGGAUAUUUGCUAUGGUCCUGCGAUUUGUAUUCUUUUAUGUGAGAUUGAUUUUUUCCUUUAAAUAAAAUUUUGGGAGAUGGGAAAUCUCAUCUACUAAAUACAAAUUUUGAAUUUUAUUAUUAUUUAACCUAGAUAAUUAGGUAACUAAAGUGCAUGCAUAACUAGUGAGACCGUGCCUUGCUAAAUAUAUGAUUCUAAUUUUGACUUUGAUUUCAAUUUUCGCUGAACAUAUAUCUAUUCCAAAUAAAGAGUUAAUGCACUUUUCACUUCUCUGCCAAGGAGGUCCUAGGGAAACUAACAACAGCAGAAAAACAAAUAAAAAAUCUGAUACAGGCGUAGAAUAUACACAAAUAAGUAUAUCUUGAGUUGCGUAUAUACACAAGUAAUGUUCUGCGGAUCUGUAGAAGCAAUCUCAACCAUCCAAUGUUUUUUAAAUUUUAAUGAACAUAGAUUUUAAAUGUUGGACAGUUUCGAAAAAUAAACUUAGCAAAAUGAUAUUAUUAACAAAUAAGGAGCACAAAGGUAAUUAAUCUUGGUGUGAAAAUAUUUUCAUGGGUGUACUAAGAAAAAAAACAAAGAUAAUAGAAGGAAAGUUAUUGAGAAGUAUUUUGGUAUUUACAAAAGUGUCAUCGCCUUUUUUUUGGCUCAUGAAGUUGACUGUUGUUUGUUGCUGCUGCAUAAUUGGCUUUGGGCUGCCAUAGAGUGGUUGUGCUGGUGUUGGUAGGUUGGAUUGGUUGCAACUUGUAAGAUGUACACUUUUUGGCAGUGUGUCCUUGAAUCCUGUAGAGUUGGCAAAAGCCAAGGUAGGGACGUUGCUGUCGAUUCAAAUUGUUGUUUUGAGAUUGUCCUGGAUUCCGAUUGGUGUUGGUUGAACUUUGAUUGGCAUAGUUGUUACUAUUGCGCCAGUUGUUAUUGGUGCGAGUUGAAACAUGAGCAGUGAUGGGGAAGACAGUUUGUGGUCUCGUGAUGUUGAGCGUGGCUUCAAAGUUGAGGAGUUUCUCAUGGAGUUCUUCAAAGGAGAUUGGAGUAUCUCUUGCUUGAACAACUCUGACUAACUUUUUGUAGUCAUCACCAAGUGUCUCUAGGAUCUUAUCGAUGAGGUCAUCAUUAUCAAAUGGUGACCCAAGUAGAGCUAACUCAUCAGCUCGUGCCUUUACAUUUUGCAGAAAUUCAGUGAUUGAUUCAGGUCCUUCAGUCAUUUGUUUGAUUUGAUUUUUGACUUGCUUGAUUCGACCACGUGAGGGUUUGGCAUAUGUGUUGGCAAGUGUGGUCCAAGCUUCUUGUGAUGUUUUGGUAUUAGCAAUAAACGGGAUUAUAGAGGGAGAGAUUGAUCCAAUGAUUGCAUUUAAAAUCAAUUGGUCUUGUCGGAUCCAGAGAGUAUAUGCAAGAUUUGGGGAUGUGCUGUUGUUGGCUAUUACAGUUGUAGAAGGGCAUGGUUUAGAGCCAUCUAUAUAUCCGAGGAGAUCAUAGCCAACGAAAAGUGUUUGGAACUGUAACUUCCAAGAUAGGUAAUUGGUGGUAGUUAAUUUGAGAGGAGUUUGAGCUGCGACAUUGAUGGUGAUGAGUGUGUUGUUGGAAUCAUUGGUGUUUCAGAUAGUAGUGUUUGAAUGAUUGCUUGCCAUUGCAAGAAUUCAGUAGAAAGAGGGAGAAGAGAAAAGAAAAAUGGAGAGCUUUAAUGCCCUGAUACCACAACAGAGUAAAGGAUUUUGAGUGAAUACUUUUGCAUUGAUUGUAAGACUUUAUAUACAGCAAUAUACAUAACAACCUUGCCUAUUUUAAGAGAUUAGAUAACAGAAAAAUAUAUUUUACAUUUGAAUGAAUUUGAGUGAUAAACUAGAUAGUUCCCAUAUAUUAGGAGGAGAAUCUGCAGACAUAUCUAAUUUACUCAUUCAAACUCAAAAUCCUUUACUCUGUUAUAAUCUGGGUCUUUUAAUUAUCAUCUAACUAAUGCAUGUGCACUAGUUUCAUUUAUGUCUAUCACUGAAGAGUAAUGUUGCUUGGUUGAAUAGUGUCAUAUUACAUCACAGAAUUAAACUCACUCGAUUUUCAUUGCCACAUGUAGCUCAAAAGUGCAUGAACAUUGACCAUUCAUCUAACUUAUACUAAUUAAUCAAUACGAAUAUCAGUUCUUAGUACCCGGCAACAUCCGUCCAUUAGAGUGAAACUCCCAAUGAUUUCAUCUACACAAAAUAAAUAUCGUAUGUACUUUGAAUAUGAAGUUUCAGCACCUGAGAAAGCUAGCCAUUACUUACAUAUUGCAGCCAUCCACCCCAACAAGAAAUCCAUUAAUCUACGGUUAAUUUGACACAAGGUAUGAUUUUGCAAUGGCCAAUUGUAUAUAGUCGUAUGGUAUUUCCAUAUUAUAAAUGCUCCUAAUGAAAAUGAAGCAAGUACAUAAUACUACUACUAUGACAAAAUUUUCAUGAUUGCCAACUGUCAAUACCAGCUACCUCUUAUACGUGCCUUAUUGAGCAUGGAAACACCUUAUAUUAUAAUUUCCGUUCACCAUAGAAUAAGUUCAGGGCCAUUAAUUCAACAAUUACCAAACCAAUAUCCCAACAAUGGUUUGAUUAUUAAUCUCAGCAAUAAAAGUUCCGCAAUAUAAAUUUCAUUCUCUUAUGCUGAGUUGCUUAUUGAGAUGAUGAAUACUCAAGGGUUCUUCCUCGAGAAAUUUCAGCAGACACCUGAUUCAUUCUAUCAAAUAUUAGCAUCACUAAUCACUAAAUGAUAUAAGAUAGUUCUGUUUUGAAAAAUCAAUAUAAAUCAAUUAACUUAGAUUUUCUUAGUCUUGGAGCACAAUGCGUGAUGAUUUGAUGAGAAAUAUUAAUAUGCAUGCAUCCCCCUGCGUUCGUUAGAGCUGCUUGACACUUUCUUCUUUCUUUCUUUUGGGUACUGUUUUAUAUUUUUAAUCAAUCAGAUUGAGCUGCAUGUUUGCUUUUAGUCCAAACUGAAAUCAGACAUUAAGUAUUUUUGCUAGAAUGAAUGCAACCAAGAUUCUAUGGGAUAUGUAUGAAGAUGAUGUAAUAAAGUGCUUUUGAUAAAUUUCCCUGGUCGGUUUACUUCACUAACCUCAACAAGCAAAUUCUCCCAAUGACCCUCAAACUCUUGUGCACAAUUAAAAUAAUUUCAAUUUUAUAUAUACAAAAAUAAGAAACUCUCAAAUAUACUAUUUGAUAAUCACAAAAAUAACAAUUCACUCCAGUAAAUCAUAUUACAUUCUAUAUUGCAAUUCUUUUUAAAUUUAAUUUAAUAUUUUAUAUUAAAUAAAAUAAAAUAAAUAAUAUUAUUAUAUUUAACUAAAUAAUAAUUUGCAUUAAUCAUAAGUUAAAAUUACUUAAAAAUAAUAUUAUUAUAUUAAUAGAGAAUUAAUAAAAAUUACUAUAUGCUAUCUUUAUUUAAUAAUAUAAUAUUAUUAUAUUUAUUUUAAAAAUAAUGGUACCAUAUUUAUUUAAUAUUAAUAAUUAAUAAUAAUAAAUAGUUUAUUCUAAGAAAAUAUUAAUUUUGCACUAAAUAAUAUUAUAUUAAUAAAUAAUAAAUUUAAUAUAAUUAUAUUAAAUAAAAUAAAAUAAUGUUUCAUUUUAUAUUUACCCUUCUUUUUAUUAAAUUUACUAUAAUUAUAUUUAACAAAUAUUUAAAUAAUAUUAUUAUAUUUAACUAAAUAAUAAUUGGGUUUGACUCUAAGUUUAAUUUACUUAAAAAUAAUAUUAUUAUAUUAAUAGAGAAUUAAUAAUAUUACUAUAUACCAUCUUUAUUUGAAAAUAUAAUAUUAUUAUAUUUAUUUAAAAAUAAUAGUAUUGUAUUUAUUUAAUAUUAAUAAUUAAUACUAAUAAAUAAUUUAUUCUAAGAAAAUAUUAAUUUCAUACUAUGUUAAUAGUAAAAAUAUUUCAUUUAUAUUGCCCUUAUCAACAAUUUUUAAUUUAUAUAAUUAAAAUUAAAAUUAAUAAAAAAUUGUGAUGUUCAUAAUUAAGAAUAUUAAUAGUUAUUAUAAAUUUACAAAUAUAAUAAAAUAUAUGUUUAUUCAUUAAAAUAUAUUUUUUAUUAACUUUGUAAUUAAAAAUUAUAAUUCUUUAAAAUAAAGAUAAAAUUGUAAUUUGAAACUAUUUACUCCCAAUCCAAGACAAAAUAAACACAUGAAUUGGAUUCUAAUCUUCAUUUCAUGCUUCCAUUCCAGUGCAAGUAAGCAAUCUACUCUCAAUCCCACUCCACACUCCCACUCCUGAGGAUUCUCACUCUAAUCUAAAAAGUAAACGCUACCUAAGUGUAAACAGUUCCACUUCAGAUAUAUAUAAUGAUGAUGAAAUUUUGUUUUCUCUGAACAAUCAUUGUAGUGUUUUAUAAUGAGUAAUUGGCUCAAUAUUAAUACAAAACUAUUUUAACAUGUGACAUAUUCUAUCGUAGUGCACUUCAAUACAGUCUUUUAACUCAAAUAGAAAAGUUUCCAUUUUCUGCAGAGCAAAAUCUGAACAAAGGUAACAGGAGGUGAUCGUGGUGAAAUUGUUUUUGGGCAUGCGAAUCUAUUGACUUUCGAAUACGUUCAUUCAAAUAUUAAAUGCAAAUUAAUUAAUUAUUAAUUUAUGGAUUUACGUUAUACAAAUUGUGCGCCGUGGCGGGAUGGCAAAAACUGCAAUCAUGUGCCAUUAACAUGGUUAAUGUCAUCGAGAUGACAUGGUUGUUAUUUAUGAAAAGAGAAUUGCUGGAAAUUUUGUUAAUCCACUAUUGCAACAAUAUAUUGUUAUAAAUUGCAUUGUGUAACGUAUGUGAACCGAAAAAAAAAAAAGGCGGUAAAGUAAAAUAAAUAAAAAUAAAAGAAGAAGCUGGAAACAGGGAGAACACAUACACACGUGUGAGAGAGAAGAAGAAGCUACCAAAAACCCGACCCGUACCCCAGAACCGAACCGGUUGUAUUUCACGAUUCCGGCCACCUCACCGGCCGAGCAAGGUAUCAAUUGGAAGCUUAAAGACUGGCCAUUAUAUCCCAGCCGUCAGCGUCGCAAAAAACCCACCGGAACGCCGCCGUUUGUAGCACGAAAAACUGGCCAUUCCCGUCACCUGAAACGGCCGAAUUGCCAUCGACCGGCCACUUAGAGGCUCACGGCUGUGGGAGCUCUAUCCACCGCCAUCGUCGCGCGUGGGACGUCACUGCUGGCACCGUUGGAUAUAAAUCAAUCACCAUAGAUUCUCUUUGUCUCAGAACACAAUGGGUGAUGAUUUGAUCUGCAUUCGUUAGAGCUGCAGUUCUUUCUUUUUGGUACUUUUUUAUUUUCAUUCAGUCAAAUUCAGUUGCAAUCAGAUAUUAAGUAUAUUUUCCAGAAUGGAUGCAACAAAAAUUCUAUCUGAUCUGCAGUUCAUGAAAAGUGGCCGAAUGCUUCCGGCAAUUCAGGCAAAUAGAAGCUUGGUUGACUGAUUGCUUUUCGUGUGAAAUUCUACCUAAUGGCUAUCCUUUUAAUGGUUUAAAUUCUUCUUUUUUUUUUCUUUGAACUGUUGAUUUAUACUGUCUUGUAUGCAAAUUAAAUUCGGAAUUUCGGAUGAUAAUAAUCUUGAUUUAGAACAGAUUCGGUAACAUGUGGCAUUCUACAUUCUUGCAAUGCCAUUUCUUGUUAUGGCAGCAGCAUUUUUUAUCAUCGUUUCUAGAGAGAAUGAAGAGAGAGAGAAAGUUUCAUCUUAUUCCUUGUUAGUUUCUCCGUGUGAGCUCUGUAAAAUUACUUUGAAUCAUAAAUAAAACUCAUUUUGGUCGAUUCUCCCUUGGAUGUAAGUUGUGCCUCAUUGCACAGCUGAACCACGGAAACAGUGCUGGUUUCUGUGUGUGAUUGUUUGUUAAUCUUGCUUAUUUCUUUUUUCCUAAUGGCUGAAAUCUUGCUUUAAGUUCUCAAGUCAUCUAUUGAGUUCAUCGAGGUCAUUCAAUUGUUCAUAUGUAGCUAGUUUGAUCUUGAACAGGGUCUUGGGCAGUGUUUUGAUGGCUUGAUUAGCGGCUAUCUUGACAGUACAAUUGGUAUCAGAACUAGUUCUUCAGAUCAAGAUCCAAGUAUGGCUACAUCAAAGAUUGAUCUCGAGAAAUUCAAUGGAAAGAAUGACUUUAAUAUACAAAACUUGUAUCUAAUGGCUUACAUUUGGAGAUGAUGUAAUAAAGUGCUUUUGAUAAAUUCGCCUGGUCGGUUUACUACUUCACUAACCAUUAAUCAGCAAAUCCUCCUAGUGACCCUCAAACUCUUCUACGCAAUUAUAAUAAUUUCAGUUUUAUAUAUACAAAAAUAAACAGCUCUCAAAUAUGUUAUUUGAUAAUGACAAACACAACAACUCACUCCAAUAAAUCUCGUAAUAAAUACAUGGUCUCUAUAUUGCAAGUCUUUUUAGGACUCAUUCAAAAAGAAAACUUAGGGAAUGGCAUUGCAAGAAUAUGGAAUCAGAAUAACAGUGAUACAAAGAGAAAAAAAAGGGAUGGUCUGAUUGCUUUGUUUGCAAAAUUAUUGGUGCGGGGCUCUACUUCUUUUUGUUUCACUUUAUCAAUUAAUUAGCGAAGCAAACAUGUAAUCAUUUGAAAAAGGAUCACUAGCACCAGCUUAGACAUAUUAAUUUAGAUGAAAAUGUAGUGUUAUUAAGUUAUGAAUUCAUUAACUUGAGGUAUUAAUAUUUACUAAUGAUGGUGAUUAAUUUAUUUAACUUGUCAUAGUCUUCAAUUAAGAAUGAAGUGCAAUCAAUUUAGAAUGAAUGCAAUCAAUUUAUGGAAUAUAUAUAUAUAUAUAUAUAUAUAUAUAUAUAUAUAUUGAGCCAGUACCAUGUGAUGUAGUAAGCUUGAGGGGUUAUGUCGCAAAUGACAUAAUGACCCCAAUUGGAGUUCUCAUCUAUCACAUAGUGAAAAGUGCAACCAACCUUGAAGAUAGUUUCAUGCAUCUGGUCCGGGUUUGGAUGCGGAUCGAAGGCUCUUUGGCACUUCCUGUUAUGGGCAGGUCUGUGUUCUUGCAAGGCCAUGAGCUGCCAUACCCGCCAUGUCAGAGCCUGAUCUUCCGGAUCUCUCUUGUGAGAGAUAAUCUUCUCAAAGAUGUCUUCCUGUACUUCAGAAGGAAGCCAUGCAAUAAAAGUAUUGAGAUCUUUGAGAAAGUGUGCUCUGUUUUCAUGAGCACUGGAGCUGCCUUCUUCCCAUCGUCUCGGGAGGCUUCUUCUUGUGAUCAUGGUGAUUGGUCUAGAAAGGAAAUCCGCUACAGUAUUGGAUUCUCCUUUGAUGUGUCUGACUUCGAACUUAAAUCUCGAGAGAGAUUCGGACCACCUUGCUAGUUGUGGAUCUGGGAUUUCUCCUUCUUUUCUUCUGAUCAAUCCCAGGAGGUACUUGUAAUCUGUUUCAAUCACAAAGGGGGUUAGAUAGAGAAAGAAUUGAAACUUCUUGAUCCCUUUGGUGACUGCUAAGACUUCUUUCUUUGAGGAUGGGUAGUGGCUUUGAGCGUCGUUGAACUGGCCAGAUUUAUAGCCACAGACUCUCCUGUUUCCCUCGGAUUCCUCUAUCAAUAGUGCUCCCCAAUAAUGGUCACUAGCAUCUGUUUGUAAGAUGAGCUGUCCUUUGUCAGGUAUCUUUAAUGGUGGAAGUGACUGGCACUUUUGCUUUAAGUCUGUCACGGCCUUUGUCGCUUCUUCCGACCAUUGUGGGGCACCCUUCUUUAAGUGUUUUGAUAUCUGACUCGUCAUCUUUGACAAGUUCUGCACAUGGUCUGCUGCAUAAUUGAUUAUCCCGAGGAAUUGCUGGAUUUGCUUUCUGGUUGACAGCUGGUCUGGGAACUGGGAUAUUUUUUCAGCAAUAUGUGGCUGAGGAAUGAUGAAUCCCUGUUUAAUGUGUAAUCCCAAAAAAUCUACCUCAUCAAGCCCUAUCUGCAUCUUUGGUUCUGACAAAGCUAACCCAUGCUUAUAGGUUAGGUCCUUGAAUUGAGACAGGUGUUCAGCAUGUUCUUCUUCACUGUUGCUGAAGAUGAGGGCAUCAUCAAUGUAGAUAAGGCAGAAUCCUGAAAUGGAUUUGUACACCUCAUCCAUUCUGUUUUGGAAUUCUGACGGAGCAUUCUUUAGGCCGAAAGGCAUCACGUUCCAUUCAUAAUGGCAAUUCACCACACUAUGACCUAUAAAGUCCAAACCCACCUGUUCUCUAUGAGUAGCUCUGGCAGGCCUAUUACCAGAUUUCUUGCUGGUGAUGGCAGAGUCUUUCAACCCAGGACUUAUAGGCAAAACCAACUCAUUUUUCCACCACAAUGGAUCAAUGAGUAUGAGAAAAACAACAGGCCUCAACAAAUCCAUGAGGUCCCAAAGAUAAGCAGGCUACAAGAAGGAAGAGUAUCGGUCUCUUUCCCCACAGAGACUAAAGCUCUCUAUCCAUGUGAAAAAUGCCAGCUUGAAGGAAAGCAUCCCUCCUUGUGCACACAUAUGCCAAGAAGAACUACCUCCUGCAGAAUCAUGGGUCCAGUAAACAUGAUCACCACUCCAGACCUUGAUAAUGAAUUCAUCAAGGAUAUACCCGGAGGAAUGUAUGCUGCCAAAUGGGUAAUACAGAAAACUAACCCAACAGAGUUCGGCCCAAUUGAGAAGGCAAUCAACUGGUCAAACAUCAAUGCUGUAGAACAAAACCAAGCCUUGGGAGACAUCAUGGUCACUCAACAGCAGAUUCUUGCUGACUUAGCUGUGAUCAGAAAGCAGCUAAAGAAAAACAAAAAACAGCAUAAGAUGUCCACCCAACAGUUCUCUCAACUACAUGAUAGUGCCUCCAGGUCGGUUAACAUGAUUGUGAUGACUGGAGCUGCAGACGAAGAUGAAAUGAGAAGAACAAGGGAAAGCUAUCAACAACCAAAGGUGUCCAGGCACUGGAAGAGCAGGCCUACUAAACCAUGCCACAUCUGGGAGGAAAAUGCAUCUGGAAAUAACCAGAAAGCAUUUUGGAGAAGCUAUGCUCCUCCUCCUCAAUACCCAUGGCCCCAGAAGGCUACAGGAUGGAAUGAGGAAUAUGAAACUGAUGAGAGCUCAAGUAUCUCUUCUGAUACUACUGAGAACCCUCCAAUUCCUGUUCUUAUGCAUAGGGCAAAUCCUCCGAAUCCAUUCUAUGUGGAUACCCGUACCAGAUUUGCAGCCUCAACACCAACACAGGGUCAGACUUCUGAUCCUACAAGGCAGGAACAAACUCAAAACCCAUCAGGAACAACACAGUUCACAGCCCCUGGUUUCACAGACCAACCAGCGGCCACAGAAGCCUCCUCCAAUCCGGCUGAUGCACCUACUGAUCGUGCCCCUCACAUAGAUGAAGUCAACCAAGGAGAAGAAUGGGAAACCAGAGUACAACUAGGACAUUCCACAACCGGAAAGAUGUUCUGGAACAUUGAUGGAAUGAAGCCAAAAGAAAGAUUGGCUUACUUUGAAAAGAUGGUAUCCUGGUAUGAAGGAGAAUGCCAACGAGCCCCUCAGUUGAGCAGAAGGUCAGCUGCCUUAAGACUGGUAGCAGGAUUUGUUGGCUCGCUACGCCGAUGGUGGGGACGAAAGCUUACUGCUGAUCAAAGGCAGUUCAUUCUUAGCAGAGAAGAUCCUUGUGGAAGCCUAGUAGAAAAUCUAUCCUUGGAUUUUCUAGGCCAGUUCACAAGAGAAGAAGAGGCUGCUGAGAAGCAAUUUCUCCAAAACAAGUGCUGUGAUGUCAGAAAAAUGGAAGAGUACUACCUUGAACAAGAAAGGUUGUACUACAUCUUUGAUAAACAAUCCGAUACCAUACACAGGACAUUUGUGCUAAACAUGCCAGGCCCAGUUGCAGAAAUGAUGGAGGCCAAAUUCAAAGCUGAUGCAAUUACUGAUUUAGCACAGCUCAGCCUUGCCCAGCUCUACCAAAUUGCAAUGGAGCUUAUUCAAAACCACUGCCGAUCUCAAGAUUUACGAAGACACAUGAAGCAGAUUGAGAAAUCCUCUCUGCAAAAAUUCUGUAAUGAGGAACCAAACAAAUUUGGUUGCCAACAUACAGACAAAAUGUGCUCUUGUAAUCCUGGCAGACAUAAGAAACUAAAGCGUCCCUGGAAACCAUACAAAGGGAAGAAGUACCGUUUUAUCAAAAAACGCAAACACAAGAAAGGCUCUGGCAGAUGCUUCAUAUGUGGAAAGAAAGGUCACUAUGCCAAGCAGUGCAAAUCCAAGAAGAAACUCCCAGCCAAACUCAUCCAGCUAAUACAGCAUGAUGAUUUUGAUGAUGACAUUUAUACCUGGUCAGAUAGCCCCUUCGGUGCUAUCUUUACUCUGGAUGAACAUCCUCUUUCUGAUUCUGAGGAGACUGCUUCUGCAACAGAUAGUGAUUCUGACGAUGACGAUGAUGAUGCUGUACUCACUGUUCGCGAGCCUCUCCAGGUUAACACCAUACAACGGUCAUCCCUUUUCCGGCCACACAUUGAAGUCAUCCUCAAUCCCUCCGAAGAUACACAGGUAGCACUUACUGCUCUUAUUGAUACAGGAGCAAUGUGCUCGUUCAUCCGAGAAGCCUGUGUUCCUCGAUGUUUCUAUGUUCCUACUAAGGUGUCUUUCGGAUCCGCUAGUGGCAGAGACUUCUAUAGCAAAAAGGUUACUCGCCCAAUUGAGAUUCAACCUUUUAUGAUCCAACAUGGGUUUUUCGCCUUCGAUUAUUCUGGCGAAGAUAUCCUCCUUGGCACCGACUUUCUCCGUCUGGUUGCCCCUUUUGCCUUCUUUCCUGAAGGAUUCUCUUACACCAUCCGCAAUCCCAUCGAUGGUUCUCAGCAUACUUUUCAAGUUCCUUGGGUUGAAAAACAAUCCAUUUUUGGAGAGGGUGGAAAACUAGCAAACUACCCAAUCCACAAAUAUGAACCCCAAAUUAAGGAACUCCUUGAAUGCUGUGCAGAAGUACCAAAUCAGUUCUGGGCUAAAGAACAACACUUUGUGUCUCUACCAUAUAAAGAUGGAUGGACCAUGCCUCACCAGACAGCCUCUCAUCCAGGCAUGCCCCAUGACGAAGAACUGUGCAAAUCUGAGAUCCAAGCACUUAUGGAUCUAAAGCUAAUCAGGCCCUCUAAGUCUCACUGGGCCAGCCCAGCAUUCUAUGUCAACAAGCAUUCAGAACAGGUACGUGGAAAAAAGCGAUUGGUAAUAGAUUACCGAAAGCUUAAUGAUUGCUUACAAGACAUAAGAUACCCCAUUCCACGGAGGACACAUCUUUUGAAACGUAUUGCUGGAGCAAAAGUGUUCUCAAAGUUUGACAUGAAGUCAGGCUUUUGGCAGAUUGGGAUCAAGGAAGAAGAUAGACACAAAACAGCAUUUGUGGUCCCCCACGGGCAUUAUGAAUGGAACGUGAUGCCUUUCGGCCUAAAGAAUGCUCCGUCAGAAUUCCAAAACAGAAUGGAUGAGGUGUACAAAUCCAUUUCAGGAUUCUGCCUUGGGUGGAGUGUGGAUCAUUUUCAGGAUUCAGUUUCCAAGAAAGCAAAAAUGAAGUCGGAGUCGUAGUUUAAAUUAAUUUAUGUUUUUGUCUUUUUCUGUGAGCCCAGUGAGCUUUUGUUUUCACUUUGUUCUCUUUUGCUUCUUUCCCUCCUUUUCCUGUUGUUUCUUGACAAUCAAGCAGAUCAGGAUUAAGUGUUUACUUUUGGUGUAAUUAUUCACCCUAACUCGAAUAAUACAUAGUUUUAGUGCUAUCAAAAUAGGAAGUGAAUUAAUAUCUGAAGCUAACUUGGGAGUGGAAUGUGUGUUAGUAAAAAUAUGCUAUUAUGGUAGAUAGAAUUUGCAUUUUAGGUAAGACAAAUAAUUACCGCUGUUAAUUUAUUUCAAUAAGUUCGUACAUCAUUCGAUAAUAAGUCGAAGAUUUUAAUGGUUUUGUUUCCUGAAAAUUUGUCAUCAGUGCAUGGACAAAGUUCAAUGGAUGAACUUCUCUUAGUUAAUUCGAGUUCUGUAAGAAACACUAAUCUUGCUCUGUACUUUGGAGUAUUUUAAUAAUUGAUGUUAAGAUUUGCUAAUGUGAAAAGGAAGAAAACCUGCUUAAAGGUAUUAAAGAAAGAUAAAGAGAACCAAUUUGGAGAAGGGAAUCCUUAUAGUGGGAGUUCUAUUCUUUGGGGUUUAAUUGAUGGGAGAAGAAACAGCUUAUAUGUUUACAGACAUAGACAUUUGAUUGCUGAGUUAGCUGAGGAAGAUAAUUAAUCACAAUGUUUGAUGUUGUUUCUGUUGGCCUCAGCUAAUUGUUAAGAUUUCAUACUUUUUUCUGGUUUUUCAUAACUGUGACCUAAAACUUAAUGUAUACUUUGAUAAUUACAUAAUCGGCUUCUUGCUGAUAUUUGGCUUUAAUUUGUAGACCUGAGGCUCUUUUGGGAGUUGGGAAGAUUUACGAAAGAGGAGUUUCUGAUUAGCUGGUUUGUUCUCUUUGUGCCUACAGAAUUUGAGUUCACUGGUAAGCUUGAUUCACCUUGUUUUGAUUUACUACCAAGAGGUGUUAACAGUUCAUCAUGCACAAAAAGAGGUGGGGAAAAAAAGAAAUCUUCUUGCUAGAUACAUAAAUUUAAUAGUUGAAUCAUUUUCAACCAAAGAAAUGUGCUGAAGAGCAGCAUUUUCGUUUAUAUCAAAGUUCAAUUGCAUCUUAUAUCAUCUGUUUCCAUCUCCUUUGUGGUAAAUAAAGUCCUUGAUGAUGACAAUAAGAAUCACAGAAGAAGUUGUUAAUUUCAUAUCUGGAGAUUUUCAUCAUAGUAGUUCAUUGAAAGUGAAGACAGCUGAGUAUUGCUUUUUCUGAUGCAGUCUGUCCCUCUUUGGUGUGUUUAUUUGAAAUUUGCGCAAGAAUAUGAUCCAUCUAUACGAGAAUGUGCCUAAUAAAAUAUCACAAAGGUGCCUAAUACAGUGAAAUUAACAUAUUCAGCUCAUGAGAUUGCCAUUAUAUAUAUUGAAAAAGAAAUUAAUAUAAGAAACUGAAAAUUAAUUGACACUGGAUCAAAUUGGAUUGUUAGUUGUUAAUUAUGAUGGGAAUAUAAUCUUGGUCUUUUAAUUAUCAUCUAGGUAAUGCAUGUGCACUUUCAUUUGUGAGAGAGAAAAUAUUUGACAAUCACGAAAACAACAACAAUUCACUCCCAUAAACAACAUAAUAGAUACAUGGUCUAUAUUGCAAGUCUUUUUAUGAUUUUAAUUAAAAGAGAAAAUGCAAAGGACAUAUUAUAUAUAAUUGAAUGUUCUCCUUGAUAAUUGGUCAAAAUAACACCAAUCUGGCUAACUAAUACAAUCAUCAUAAUUAUCCGAUUUUCAUUUUAAUUAUGUCCAAUCAUGCUAAUUUAAUAAAGAACACGGAAUACAUGAGUAUUUAUAUGUUCAACAACUUUGGCUGAGUAUUAAAAAUAUAAAAGCUGCAUUUUUGCUUUGUGUUACUGUAGGACAUGACCAUAUUAUGUUGCAUUUGUCAGAAAACUGAAAAUUAUCGAAAAGGAUCCUAAAAGAGAUGUGUUGAAUUGUGAGCUUAAAAAUGAGUUUUAGAAGUUUCUGACAUGUCGGUUUGUAUCCUUGAUUGUGCAUGCCCUGUUGGUUUCUGGAUGAAACAGGAGAAUAUGACAUCUGUGUAUUGUCUUUUACUUGCAGUAAGUGAAUCACAUGUUCUUCACAUGAUUUGACAUACUUUAUACGGAUUUAGCAGUUGUUUUGGUCACUUAUUGACUGACCGUUGUAAGGCGGGAAAAUUCUGGGUUUCUUACAACAAACCCAGAAGGCAGCUGGUGAGUGGGAGAUGUUUCUAGCUUCUUCAUGAUCUGUAUAUAUAGUCUUAGAGGCUAUAGUUGAGCCAUAUGAAAAGCUUGUAACUCCUUAAUGUUUGUAGCUUGUUCUUGGUAAUUGCUUUGACGAGGGAAGUGAGCUAAAAUGAUAUCAACUUUUAUUUAUGGACAGGUUAAGAAAAUUUUUGAGUUCCUGAAAAAUGGCUUCCAUGAGAUCAGCAGUUCUUUGGAUUUAUCUUUCGAAUAUGAUUUGGUUGCUGAUGAGAAAAUUCCAUUCCUAGCUGAUCUUGCCAGUGUUCUAAAUGAGCAUUCCUUUUUCCCAUAUGAGCCACCAGCUGGAAGCAAAAGAUUCAGGAAUCUGAUUGCUGACUUCAUGAAAAUGUACCACCAUAUUCCACUAAAUGCUGAUGUGAGAAAACCUUCACCACUCAUCUGUUUUUUUACUUCUCUGGACAAGUAAUUUUUAUAUUGUCUGUCCUAGAUUCUGUUUUCCCUGAUGCAUUAUUUCAAUUUCUUUGCAUGUGAAGUCCUAGGAUCUGUUUCCCCUGAUGCAUUAUUUCAAUUUCUUUGCAUGUGAACUUGGAGCAUUCAUAUUAGUUUAGGAGUGAAUCUAUUGGUCAUUUACUUGUUUGUAACAAAUAACGUAUGAAACAAUCUUGUUAUUUUUUAUUCUCAAUAUGUAGAGCUCUAUGGACCAAUCGCUUGUCUUCUGUUAUCCUCAUUAGAAUUUCUUCAGACUACUUCCACUUCAUGCUAUUUGUGAUAAUUUGUAUUGUUUUUGUGGUCUUUCUUAUGUCUGUUGGACAAAUACUGUAAUAUGAAAUUUUAUCUAAUGGUGCCCUUUAUUCCUUUUGCAUCCUGUCCCCUCUAGUAGUUAAAUGUAUUUUUGGAUUUGUCAAUUUAUUUGAUUUGAUGAAAUCUUGAUUCUCAUGUUAUCUAUCUGUUUAUCCAACUUGACCAGGGAAUGUGUUGUUGAUGUGAGUUACGCUGCACGUGCUUGUUAUUCAUCUAGUCCUUUUAUGUAAACAUACGUGUUUGGAUGUACUCGUAUAUAUACUGGACCCGAGAUAUUUAAAAUAGUUUUCAAUUGAGAUUUGAAUUUUAAAAUUAUAUACACAAACACACCCGAUUUAAUAAUAAUAAUAAUAAUGCUAACAAUAAAAUAUUUCAUUCGUCCCCUGUUGAGUCGUCGUCAAAAAGUCUUUUCCAAUCAAAAAGUCUUUCCCAAUCUAUUUUAACGCAAGGUAUAUGGGUUAACAAGUCCCAAUAUUGUCCUCCAUCCUUUCUGCACUUCUCUUCUAUCAACGGACAUCCCGAGAUCCAUAAUUGCAAAAGUGAGGAAGGCAGGCCCUUCUCCGGAAAGUAUUUGAGCUUGGGACAAUCCCACAGGUGCAAUUCUGUGAGGUUUUGAAGAUCAACAAUUGAAGAAGAUAGGCGUUCCAGAUUUGGAAAUCUAGAAAUGCUCAGAGAUGUUAGAGAGGCAGGAAGAGGAAGCGCGGUCCCUAAUCUUUUGUCCUCUAGUGGAAAUGACACCAUCACCGUGUCGUCAUCGCAUCCGCCGAUUGUAAGAUGUCGCAGAGAGGAGAAUCUGUGAAAUCCCCGGCCCCGCUCAAUCAGCGACUUACAAAUCUCCAUAUUACCCCGAAUAUCAAGUGACUGAAGGUUGGUGGGAAGGCCAUCUUCUUCUUCAAGGCUUGGAAGCGCACCUCCUAUUAUUGUUAAUUCUUGAAGACAGCUCAGAUUGUGCAAUCCCUUGGGUAAGGCCUCUAGUCUCUCACAAUCAUAUAUCCCCAGCCUCGUGAGUUUCGCACAAGGCAAUCCCCCUUCGGGAAAGGACACCAGAUUUUCACAAUUACUAAUACUGAUUGUUUCAAGAGAUGUGUUGUUGUCCAACCUUUCUGCUAUUGACUCCAGCUUUGGACAUCCAUAAACAGAAAGGGACUUAAGAGACGGAGGUAGAUUGCCAACUUCAAGGGACUCAAGCGUGGCAGGUAACUCGUUUUUUGAAAAUAUACAAGUCAGUGAUGGACAAUCCCAAAUUUCCAACUUCUCGAGAAGAGAUGAGGUGUACCUUCUGCUGCUGCUACUCUGGAUGCCCUCUUCCACUGUCAAAGUCCUUAUAUUAUCGCAACGCCAGAUCGUCAACUGCUUAAGGCUUGGUGGUAGCUGGACUUCAACAAUAUAUCUCAACGAACAACAAUAUUGAAUAUUCAAGAUCUCGAGAGACGAAUUGGUGUCGCACAUCCAUGCCUCUGGUAACGAUUUCAGUGCAUCACAAUGCCUAAUCUGAAUUUUCUUCAAUUUGGAAGGCAGAGCAACCUCAGGAAAGGAAACAAGGGAACUGCAGUUGUAGAUUUCUAUCUCUCUCAAGGAACAGAGGCUGAGCGAUGAUUGUGGCAGCUUCACAAGGCCUUCGCAAUAAAGCAAUCCUAGAUAUUCAAGUCUGCAUGACAACUCACAGAGCUGCUGUUGUUGGUCUUUCUCUUCCUCCACCACCAAGGAUUGAAUUUUGGGACACCGUCUAAUCGUCAGUCUUUUGAGAGAGCAAAUGUCUUGCAGUAAUUCGUUAUAACUCUUCCAUAUAUGUGUUUCAUUUUUUAUAUUUUUUAUCUCCAAUUCUUCCAGUUUUGGUAUUCGCGGCUUCAAUGGCCCUGCGAGAAACACUUGAUUUGAUGUAUCUCUACAAACCACUGAAUUCUGUAAGCCGAGAUGAUCAGUUGCACUUCUCAACACAACCUUUUUACAUCCUCCAAUUACCAAUUUGCAAAGAGCUGGAAGACUCGUAAUUGAAAUUGACAAUUUUUCACAUUUGUAAAUAGCAAGCAUCUGCAAUGCAGGAAGGUGCUCUGGAAGUGUUCCUUGCAGUUUAGAACAUCUUAAAAUUUGAAGCUCUCUCAAUUUAGGAAACCGUUCAACUCCCUGACUAGAUCCAUGAGGAAUCCAGUCUUCCCAUUCUUGCAUGUCUUCAAAACGAAGAGUCUCCAAGCAUGGAAAUGGAAUUGGAGAGUCAUCCCCAUAGAACUCUGAACCCAAUCUCUUUACUCUACUCAUUCCACGCACUGUAAGAUGCUUUAGAGAGGGCAGUUGCCCGACAGACGGCAGGGCAGUGCACAUGCCGCAAUCUUCAAAUUUAAGUGUCACUAAAUUUGAGAAUGAGGAAUCUCCUAACCAUGUUGGAAAUUUUGUGCCUCCAUAGCCACAGACACAAAAUUGAUCCAGAUUUUUAUGGGGUUUGAGCAUGUCAAGCACGCCCAUUUCAGUUUCUGCCUCCCUUGAAGAUGAACCAUCGGUGCUGCAAGUCCAAUUAAGCGAUAAUUCCUUAAGAUUCUUCUUUCCAUCCAACCCAGCCUCCUUUGCAUCACCAAUGUCUUUUACAUUCUCUAAUUUUGAAAUUUCAAGUGCCCCACGAAGAUGCAUCAAUGACUUUAGCUCUCGUAACCCAGAACCAUUGUCUUUUCCCACAGCAAAAUUACACAACGUCUGAAGACAAGUCAGCUUACCAAUUCCUAGUGGCAUUUCCUCCAACGAAUCUGUAUUUGAAUUAUUGAGAUGAUGCAAUUUGGUGAGGUUUCCCAUGUCUGCACACAACUUCUUCAGUAGCUUACAGCCCUCCAACAGAAGAGUGUGCAAAUUGUAAAGCUUGCAGACUGAUUCAGGCAGAGUUCUAAUCACAGUUCCAGAUAGGUUGAGGUACCUUAAAUACCUCAAAUCACCAACUGAAUCCGGCAGCUCGGCGAUGAGAUAUCCACGCAGAGAGAAGACCCUUAAGCUUUGGAGUUUGAACAACUUAGGAAGAAUGCUAUGAGCCAAGUAUCCAUGUCGACUAUUUAACAUCACUGGUAAAAAAGUUCUCAAAUGUUGGAUAUCAUACAAUUUCUCAAACCUUUGAACGCCAUCAUAAUCUCCAAGAAUGUACGACAGAUGACGAAGAUCUCUAGAAAAACACUGUUGCUUGUUAACCUCCGAGGUAUACUCCAGUGUGAAGUAUGUCUCCCCUGCAGCCCAACGGGCAAGGUCGUUGAUAAGAUCGUGCAUAACAAAUCGUGAUGCAUCGGUGGCCGAUUGCUGGAAAAAAGAUCUUGAACAUAGCUCCUUAAAGAAAUCACGACCUAAAUCUUCACUAGGAUUCUCACCUUCUUUGUGAUCCAAAAAACCGGAGGCACACCAUAAUAAAAUUAUCUCCUCCUCUUCAAAUUCAUAAUCCUUUGGUAAUAAUGAGCAGUAUGCAAAGCAUUGUUUCAAAGCUGGAGGAAGAUAAUAAUAGCUCACCGCAAGGGCUGGUAUAAUGCGGCAUCUCUCUUCUGGUAAUUCCCAUAUCUUGCUACUGAGCACACGUUCCCACUCACGUCUGUCAUGCUCUCCACGUAAAAGUCCUCCAAGUGUUUGAGCUGCCAAGGGCAAGCCAUCGCAUUUGGUCACUAUCUUCCUGCCGAUUUCCUCCAAUGACAUAUGUGAACUGAAAUCUCGCGUCCCCAAAGAAUGUUGAGCGAGUAUAGCUAGACAAUCAUUAUAUGACAGCUUUUUUAAUUGAUAAGCUGGAAGAGUCCCCAUGAUUUUUGCAACCUCAUGAUUGCGAGUACUGACAAUAAUCUUACUUCCCUGUGCACUUGCUCCAAGCGGACGGCUGAAGUCAACCCAAUCAUCGUAAUUCCGGUUCCACACAUCAUCUAAAACAAGCAAAAAUUUCUUUCCAGAUAGUUGCUUAUUCAGUUCCUCUUGAAGCUUAUUCAAGUUGAGAUUAUCCACAUUCUGGUGAGUCACGAUGGAUGUCAAGAUUGUUUUUGUUAGCCUGAUAACAUCGAAAUCAUCUGAGACACAAGUCCAUGCCUUGAGAUCGAAAUGAUUCUGCACUCGAUCAUCAUUAUAGGCAAGCCGAGCAAGAGUAGUUUUGCCCAGCCCACCAAAACCUACAAUAGGUAUAACAGAGAAUCCACCAUCAUUUCUCAAAUCAUCCCUCAACAACAAUUCAACAAUUUCCUUCUUAUCUGUUUCCCUGCCAUAGACGUUGGCUCCAGUCACUACAGAGGUUGUCUCUAGCCUUUGACUGGCUUUUUUGGACCCUCCAGCUGAACUUACGUUCAAACCCAGCGAGUCUUUCUGUGUCACAAUUUCUUGAAAUCUGUCGUUGAUCUCUUUGAUUUUGGACAUCAUGGCGUAAUCGAACUGAAUCGAUUGUGGAGUAAAAGUGGUGCAGCAAGUAGGAAUGAGCUUCUGUGGAGUAAAAGUGGUGCAGCAAGUAGGAAUGAGCUUCCGAAACUUACUUGUUCUUGUACGACUGCUACUGGGUUGAUCCUGAGCAGUAGCUGGAUCUCCAUUUCCAAGCAGCAACUUCCUCCGGAAAGCCUCAGUUUGAAACUCAUCCAACAAGUCUUCAACAUCAUAAGCCAAGUUCUGAAGCUUGCCAAGCCACUUCUUCACAAACUGAUUAGUCGUCUUCUUCUCCUCAGCAUCAUCAAGCACCGCCUUGAUCAUCUCCAACAUAUUCGCCCACUUCAUCAGAUCGGCCUUGAUGUGCUCUUGGCGUGCAAAAAACAGAAUCCCCUCUGAAGCUAACUUAUUGACCAGCAAAUCAACGGACGCCGUAAGGAUUGCCUCUCCGAUGAUUGACAUUUUUUUUCUUUCUUCUCUCUCUUUUUUUUUUUUUUUGGGGGGGCAAAGAAAGAAGCAGAAUUUUGAGUUUUGAAAAGCAAAAUGAGAAAAUUGAACAGAAAGUGUGAAGGGUCAAGCAAAAUGAAUGUACCAAGUCUUCCACUUGUUGUUUAUUCCAGGAAAGUGCAAAUAAAAACAGAGCCCACCACCCAUUAAUAAUUUAGCAAUUUACCAAUCACCAACCACCACCACUUGUUACCAGAUUCAAUAAAUAUAAAAUCGCACGUUGAUAUUUGUAGGGCCAAGCAACAUUAAUCCAAUGUCCGGUAAAUGCUGAAUAAAGAGGAAAAUGGAAUGUAUCUACUACGGACCUUCGCUUUACAAGUCUUCAAAGUCAUAAUAAUUACUUUAUUUAUUGAAUUAAUUUUCAUGCUAAAAUGAAGACUUAAAAGUAUACUACAAUAUUUUAUAAUCACAAUGAUAAUUUUAACAAUCAUGUUAUAUUAAUGUCGUGUAAAAAUAAUUUAUAAUAAAAUUUUAGGCGAAUAUAGUAAAUUCGACUUAUUUAUUAAAUAUAUAUAUUUAAUAAAAUAAUAACACAAUUAAUAUGUUAUCAAUCAAAUAGAAACUCUAAUGUGAAAACAAAAACUGUCCCACCACCAAUAAUUUAGCAAGCUUCACUUUAUUACACUACAGUAAAAACAAAAUCGGCCCCCACCACCAUCAAUAAUUUAGCAAGCUCCACUUUAUUACACAAGUGAAAACAAAAACAGCCGCUACCACCAUCAAUAAUUUAGCAAGCUUCAAAUGCUUGUGCUUGUCUGCUUGACGAACUGGGCAUGGGUGGACCAGGCAUCAUUGAGCAAUUCCAAAAAAAUUUAAAAAAAAUAUCAGUGUCCAGCAAAGAAAAUCCAUCUUUAUGUGUUGCUUCCUACUUGGUUCAUCUACUGAUAUGUACAUAUAUGUAACAUUUAGAAAAAAGUAAUGAUACAGCCACAAACUCUUGUAUAAAUUUAUUUUAUACAAACUGAUGUGGCAUGAUAAGAUUGGUUGAAUGAAAAUAUAAAUUAAUAAAAAUAAAUCAUGUGGGCCAAGUGAUAUUUCAUUCAACUAAUCUUAUCAUGCCACAUCAGUUUGUAUAAAAUAAAUUUGUACAAGAAUUUGUGGCUGUAUCAUUACUCUUUAGAAAAUAGAAGUAGAAAUUGGAACUCACUUUAUGGCUCGUAUGCAACACACGCAUUAACAUUUAAUUAGAGUUCACACACACACACGUGUGUGUGUGUCUAGUUUUAAUUGAGAGAUAAAUUAAACAUAAAUACUUAGAUGUUUCUAAAUAAUUGAAUAAUGAUAUUAUUGGUAUUUAUAAAUUUCUAAGACGCGAUAAUUAUGUGGGGGACAUAUAUUUAUGGUUAUAGAAAAUGGCGGUAAAAAUGGUACAAAUAUAAUAUAAUAAAAAAGUAUAAACUGCAGUAAAUUAAUGUUCACUUCAAAGUACGUUAUAAAUAUCGCUUUCCUUAAUACGUUGUUUGCUUCCACCGAUUGAGUUAUGCAUAUGGAUUAAGUAAAUAUGCAUUCAGAAUAUAAUAAAAUGCUGAUUUGUUUGUUUACGUUGUACAUCAAUAAAAGCAAACAUGAAUAUUUUUUAACGUUAUAAGCCUACCGAGAAUUAACAUAUUUUUCUUAAAAAAAAAUAAUAUGUUGUAUAUUUGAUGCAUAAAAAAAUAAAAAAUUACCAAUAACUUAGCAAGCUUCAAAUGCUUGUGCUUGUCUGCUUGACGAACUGGGCAUGGGUGGACCAGACAUCAUUGAGCAAUUCGAAAAAAAUUUUAAAAAAAUAUCAGUGUCCAGCAAAGAAAAUCCAUCUUUUGAGAGAUAAAUUAAACAUAAAUACUUAGAUGUUUCUAAAUGAUUGAAUAAUGAUAUUAUUGGUAUUUAUAAAUUUCUAAGAUGCGAUAAUUAUGUGGGGGACAUAUAUUUAUGGUUAUAGAAAAUGGCGGUAAAAAUGGUACAAAUAUAAUAUAAUAAAAAUGUAUAAACUGUAGUAAAUUAAUGUUUACUUCAAAGGACGUUAUAAAUAUCGCUUUCCUUAAUACGUUAUUUGCUCCCAUUGAUUGAGUUAUGCAUAUGGAUUAAGCAAAUAUGCAUCUAAGAUACAAUAAAGCGUUGAUUUGUUUGUUUACGUUGACAUCAAUGAAAGCAAACAUGAAUAUUCUUGAAUGUUAUAAGCCUAACAAGAAUUAAUAUAUUAUUCUUACAAGAAAAUAAUAUGUUAGAUAUUUGAUGCAUAAAAAAUAAAUGUUAAUCGAUGAAAUUAUUUUGAAGAAAGAGGACUACAAAAAAAAUGGUGUAGGAUCAUUUUAGUCAUGUCAAAUUGACAUUUAUUUUUUUAUGAAUGUAGGGGUAUUUUGGUAAUUUUAUGGACACAAGCGUUAUAUGUUGUGGAUAGAUGUUCGUUUUGAACUAUAUUGCGUGUGGUUAGUCGUAUUUCACAUUUAUGAAAAGUAAUUAUGUUGUUUCCUUGAUUAGGAGAAACUGCUAAUGAGAACCAAGCCGUUGAUAUGAACAAUAGUCAAGUUUAAGUAUUGUCACUAUGAGUGAAAUAUGCAAACCCAUUUUUAUAUUUUAUUAUGAUUUUAGAGUGUAGUAAACCAUAUUUGAAAAAUAAGAUUUUAAUGCUAUAAUUUAAUGAUUUCUAGAAUAAAUUUGAUUUACGUAUUGGUACAUUAUUCAAAAUUUUAUGAUUAUUGGUUUUCCCUAUCGAUUUUGAGUAAUGCAUAAUAGUACUUUGAAGAAAAGAAAAGUAAAUUUAAUGUUAAUGGAAAGAAAAGAAGACUUAAUGUACAAUUAAAAAUGUGUUAUUUAUGUGUAUAAAAAUUUGUUAUUAAAAAUCAUGAGACAAGACCCUCUCCAUUUAGUUACAAUGAUACAGAUAAGAUAAGAGCCCUUUGGGGCCCCUUUGAACACAUAGAGAGGUUAAUAGGUUGUGUUUUUUAGCGCUUUUGCCCUUUGGAGGCUUAUGCAUGCUGUAUGAUAACAAAAAAAGAUUUAAGAUACAGAUAAGAUAGAGGCCUUUGGGUCUGUCUAAGUGCACAUGGAAGUUUUGGAUCGUGUGCUUGGGUGAUUUUGCCCUUUAAGGACUAUUUUAUGCAUGCAAUAUGAUGAGAUAUGAUGAUAUACAUGAGAUAGCACUUCAUUGAUCUAUUCUUUGUAGCUCCAGGCAUGACAAUGCCCGCAUAGUAUGUCAUUGCACUGCCCAUAUGCGGUCCAGGUAUGACAAGAUCAUUUACUUGUUUAGUGACAGUUUAAGAAUAAAGUAUUCUAUGUUAUCUUUUGAUAUGAUUUUCAUGUGUAUUACGCACAGUAUAAUGUAUUCUUCACUGACAAUUGUUUGAUUUAAAGUUUGAAUAAUUUAACUAUGUGCUUACUUAUAGAUUAGUAAAGUUGGUAUGUCGAAAAAAUAUGAUCAUCUUUAAAGUAAGUUACUUUCAAAAGAUGUUAUCCACUCACUGAGCUUACUAAUUUUUAUAUUAACCUUAUUUUAUCAUAUUUUUCCCCCCGUAGAAGGAUGCAAGUACACCAAUCGACUGACCGACUGUAGUUAUUUUGAAUUUUUGUUCACGUGAUGGCGCCAGGAGAAAUAGAUGGUAUUAUGCAUUUUGAUCAUCUCAUUUUGGAAUGUAUAAUUGUAUUAUGAUUUGAUGAUUAUGGAUGUUUAAUAUAUAUUGAAAUCAGAUAUAUUAUAAUAUUUUGAUAUUGGAGAUGUUUGGGUGUUAUUUGGUAUUUUGGUUGAGAAGGUUGAUUGAUGGAACUGGUUAUAUAUUAAACUAUGUUAGGAGUGCUUGUAUAAAUUUGCAAUUUUGGGAUUGUUAUAUUUAUAAGGGAAAUAAUUACCGAAUUUUCUGUAGAAUUAAAUUAUUAUCAGUCAAGUUAGACGAUAUCAAAUAGACCCGCAUGGAGUUCGAGGCGAGUCGUUUCAAAUCAAGUCCUUUAUAAAGCUCACUCACCCCUUGUUAGCUCUCAUUCGUUACAAGCAUCUAUCUAUCAAUAUAUCAAUCAAUGCUUACAUUUUCUUUCCUCUUAUACAUCAAAAUGAAGUUCAUCUUGGCAACCUUGCUGUGGCAUUAUUAUUGUCAAUAGUAUAGAACGUUUACAAUUAUCAUCUUCUGGUUGACCAAACCUGUAGCGAUGUUCCAUUCGGAGCCAACUGUGUGGCCUCAGUCAGCGCGAAACUCUCUUUAAAACCCGAUGUUGAAAUUAAACCAAAAUGAAAUCCUCGGCGCAGCAAUAACUGUACUGAAGGAACGCGUUAUUCAAGCUAGGGAAGACUAUUCUAAACCGCAUGAAAUUAGUAAAGACAACUAUGAACAGAGCGUGCUCAUGGCUUCCAUUGAAGAAUACAAUAAAGUCGUAGAAGCUUGCGACAAAGCAAUUGGACCAGCUAAGGUUGGCGAUUUUGACGUCGCAAAAACGGCAGCUGACGAAGCCGACCUGAGCGUUUCUCGCGCUGACGCAUACAACACCGAGAACCCGAACCUGAAACAUGUCAAUUUGAACUUGAAAAUUGCUUCUAAAAAUACAGUGGCCAUAGCCAUCAAGGCUCUUAGUAAAACAAGGAGAGUACAAUUAUUUAAUUUAAUUGAUCAUGAUUUCCGAUUUCUUUCAUCAUCGAUCUUUGUCUUUUUUAUCUUCUUUUUUUUUGAAUUUCCUCAUUUAGAUAUGCAAACCAAUGAUAUUCUUUUUGAUGAUAUUGUUGGAGUGAAUAAUAAUAAUAAUAAUAAUGCAAUCCAUCGGUCGUAGCAGAACUAGCUGACAGCGCCUGCAGGGCACGUGCAAUUAUAUUUUGAUCAGUGUUCACGAAGCUAAAGCAGUGUAAAUAACAGAUCAUGGCUUAAUUAAGUAAUUACCUGAAGGUGAUUAAAUAAUUGAGAAUGAAAUUAUAUUAUUAAGCAAAGACAUAAGCUAUUAUAUUAUUAAGCAAAGACAUAAGCUAAAUUACCCCAUUUAUCUGUUUGAAAUCUCGUCUUGAGAGCAAAUGGCGGCGCUGACGAGGCUUGCUCAAUUUCAGCCUGCAUGGCUGCAUGUCUGAUAAGAGUGGAAACAUAGUGCCUUUAGCUAAAUCGUAGAAUGUUAAAUCUGAUGCUACUGAAUAUGGAGAGUGAUUCAUAUACACGGUCUUCAUGAAUAUAUAAUUUUUAAUUACAGGAGAAGUUGCAAUAUGAAGUUAAUUUGAAAUUUAUAUUUCUCACCUCGAAUAAUUUCUGGUAAAUCGCUGAUUCGAUAAGGUUAAACUUUCUUUAUGAUCAUCAUCUUCUUCUUGGUCGUCGCCUUCCGAUGUUCCUAUUUCUGAUGUUUCUCCACAUUUUCUUCCUCUUUUAACAACUUUCGUUGAAGAUUUUGACAGAAAUAUCAUUGUGAGAAGAGUAUUUCUAAAGUUUACAACUUGGAAAUGAGACCUUAUGUGAUAUGUACAUGAAGGAUAGAGUACAUGUCAGUAUUUAUAAGAAACAAUGUGAUGGUUUGAAAGAGACUAGUGGUGGUUUUAAAGAAACUAAAUAAAGUUUAUUAUUUAAUAAAAAGUUAAAUAUAAAUCCCGAAAAAUCCACUGUAUAAUCUGACAGGAUUUGGAAAACGAAGGCACAUGCAUGGUAAUAUUAUUACUUUGUAAGACUGGAUUAUUUUUAUAAAUUUUUAUCCAAAGAAACUAAAUAAAGUUUAUUAUUUGAUAAAAAGUCAAAUACAAAUCCCGAAGAAUCCGCUGUAUAAUCUAACAAGAUCUAGAAAAUCGAAGCACAUGCAUGGCAAUAUCAUUACUUUGUAUGAUUGGAUUAUUUUUAUAAAUUUUUAUCCAAAGAAACUAAAUAAAGUUUAUUAUUUAAUAAAAAGUCAAAUACAAAUCCCAAAGAAUACGUUGUAUAAUCUGACAAAAUCUAGAAAACUGAGGCACAUGCAUGGUAAUAUCAUUACUUUGUAUAACUGGAUUAUUUUUAUAAAUUUUUAUCCAAAGAAACUAAAUAAAGUUUAUUAUUUAAUAAAAAGUCAAAUACAAAUCUCGAAGAAUCUGUUGUAUAAUCUGACAAAAUCUCGAAAACAGAGGCACAUGUAUGGCAAUAUCAUUAUUUUGUAUGACUGGAUUAUUUUUACAAAGUUUUAUCCAAUCCCUUGUUUGAUGCCAGUAAAUCAAUAUUUAAAUAUUUUGUUAUUUUGUUAUGUUAUUUGAUUUUAACUAUUAAUGUCAAUAUUGGAAUAUAUCUUUAUAUUGAACUAAUAAAACAACUGUAUAAAGACAUUUGAAUAAACUUAAUUACGAAUUUUGAAUUCAUGAUGUAAGAUAAUGUUUGCUUUUUAAUCUAAAAUCUUAGUGGAGUCUGAAUUUUGCUGAAAUAUGAAUAUCUUUAAAUUGCAUAUGUUUAAAUGAUAUGUUUAUUUUCUCUUUUUCGAUAUCCAAAUAUAAGUGGCAUCUUUUUUUUUUUUUAAUAAAUCAAAAACAUCCAAAGUAUGAUUAUUUAACAUUUAUGUUUUUGUAAGAAUUAUUUAUACUUAUUAUAAAUUUUAAGAGUUAAAUACGUGCACAUUACAAUUAAAAUCAAACAUACGUAGAGUUGAGUAAUUGAUCUUUAAAUAAAAAUAUUAUUACAUUACUCCAAAUACAAAAUUGAUUCAAACUUAUUAUACUAAUUAAAAUGUGAAUAAAUUUAAAUUUAAUUUUAUAAUUUACAUCAUCUUUUUUACCAUUUAAAAUUGUAAAAGCCCAUUCGCCCAAACCUAGUCUUAAUUAGCUGUACAUAAGUGUAAAGGCCCAUAUGUUCUUAAGAAGUGUUAAGUUUUCAUAGACCCAUAAGUGAAUGGAGAAGUGUAAUGCCCCAAAUUCAAGGUAGAGUUGUAACUGUUGGCAAAUCUGUAUAAUCCUUUUAAAACAGUUCUCUAAUUAUAUUAAAAGACAAAAUAAAUCUAAUUAAAUUCUUAUAUUUUUUUCUCUCUAUAAAUUUCUUUUUCUAGUUCAUUACUCGCACACAACUACACCAAAGUCUUUUAUAUUUUUUUUUUAUUUUCUCUCAAACACUUUGUAUAUUACAUAAUAACUAUUUAAGUCCAUUUUUGGUUCUACUCAAUUCAAGUAUAUAGAAUUUUCUUUUUAAUUAAAUAUAUAUGAUUUAAACUUUCAAAAUUUUGUAAAAACAAUAUUCCUAAUAUGAGGUUUGUGGAAGAAGUUAAAUAUUUUUUUAAUAAAAAAGAAACUGAAAUUUUAAAACAGAGAUUUUGAAAACUUAAAAUAGGUUUUGAGAGGGGGUGGGGCUUGAGUAAAAAAAAAAAAAAUAAGGUGCUAUUAGUUCCACUCUUCAAGCAAAGAUACACAGAUCUUUACUCUCUCAAAUAAAUUUUGAGGUGAAUUUUAUUGUUGGCUAAUCACGUUGAUAUGAGUGUGAAUAUGAAAAGGAUAAAACUUAUAAUAAAGAAUUAUAUGAACUAUAUUUUAAAGAGAAAAUAUAUUUUUAGAAAAUGUGGCCCAAUGUCUUCAGAUGGGUUAGUGUUGGUGUGUGACUAAGAAAUAGGCCGAAGUUGUAAAAAUAAAAAAUAAAAACAGUAGGUUUUCAUAUCAACAAAGAACAGUUAUUUCACAGAACACAUGAAUAUCUCUGUGAUGUUGAUGCUUUCAUUUCUACAGCUUCCUUUAGUUUUCUCCCCAGUGCAAACGCCAGAGGAGGUGGAACAGCAUUUCCAAUCUGCCGAUGCUUGUGUUGGAUGUCACCAACAAAUUUAUAGCUAUCGGAGAAACCCUGCGGGAAUCAAGAGAGCAGGGUAACAUGACAGCAGAAACAGUUGGCAAAAUUUAUCUUGUUUGAUUCAAUAAUUAGCUUGUCAAGUUAAAAAUUAUCUUGUUUGAUACAACUUCUCACUAGGUAGAACACGCCAAUCGGAACCAGGCUGUUUUGGGAUCUUUUGACACCUAAUGAGGUUCAGCUCACUCAUUGCCUUCGAUAUAUGAUCAUUUAAGACCAGCAUAUCUCCUCUGAUUUUUUUUUGAAACCAUGACACAGGUUCACUUUUAUACUGUACGGUAGGAAAAUACAAGAAACAAGACCUUUGGUAGAAGGAACAACAAUAAAGAUAAAAUGAGCAUCACAGACAGGUGAAGAAAAUCCCACUUCCAUGGUUGUUACUGAAGCCCCAUUGCCAACAGCUGGGAGGUCUCCAAUUGUAUCUCUAACUGUUAUUGCACGAAAAGGAGCACCACUGAACACAUACAUUGGCUCAGGCCAUUCUGGGAGGGUUUCCUCAGGUGAUGCUGCCCAUAUGAAUGCACGUUUACGAGACUGAGACAUGCCAUAUGCUCCUGCUUGCAGGACACCAAAUCUCACCUACGACAACAAAAUUAGAUGAAUAAUUUAUAUAAGCUACAUGAUACUUUCACAAUUUUCAGAUUAAAUUGACUAAUGAAAUGGAGAAACAAAUUCAGGGAAUUUUGAUAGGUACCCCUCCAUAAAGUUAUGAGUGAGUAAAUAAAAAAUGGUAUCUACCUGAUAACCCAUUCGGAGGAGAGAAGCCAGAGUUAAGCGAAAUGUUUGCCCUUUGUUAAAUGAUGUAAAGUUCCUUACAUUCUCCAGAAGGAAAAAUCUGGGGGGGAAAUAAUCAGCAAAAGACAACGAUGCUAAGAUCAUUUCACAUUGAACUUUGCUCCAAGAGCCUUGAUUAAACCUAUUCAUUCCAGAAAAUCCUUGGAAAUAACAAAGAACCAAUAGCUAAACUUAAUAAGUCCAUUGUACACAUUUAUUGUUAGAAUUGUUUACAAAAUAAAUCCUAGAAGUAGACUAGAGGAUUGAUCGAUGUACCUGACAAGGAGGCCCUCCACAGAUGAAAUCCACUUGUCCUGACCGAGGAAAAUUCUUAAUUGUUUCUUCAUCAAGUUCUGCUGCUAGCUCAGCAGCUUCAGGAGUUGAAAUACAGUCAUCAGCAUCCCCACAUGCUGACAUGAUUGCCCUGCAUUUGAUUCAUUGAUUUACUGAAGAUAUAAGAGUUGAUUACAAAGCAAUUAUCACUGAAUCGAACAUAAAGCCAUGAGUUAUUAUACUCAAAUGAAAGCAAACAUCAAACUCAGGAUCACAUUGCAGUUGUUAAUAAACACCAAAGCUUCUGGAUGAUUAACCUUGAAUGCUUCUCCUGCUGGUUGCUCAUACUCUAUUGCCCAGUUGGUUAUCGACACACCUUUAGUUGCAUAUUUUUCAGUCACAAUGGACCUAAAUCGGUUUACUUGCUCACGGAACUUUGAAAGCUACCUGCUUGCUGUAGGCCAUCAGAUAAGCCACCACAACCUGCGAAAAUAUCUAAGGUGGCUAAGCGAUUCUUAUGGACAGCAUCCGUCUGUUUGUCAACAGCACCAUCAUGCUUUUCCUCUUUACAUUUCCCAUUUAUCUUUCUACAAGCAGUAUCAUCAGCCACACUCUCUUUUAGCACACUAGUCUCGAUGUGAGGCGGCAACUGGCCAUUAUACAGACAUUACAGUCAGCAUAAGAAGAAACCACGGUUUAAUAAACAUAAUUCACAUGAAUCUAGUUAAGGAAAUGAAUUAAAGGGAAAAUGAGUAAAUAUAAACUACCUGCUUGAUGGUUCCUUUAUCAGGAUCGUAUAAAUGUUCGCAGAAGAAAAUAUGCUCAAAGAUGGUGGGGCUAUCCGAAGGGGCAAGAUCAUGCUUCUUUCUAAUGUCACAUUUGCCUUCUACUCCAGUAACAGGAACUGUCAAUACUAGUUUACUGUAAUAAACCUAAAGAUUCAAUAGCAAAGACACUGUGUAUAAGAUCCACAAUAACAUAAUAACACCAAAAAGUCAAAUAGAAACUUUGUAUCACAGAAAAUAUAAGACAAAAGAAUACGUAAAAUGUUUAGAUUUUACUCCAUUCAAUAAAAAAGAAAUGUUAAAAUCGGUUCCUAGAACAUACUUACUUCUCAGAUUUGAAUUUAUUUUCAGCACCACCUGUUUCUUCACCAAAGACCUGGUGUGGCGUCUUUCCUCCAUUUUUUCAAAAAGACCAGACACAAAUGCACACUUGCUGAUCCUUUUAUUAGGAAGCUCUGCAAAUUGUUGGAGUAUGAUAUGUCCAUGAACCACCACAUACCUUUCAACUUCUGUGGGAUUGGAAGAAAUAUAAGCAGGAUUAGUCUUACUGAACUUGGACACUUUUUUUAUUACAUCUGCAAAUGAGAGUCGAGAUGCUCGACUCUGAUUGUUCAACAUUGUAAUGAGGGCAAUAGCAAGCCUCACAGUUUUUAGAACUGGUUUGUACCAUGCUGCAUACUGCUUUGAUGGCCUUCCAAGCCUAUACCUGAAAUCAAAAUCGCAAAUUUGAUAAGAACUAACACUGACAGAAGAUAAAGAGUACAAAAAGGCAAGCUUAAGCACUAGUACCACCACCAAACCUCUUGAUAGUAUAUGGAUAUAGAUGCAUACCAGGAAAUAUCUGUCCGAACUGAUAUGGAAACGAACGAAUAUCCAAAUUCGAUCAUCCAUUCCUGUAUUGCACUCAAAUAUACUGGUAUUCCCCCAACAUUCUCUGCCACAGAUGAAGACUGAUCAAAAUUAGCAUCAACACAUAAUCCACUUGAAUCACCAGUUGUCAUAAUCCCGGACCCAAAGAUGGUAAUAUCAUUAUCAUCACAUGGUUUAUGGCUUAGCAAAUUUAUUUCCGUGGUGUGUACCACAUUGGCCACUUCCUUUUUUAUGUUGCAUAUUUGUUGAUUCAAAGAAAUAGUACUUUUGUAUCCAUCAAACUUACUUUAUUAAUAUUCUUCAUCAUUUUGGUUAAUGGCUUAGCAAAUGUAGGAGAAGGAGUUAGCCAAAAUAAAUUACUUUCUCUUAUAUUAAUCUUUACUAAUCGCUGAAGGUAAAAAAAAAAAUUAAAACAAGUUAAAACAGUUCCAUCUCAAAAUCAGUAGGGUGUAACUUAGGGAUGUAAAAAACAUCCAUCUAAACUAGAUUCGGACUGGAUCCGACCUAGUCCAGGGAUGAGUCGAUCUAAUCUCGGGCAUCACCUGAUAAGUCUGUGGUCUGGCCAAGAACCUGAAUUUUAUUAAAAAAAAUUAUAAAAUAUAUAUGUUAUAGUAAAUAAUUAUAUCUAUUUAGCUCAUCUAUUACAUUUAUUUAAAAUUUUAAAUAUUUAUAUUUUCAUGCCCAAUUACAAAAUUAUGGAAUAAAUUAAAAAAAUACAUACAUGACAUUAUAAAAUAUAGCAUCCAAGCUUUUUAAGCCCAAACAAAAACUCCGGCCAUUGUGUUCAAAACAUAUGUCCAAAUUAGAUCCAGGCAUUGCCAUAUUGGAGCCCGACCUUGGUUUUGCCAUUACUUUGGAUUAUUAUAAGUAUUUCUAAAUUUCAAUCUAAUUUAAUCAUGUGAUGCACAAAUUACCUUUAUCACUUCUUUCAUUUAGAUACUAAUAAAUUUCACCGAAAUGAUCACCAAAAAACAAAAAAGAGAAAAAUCAUAUAGUUAACUUUUCUUCUUCUUUACUCCAUUAUUCAAUGGGAAUAUAAUAAACUAGGAGAAAGGAGAAAUUAAGGAGAAAAUUAGAUUGAUUGUUGCAAUGAUAAAAACUCAUGCAAGUGCUUAUUCAAAUAUAUGUGUGGCAUUCAUUAAUUUGACCGAAAAUAUAUGAAUUUAUUUGUAUUUUAAUCAAAAUCGAGGGAUAUAAACAAAAUUUUCCCUAAAUUGCAUAAAAUUAAGAAACCAGUAGUCACUGAAAGAGAAACAGAGUAAGAAGAGUUCAAACUUCAAAAGAUGGAACCCGAAGAAGAAACGCUAGCAACAAUCCCUGAAGAAAAGGAAGAUGAUGAUGAAGGCACGGCCAUGCCCGACGUUAAGAACAACUGUAAAAUAAAAACAAAGGGCAGCUCUUCGGACUCGAGCGAUGCCUCUGACGCCGACUCGGAUUCUGACUCAGAAUUCGAAGCAAAACAGAACAUGGAGCUUCAAACCUGAAGAGUAUCAGCUAUCCAAUGAACCUUCCAAUUACGACAUCCAUGUCCACGUAACUUCAAUACGCAUAUUUAUUGAGUGAUUUUGAGGAUACCAUUUGCUUGUUCUUUCUUGGAUUGCGAAAAAAAUGGUUUUUUUUUUUCAGUACAUAAAGGUUUUAAGAAAAAUGGGUGAGAUAGAGAAGUUAAGACAAGCUAGGGAAGCCAUGAAUGAGAUUUUUCCAUUGACUCCUGCCAUGUGGCAAGAAUAGGCGAGAGAUGAAGCCGCUAUUUCAACUAGGUAUGUGUCAUUUCCUUUCUGCAGUGGUUUUUUAUUUUGUGAACAAAUAUUUUUUUGGUUAGAGAUAUAGAUGUUUAUGUUAGUUGUUUGCUAUCGUAAAAAGGAAGAAAACCUGCUCAAAAGGUAUUAAGGAAAGAAAAAAAGGAACCAAUUUGAAGAAGGAGAUAUUUAUAGUGGGAGUUCUAUUCUUUGGGGUUUAAUUGAUGGGAAGAAGAAAUAGCUUAUACGUUUACAGAAUUAGAUAACACAAAUGUGACUCAUUUGUUAAAGGUAUAAAUUUAACAAGCUGAUAGCAGAAUUAACAUAAUGCGAUUAUUACAUUAAAUGAAAUAAAAAACAGUACCCACCGCAGAUAGUUUAGCAAGCUUCCGUCCUCGUGUUUUAGGAACUGGACAUCGGACAUCGGUGAAUUAACCAAAGGAUCAUGAAAGAAUCUCACAAAACAAAAUGGAAACUAUACUUUUUUUUUUGUAAUUGUACAGGUAACUGGACUAAUUUUCAGAUAGUUUUCAAAUUACACUUAUUUACAAAAAAAGCAACAAAAUGAUUUCCUUUCCUUUUGAAACAUUUUGUGGAAUCAAGUAACAGUUAAAUGAUGGGAGAAUAGUUAAAUGAUGAAGACACAAGUUAAGCAGAUCCAAUAAACAGGGGAAAGUGAAUUACUGUCCUCAAGCACAUUCUCUAAUAAUCUCAAUUUUCUACGUACAUUUUUGUGAAUUCAUGUCACAUGCAACAGUCUUUUGGGAUUUGUUGCAUCAAUUCUUUGGUGAUUUAUCUUUUUUUAUUAUUUUAUGACGUAAGAGUCCUGGUAGCAAUACAUUUGGAAUAAAAUGAUUUAAUUUAUUUUUCGUUGUUAUUAAAAAAAAUGAUAUAUUAUUAAUUAAUCAACUCAUCGAGAUAUUGGUUUCAUUUGUAACAACUAGCUAAUUGCUUAGUACAUUGUUGUACUUCUCAUUAUCAAAUCAAGAAGAACUUGUAAAUAAGAACGUAGACGUGGUACGCCAUGAUGUGAUAAAUUUAAUUCAAAUCUAAAUUAAGAGAUGAUUCAUAGAUAUAGGUACAUACUGAACAAAGAUAUUUAAACAUAUGCAUUCAAUUUUAUGAUAUACCUUACAAUAAUUGGUUUAUUGUCCAUAUCAAAGGGAGUGAAUAGAAAUAAUAUAGAAAGUAAAAAAAGAUGAACCAGCGCACAUGAUGAUUUAUAAAAUAAUAAAUUAAAUUUAUAUCAUUUUUAAUAAGUGUGAGAUUAUUUACACUUAAAAUUUAUUUUGAACAUUCUUAUUUUUUACUACAACAAAACCCUCAUUAAGGCCAAUUCAAUAUAAAUAAAUAGAAUAAUAAUACUUUUGACACCAACCUAGCGCUUUCACGCCCAUGUAAAAUUAUUAAACCUUAAAUUUAGAACGUUCUUCCUCAGCAUUAAAACUCGUGCAUUGUUUAAAAGUAUAUUUAACAAAUUUGCACAAAGAGACUCCAUGAUUCAAAUUUCUUUGACUUAAAUUUCAAUUUUUGUUGAAGAUAUAUCUAUUCCAUAUAAAGAUUUCAAUUUUCUGUACAAUCAUGAGCUGCGUAUAUAUAUAUAUACACAUAUAACUGUUCUGCGAAUAUAUAGAAGCAAUUUCAACCAUCCAACUUUUUUUUUUGAAUUUUAAUGAAUAUCAAUUUUAUAUGUUGGACAACUAUGAAAAAUAAAAUUAGCAAAAUGAUAUUAUUAACAAAUAGGAGAGCAAAAGGUAAUUAUAUGUUGGGGUGCUAAAUAUUUUUAUGGGUGUACGGAAAAAAAUAAAGAUAAUAGAAGCAAUGUUAUCGAGGAGUAUUUUGGUAUUUAUGAAAGUGUUCAAAGUGAAAAGUGAUUUCCUAAAAUCUAUUAACUGAUGCACAUAAUAAAAGAGCAUUUUGAGAAAAUUUUAGAUUACAAAUAGUCCCAUCCUUUAAUAUUCCUCAAUCAAUGUGUUUAUUUCAAAAUAAAAAAUCCAUCUAUUUAUUACUUUCUAACUAGUAAUAUUAAUGUGUUAAUAAUUGUGAAGAACCAGUGUAAUUUGUAUGGUGUAGAAAGCCCUUUAGACACAAUAACCCGAAUUGCUAACAGUAGCGGUUGGACUUGCUUGGGAACAGCCUCAAUUCAGUUACUUUUUUUUAUCGUGAUAUUUAAACAUAAGCAUCCGGAUCCGUGCGGAUCCCCACCUUCCACAUCCGGAUCGGCAUUUUUUAAUAUCCGGAUUUAGAUUUUUUCUAGAUCCGGAAGAGGAUAUUUACUUGCCAUCCCUAGUACCGAGCAACAUCCAUCCAUUAGGAGUGAAACUCCAUUGAUUUCAUAAAUAAAAAAUAAAUAACUCGUAAAGAUAAUCUUUGACAAUCACAAGAACAACAACAAUUCACUCCAAUAAACAACAUAACAAAUAUAUGGUCUACAUUGAAAGUCUUUUUAUGAUUUUAAUUGAAAGAGAAAGUACGAAGGACGUAUUAUACAUAAUUGAAUGUUAUCGUUGAUAAUUAGGCAAAAUAAUACUAAUCUAGCUAACUAAUCCAAUCAUCAUAAUAAUCUGAUUUUCAUUAUUUAUUUGAUAUGUCCAAUCAUGUGCUAAUUUAAUAAAGAACACUAAAUGCUUGAGUCUUUAUAUGUUUCAACAACUUUGGCUAAGUUUGAAAAGAACAUAUUAAUUAUGAAUAUUAAUACAUAACCCUGCAAGCUACAGAAUGCAUACAUAUGCAGUUGCAACAAAUACAUAUGUAAUAAAAAGAUCAAUUGUUUUUCACUCGCAUACUACACCCACCCAAACACAAUUAAUAUGUUAUCAAACAAAUAGACACAAUAGAAAUAAAUCUAAUGUGAAAACUGAAAACAAAAACAGCCCCAUCACCAUCAAUAAUUUUGACGAACUGGACAUGGGUGGACCAAGCAUCAUUGAAUAAUUAAAUGAAAAAGAAAACAAAAUUAAAAUCAGUGUCCACCAGAAAGAAUCAAUAUUUACGUGCUGCCUCCUAUUUGGUACAUCUAUCUAACUUUUAAAAAAAAUUGUAGUAUAAAUUAGAGCUCACUUUUUUAGAUAUGGCUCAUAGACAAUACAAGUGUUAAGAUAUAAUUAGAGUUUACAUAUAUACACGUGUCUAAUUCUAAUUGAUAGAUAUACUAUUCAUAAAUACUCAGAUGUUUCUAAAUGAUUGAAUAAUGAUAUUGUAGUGACUUGAUUGCUUUGUUCUCUGAUUAGAAAUAAAUCACUGUCCAAGAACCUUUGUCAAGAUCUGUUCAAGUUGCAAUUAAAUCAACACCAAUAUGAGGCUUCAAUGCUGAUUCACACCAAUAUGCAUAAAUGCACAAUCUACAUCCACGGGAGAAGCCACAGAAAAAGCUUUAUUGAUGAUUCAAAGUGAAUUUUACAGAGCUAAUACAGAGGAGAUUACAAGGAACAAGAAGACUCUUUCUCUCUUUCUAAGAUCUCUCCGGAAAGCUCUCAAAAUCCUAUGCAAAUUUUUUUCAACAACCAGCCUCUUCAUACCUCUGAUAUUAAAACCCAAUUGCACAGCUUUUGGACACGUGUAUAAUGGCUUCAUAACGAAUUUGAUUCCCUUCUCACAUGCGGUCUCACGUGCUUCACUUAAACUUGCUCAAAACGACUGAAACUGAAAGCAGCGUCGUUUUUCCUUAAGUUUAGUGAAGAAGAUAGCAUGUGUGCUGCACGUGACUCGUUAGUGGAUUCACUUACUCAAAGCACAGCCGUUCUAGGGCUUCAAGUUUUGGAUUCAUUGCACUCUAGUCCACAGAUAUUAUUGGUACUUACAAAUUUCAAAGAGGUGAUAACAGAUGGUCUAUUAUAAACACUAAGAAGGGUCCCUAGCAUAGCCUGAACAACUUUACUUAUGGUUUCUCAUCAAAUAAUGUUAUAAAAAAGAAAUACAUAAGUUAGAAGAUUCACAGUAUAUUGGAGUGAAAUUUUUACAUGAAUGACAGUGAAUGAAGUUAUGUUAAUUUACAUUAGGCAGAAACCUUCCUAAAUAGGAAUAGAAAUACUCUAUUAACAUAUCGAAUACUACUUUAAUAACAAUUUAGUUGACAAAAAAAAAAAAAAGCCUUGAUGGCUUGAAAUAAUUAACCAUAAUUAAAUAAUUGUCUUACAUAACCAAAAUUUUCCUUUCUUUAUUUAAUAAGACAUCGCCACACUCCUGAUUUUAUAAUUUAAAGCAUAAAAUAUAAUAGACAAAUUUGAGUUUAAAAAAAUAAAGUUGGUAGAAUGACCUGCAUACUUUUUUUAUCAUUGAGCAUGCAAUUCUCUGAAAAAACUCAUUGUGUGUGUGUCUAUUGUAAAUUUAUGACAUUUACUAAUCUUUUGGGUUUUGUUGUAUCUAUUCUUUGGUACGUGUUCAUCCUGUUUUCGUUCUUUUCUGAUGCAAGAUUCUUGGUUACAUUAAGAAUCAGAGUGAAAUUCCAAUUUUAAAAUUUGGAGAAAUAAAAUGUAAUAUGAUUUUUUUUCAUGAAUAAAACGAUUUAAUUUACUUUUUUCUACUAGCAAAAAUUAUUACUUUAUUAAACCCAUCAAGCUAUUGGCUUCAUUUAUAAACCGGUCAGUCAGUUUUUUAGUUUCAAUUGUUAUCUUUUAAAAGAUAUUAGAAAAAUCUUACUUUGAGUGUAUUUUAUCACUUCACUAAAAUUUUAUUAACCCAUCAAGUUAUUUGCUUCAGCUUUUCGUUCUGUUUUCUUGUAUAUGUUGCAAUUUUCAAGUAUCCCUCAAAAUUUUAGACCGUCAACACCUGCAGGAAAAUUGCAUAUAUUCUAUCAUUCAACCUCAACAAAUAAAUUCUUUUCACUGGAAUCCAACAAUCGUUAAGUGUUAACCUUGUAGUUCUCAAAAGCAGAAAUUGUUGUAUUAAUGUUUUCAAAGUGUCUCAGUUAAAAGAAAACUAAAGAUAGAAGAGAGUGAAAUUUCAACUGAGAUCGUGCCACAUAAGACGAUCGAUUUAAUCUUUUCUGUAUCUUUCUUCUAUCAGCGGACAAUCCUUGAUAUACAGUUGCAAGAGCGAGGUAGGCACGCUCUUGUCCAAAAAGUAUUUUAGCUUCGGACGAAUAUAAAGCCAAAGAUACACCAACGACGUGAGAUUUUGACCAACUGAAGACAGGCAUUCCAGGUUUUGGAAAUCAUAAAUCCAUAAACGGGUUCCUAACUCCUGUGGCGAAAUGACACCAAGUCAUGAAGUCCUCCGAUUGACAGUCGUUGUAGAGAUGAGAAUCUGCUCAAUCCCCCUUCCCCCCACCCAUCGAUGGCUUCCAAAUCUUCAUAUCAUGAAUAUAAAGUGACUGAAUGUUGCUGGGAAACAUACUGAUACAACUUGGCCAAUUGUUGUGAAUCAGAUCGAGCACAAUGAGGCAGCAAAGGAAGAGACCCAGCCUGCAGCAAUGGAAGAAGUCCAACCCUUGAAUGAGACACAAGCUAGAGAGCAGCUCAAGACAGGUCCAGCUCGCGCGAGAAAGAAACCAGGAUGGCUCAAAGACUUUGUCAUUUGAGGAAUGUUCGAGAAUGCUUGAGAUAUUAUAAUAACGAAUAUUGUUCUGUUUUCAAUUAUUGUUUUGUUGUUAUCAAUUUUAUUCUAUUUCGUUAGUUAAGGGUGCGUGGCUGUUUUUGGAAGGGAGAAUAUAUUGUACUGUCAAGGGACCCGUGAGGGAUAUCAAAAAGAAUAUAUCAUUUUGUCCUUUUUUCAGCUUCGUCGUCUUUCUCUUCUCUGCAACUCCCCUGUCCCCUUUCUCUUUCUUCAAAUUCUUUUCCCCACAGAUUGGAGCCUGCACUCGCUCAAAGAGUGUCGUAUCAAUUGGUGCUUUCAUUGCAUUUCAUCUCUUCACACAAAAAAAAAAACAAAAGAAACACAGAUGUCUCUCACAGAACCAACGACUGAUUCAGCAGUUCUCUCCACCAUGAAGACGCUCAUUGAAAAUCAAACGCUUGCUGUUCAUCAGACCAUACAGCAAUAUAUGUCCACGGUGGAUUCUCGAUUUGAGGAGCUACGUUCCCAAAUCAAUGGUUCCGUCGGAGCGUCAGUGGGUUCUUCCCGCCCAAUGGCACCGGAACCAGCGUCUUCGACUGUACUGUCAGGUGUUUCUGAUAUCUCUCCUCUGUUGCGUUCUAUGAAAAUGGAUGUCCCAAAAUUUGAUGGCACUGAUCCGACUGGUUGGGAUUUUCGAAUCAAUGAGUUCUUUGAUUUUCACGGCACCCCUGACCAUUUACGCCUUCGUAUUGUAUCUUUUCACAUGGAGGGAAAAGCAGCAGCAUGGUAUCAAUGGAUGAAGGCCAACAACUUGCUGAGCACUUGGCAGAAUUUUUUACUCAAUCUUAAGCAAAGAUUUGGUACAUCCAUGUAUGAAGAUCAUCCAGGUAACCUUUCCAAGCUCUCCCAAACGUCGACUGUUGCUGAUUUUCAGUCUGCCUUUGAGGAUUUGAUGAACAAGGUCACGGGCAUCUCCGAGCCAUUGUUGGUUAGUUUCUUUAUCACGGGCUUAAAACCCGAUAUCAGACGAGAAUUAUUAUUUGCAAGACCCACAUCUCUCAUGGAGGCUUUUGCUUUAGCCAAAGCUUAUGAGGCACGAUCGGAAGAAAUCAAGACCUCGAGCCGUUCUUGGACAAAGCGGACACCCUCAUCUAGUCACACCCACCAAUCCACCAUUACUGCCUCCCCACAUCCUGCAUCAUAUAAAACCCCAACAACAACUCUUCUUCCUAGUUUGUCAGCCACUAAACAGCCACGUCAACCCCCAUUAUUGCCUACUCCCACCUUGCCCAUUCGUCGAUUAACUCCAGCAGAAUUAAGAGAGAAAAGAGAAAAAGGGCUCUGUUACAACUGCGACAAAAAAUAUAGCGCCACACAUCGCUGCCGUAGCAAGUUUUUGUUAUUAAUGGGUACAGAUGAUGAAGAUGAUGAGCCAAGUGAGGACGCUUUUAGUCAUGCACAACCAGACGAAGUAGUCACAGCGGACAUAUCUAGUUUGAAUGCCUUGGCUGGGCAAACUAAUCCACGAUCUUUAAGGGUGCUGGGCACCGUUGCCAGCUAUCAGUUUCAGGUGUUAAUUGACAGUGGCAGUACCCGCAAUUUUCUUAAGCCGCCAUUGGCUGAACGCCUUGGCCUUUCUGUUCAAGCUAUAACUCCUUUUCGAGUUUACAUUGGCAAUGGCGAUUUUCUUACUUGUCGAUUUCUCUGCCCUAAAGUGCCUAUCAAUAUGCAGGGGCAUGAAUUUCUUUUGGAUUUCUUCCUUUUGCCAAUCGAAGGCCCUGAUGCUGUCCUUGGGAUUCAAUGGUUACAAAGCUUGGGAAGAAUUUCUACGGAUUACUCCGAGAUGACGAUGGAGUUUCAGUGGGAGGGAAAAUCUGUCAUUUUACGGGGAGACCCAAUUCCAAACCCGAAUUUAAUCUCUUUUAACCAGUUUCAUGCCUUGCUAUCCAACUCCAAAAUUGACAGCUUAUUUGAACUUCAUUCUUUACCAACUGAGCCAUCAGCAACUCACACAUCUACCAACACAUUGCCAGAUAAUGACUUAGAAUUUCUGAGGUCGUUGCCUGAACCUAUUACUACUCUCCUUAAAAAAUUUAAGGCAUUAUUUGCUCCACCCACUGGUCUUCCCCCUCAACGGCUAUUUGAUCACAAAAUACACCUUAUUCCCAAUUCCAAACCAGUCAACGUUCGCCCAUAUCGGUAUCCUUAUUUUCAGAAAACCGAAAUGGAGAAAUUGGUGAGAGAAAUGUUAAAUCAAGGCAUCAUAAAACCCAGCCAAAGCCCGUUUUCUUCACCGGUAAUGCUAGUAAAGAAAAAGGAUGGCUCCUACAGAUUCUGCGUGGAUUACCGCGCUUUGAAUGCGGUGACGGUAAAGGACAAAUUUCCCAUCCCCACCAUUGAUGAAUUGUUUGACGAACAUGGCGGUGCUAGGAUUUUCAGCAAACUUGAUCUCAGAGCCGGUUAUCACCAGAUAAGAGUUCACAAGAGGGAUACUUAUAAAACAACGUUUCGUACGCAUGAUGGACACUACGAGUUUCUUGUUAUGCCGUUCGGUUUGACCAACGCGCCGUCCACUUUUCAAGCAACAAUGAACCAACUAUUUGCUUCCUUUUUACAUAAAUUUGUUAUUGUCUUUUUUGAUGAUAUAUUGGUCUAUAGUGCAUCAUUGGCUGAUCAUGUGUAUCAUUUGGAGCAGGUCAUGAGUUGUUUAUACACAUCUCAAUUUUAUGUCAAAUUCUCCAAAUGUUUAUUUUGUCAGGAAUCAAUUGAUUAUUUGGGCCAUAUUGAGUCGGCUCGAGGAGUGCACGCUGAUCCGCAAAAGAUCACAGCCAUGGUAGAUUGGCCCUUGCCUAAAUCGGUGAAGCAACUGAGAGGGUUCUUGGGGUUGACAGGGUACUACCGACGUUUUAUUCAAGGCUAUGCAACCAUCGCAGCUCCUCUCAUUGAGUUGCUUUAUAAGGAGGCUUUUCAUUGGAAUUUGGCAGCUACUCAAGCUUUUCAAGCAUUAAAGAAGGCUCUUGUGGAAGCCCCUGUACUUCACUUGCCGAAUUUUGCCUUGGAGUUUGUCAUUGAGACCAAUGGGUCUAAUGUCGGGAUCGGUGUUGUGUUAAUGCAAGCUGGGCAUCCUCUAUCUUAUUUUAUCAAAAAGUUGGGUCCUCGAAUGCGUGCAUCCUCGACAUAUUUGAAGGAAUUAUAUGCUAUUGUAGCUGCGGUUCAAAAAUGGCGUCAAUACCUCCUUGGCAGAUUUUUCCUUAUACGAACUGACCAUAAAAGCAUAAAGGAACUGUUUCAACAAGUUAUUCACACCCCAGAGCAGCAAAUUUACAUUCGCAAGUUGAUGGGUUAUCAAUUCAGAAUUGAUUAUAAAGCUGGUACCUUCAAUAAAGCUGCUGACGCUUUAUCGCGAAUUCAUGGGGACAACUUGACUGAAGAACCCAACCCAACGACUCUCUAUUUGUCGUUUGUAAGCCAACCUUCUAGUGAACUAUUGACAAAUCUGCACAAGGAAAAUUGCUCUCUUCAUGAUAUGAAACAACUCCAUCAGAGGUAUGCAGCCGGUUCACUUUCUUCUGACUUCUCGGUUCAAGAAGGGUUCCUGCUAUUUCGACAUCGAUAUUACCUCAGCCCCGACUCAUCAUUAAAAGCCGUGCUACUCAAAGAGUUUCACGAGACACCAAUGGCAGGACAUGCUGGUAUUAAAAAGACAUUGGUACGUCUUUCAUCAAAUUUCUUUUGGCCUAAGAUGAGGAAAGAUGUUGAGCAACUUGUAGCUGCUUGCCUUGUUUGCCAGCAAAUUAAAUACUCAACUCAAGCACCGGCGGGUCUGUUACAACCCUUGCCUGUCCCUUCAUUAGUUUAGGAUGAGUUAACCAUGGAUUUCAUUACAGGGCUGCCACUUUCGAGAGGAUUUGAAGCAAUUCUGGUUGUUGUGGAUCGUUUAUCAAAGUCAGCUCACUUUGGAGCCUUGCCUUCUCAAUUUACUGCCAUCAAAACAGCAGCUUUAUUUGCUGACAUGGUUGUGAAAUUACAUGGAUUUCCUAGCUCUAUAAUUUCAUAUCGUGAUCCUAUAUUCAUGAGCAACUUUUGGCAGAAAUUGUUUGAUUUAAGUGGGACACAGUUACGCCACAGCACGGCUUACCACCCUCAAACGGAUGGCCAAUCCGAAGUAGUUAACCGAGGGCUUGAGCAAUAUUUACGAGCCUUCACACAAGACAAGCCACAGACAUGGUCUUCAUUUUUAAGCUGGGCUGAAUUUUGCUACAAUACCAGUUAUCACUGCAGCUUGCGUAUGACUCCCUUUCAAGCCCUUUAUGGCCGUCUUCCUCCCACAAUUCCAAGUUACUCAAGGGGCUCUACUUCAAUCCAAGCUUUAGAAGACAUGUUAAUUGAGAGGGAUGCCAUGCUUUGCUCAUUAAAAGAGAACUUACGACAAGCUCAGCAUCGAAUGGCUCAAAAGGCUAAUUUACAUCGCCGAGAAACUCAAUUGCAGGUAGGUGAUAAAGUGCUGGUGCACCUUCAGCCAUAUCGCCAGACAUCAGUUGCUAAGCGCUCAUCUCACAAGCUGGCAAGGCGCUAUUAUGGACCGUUCACAAUGGUAGAGCGUAUUGGACCCGUUGCUUACAAGUUAGAGUUACCCACAAAUUGUAGAAUUCACCCGGUGUUCCAUAUUUCCUUACUAAAACCUUAUGUGGGAAACUCCCCCAUUGAUGUUUAUUCACUGCCUCCAGGAAGUGUGGAUAACAAGCCCCUGUCAUCGCCAAUUGCAGUAUGUGCUGAGCGAAAGAUACUUCGACAAGGCAAAGAAAUUCCACAAAUUUUGGUGCAAUGGUCUGAUAGCUCACCAGAAAAUUCGACUUGGGAGGACUUUGAGGAAUUUGGUAAACUCUACCCUGCACUACACCUUGAGGACAAGGUAAGCUUUCAAGGAAUGGGGAAUGAUACAACUUGGCCAAUUGUUGUGAAUCAGAUCGAGCACAAUGAGGCAGCAAAGGAAGAGACCCAGCCUGCAGCAAUGGAAGAAGUCCAACCCUUGAAUGAGACACAAGCUAGAGAGCAGCUCAAGACAGGUCCAGCUCGCGCGAGAAAGAAACCAGGAUGGCUCAAAGACUUUGUCAUUUGAGGAAUGUUCGAGAAUGCUUGAGAUAUUAUAAUAACGAAUAUUGUUCUGUUUUCAAUUAUUGUUUUGUUGUUAUCAAUUUUAUUCUAUUUCGUUAGUUAAGGGUGCGUGGCUGUUUUUGGAAGGGAGAAUAUAUUGUACUGUCAAGGGACCCGUGAGGGAUAUCAAAAAGAAUAUAUCAUUUUGUCCUUUUUUCAGCUUCGUCGUCUUUCUCUUCUCUGCAACUCCCCUGUCCCCUUUCUCUUUCUUCAAAUUCUUUUCCCCACAGAUUGGAGCCUGCACUCGCUCAAAGAGUGUCGUAUCACAUACCAUCAUCUGCCUCAACUGGGAAGCAGUACCCUAUACGCUUGCCAGGCCUGCUCUGUUAAAUCUUGAAGACUGUGCUUGUCCUUGCGUGAGGCCUCUAGUUUAUCACACCACGUUAUUUGGAGCUUAGUCAGUUCCGCAGAAGGCAACCCUCCGUCAGGAAAGGGUCAUUUCAAUAAAAGCAUAGUACAAUUGCUUAACUAAUUUUUUGAAAACAGAGAUAUGAGAGAUUGACAAUUUACAAUUGGUUAACUGCUCAAGAAGAGAGCAAGCUUGAAAUAUGAAAUAUGAAAAAGAGAACAUAAAUGACAAAUCUUAAGGAAUUGGCAGGAUUCACGUCCGACCAACUCCACGUUGCUAAAGCAAAGGAUUAAUUUUUGAGAAAUUGUAAAGAAACUAAUACAAGUGAAAUGAGAGCCUGUUCAUUUGAUUAUUGGCUAAGGGUGAUUUCAGUAACGUUUUCAAAGAAGAUAUAGGACAAAGAUCAAAACGACAAAAUAAGAAAUUUCCACACAUGCGUGCAUGUGUCUGACCAACAGAACAUGGCUUGUGGCAAGGAUCGAUCAAAGAAAUAUAAACUUACAAUUUUAUUAAAGUAAGCAUCAAAAUGUUUGGCAAGUUUUAGAUUUGUAGAAUAUUGGGAAAACAGACAAAUCAUCAAUGAAGACAUUGCAAGUUAGCAGAUCAAUUAAACAGAGGAAAUAACUGAUCAAUUCUUUGUUCAAUGGCCACAGCAAUAGAUUAAAUAUAUCUACAAGACUACAUUAAUCCUAAUGGCAUUGUAGCAUCUCCAUGCAACAUUACAUUAAGAUGAAACGUAAUUAUUAAUUUAAUUAUAUAGUAAGCGACUCUUACAGAAAAAUAAGAAAUGAAAUAAGGCAAAAUCAAUAAAAGUACAUUUUAUAAAAGACACAGAUACAUAGUAUAAAUUUAGUUUUGAAUUACAUAAUUAUUAAUUUAUAUAGUAAGCGAGUCUUACAGAAAAAUAAGAAUUUUUUAAAAGAGAUUUGCUGAAGGAAAAAGUUUAGUUUGGUUUAGCUUGUGAAGGCUCAAGUAAUUGAAAGCAAUGCAAGCGAAGGAAACAUAUACUUCACCACGUUAUCUCUGUUUUCUCUAUGAUUUUGUCUCUGAUUCAUCUCUUUCUUUCUUCUUAAUUCUAUUUCUUGGAAGUUUAAGUCUGGUUUGUCGAAUAUUGAGUUGAUUCAGAUUCGGUUCUGUGCUUGUGCAUCUUGUGUUGGUCUCAUUCAAGAUCUUGGGCAGAGUCUUCGGUUUGACAAGUUAAUUAGAUCGUCCAAAGCUCUACAUUUUUUUUUUAAACAAAAAAAGAAGCACAGUCUGCUAUUAAUACUAUAUAAACUCGUGUCUAAUUACCAAAAUAAAUUCAACAUUAACAAAUAAUAAAAGCUAAUUUCAUUGUUACCGCCUUUUGUGCUUUCUUUUAUUUUAUUUUUUUCUUUUUGUUAUUGAAGAUACGUCGCAAACUGCUUUGCCCGGAAGCUAAUUAUAGAAUUUCCUCAGUGGCCAUCCAUUUUUAUGUCUAUUUUAUGUACUAUUGGCCACCAAGUAGCUUGCUCAUAUAUGUGUAUUGGGUUGUCACAGGCCUUAAAGCUGAAAAUCCAUCCCCAAUCUAAAGUGAAAAACAGUUGCUAGAACAGAAUCUAUGUUUUGAUGUCUUAGUUUAUAAGCUCAAACAAAUUAAUAGUAUACAGAAAAUGCAUGAUAGAACCCAAAACUCAUAUUGAUUUUUUAGUUUCGAAAUUCAUUUCAGAAAAUCUGUUCCGUUCAACAGAUCCAACUAAAAUUACCAACUAAACUCUAGCCACGUACUUGUGUACAUAUAGGUAGAGCACUAGGUCAACAAAGGAGUCCAUCUUUAAGGCCUUGUCUAAGACUGUGGUUGUCUUUUUCAUGAGCUUCUUGUUAGAUUAAUUUUAUAUUAAUCUAAUAUUUAGGGCCACACAUGAAAUAAAUAAAAUGUGUGUGCUAUUAUUUAAUAAGUCAAGAAUUAAGUGAUUUAUUUGAAUUUAAUUAAAUGGGAAAGAGUAUAAUUGUUGUGGAUUAAAUGCAUAGAUACCAGAAUUUAAUUAUCACUUUAAUGAGGGGCUGAAGUGAUAAUUAUCAUAAAUAACUGCUGAACAGUUUUCAUUAGAAAACCACCAGUCAUGUUAUUGAAUUAAAAGGGGUUAUGGUCCCCAAUCUCUCUUCAUCCUCUGCAAUUUCUCUAAUCCUCUUAGAGAGAAUUCUACACUCUAGAGAAAAAGAGAAGAUUGGAUGUUCAUCUCCUAUACUCAAGAACCACUACGAAUCACCGUGGAUUCAGGUAUGCUUCCGCUUUCGUAUUUCUCAGUAAUUUAAUCUGGAUGUUAUGAGGACUUAAGGUUUUACACUUCUGGCUUUCCAGCUUGCUGAGCGACGUACACAUAAAGAGGUUAUCCUUCUCUUUUUUACUCUGUUUUCAUAUCACAGAAUCCAUUUUUGAAUAUAUGUAUUUAGGUACACACACGCAUGAAUAUGCAUGUUUUUAUGAGUAUAUUUAAGUAUAUCCAAUGUUGAAUAUAUCCAAUGUUGAAUAACUCUUCCAUUUGAACAUGACAGUAAUCAGAUAGUUGAUAUUUAUGUUACAAAAAUUGGAAGCAACAUAAGGAAUUCAGAAUCAUGCAAGGACUUGGAUGUUUUCGUUAAUUCACUGGGCAUAUGUUUAUCCAACCUCUGAUUUUUCUUAAUAUUUCUCACUUGUUCAUUUCAUGGCACUUUUAGCCGCUACAUUGGCAUUUUCUGCCAUUUGCUUUUGUUCAUUGAAGUAAGUUAGCUUAUGAAAUUGCUUUUUGACAAAUGUUCUUCAGAGGGAUUGUGAAAAGGCCAAAUCAACUGAGAUGAUCGGGUUUUCUAGAUCAGCCAUCUCUGUCCUCAACGGUGCUGAACCGUCAAUUACUGAGACACCAAACUCUGACCUGAUUCAUAUGGAUGUAGACCAAAGCUUCUUGCCUGCACCAUCUCUGGUCAAAGCUGCUAUCUUUGAAAGUUUUGCAGGACAAAACAUGUCUGAGUCAGAAAUUGACGUCACCCCUAGCGUAAGACAUAUAUAUCAAGAGCAAUUUUGGUUUCUCAGUCGAUACAGAUACAGAAUUCACAUAUGCAGGUUGCUCUCAAUCUCUGUUUAAUAGGCUAGUCCUCUGCUGUAUCCUAGAAGGUGGACCAUUAUGCUUCCCAGCUGGCUCGAAUGGGAACUAUGUUUCUGCUGCAAAAUUUUUGAAAGCCAACAUUGUGAAUAUCCCUACUGAAUAUGAAGUGGGCUUUAAGGUGACAGAGAAGACACUUGUGACAAUACUCGAGACUGUAAAGAAGCCGUGGGUAAACAUUUCUGGUCCAACCGUCAAUCCAACUGGCUUGCUUUACAGCAACCGUCAAUCCAUUUCUCUAUUACUUUCUAACUUGUCAUAUUAAUGUGUUAAUAGUUGUGAAGAUCCGGUGUAAUUUAUAUGAUGUAGGAAGCACUUUAGACACAAUAACCAGAAAUUCUGAGAGUAGUGGCUGGACUUGCUUGAACACAACCUCCGUUUCAAUUACUUCUUUGACUGUGCCCAAACUCUUUCAAGGCUAAUUUCAAAAUUUUUUCAUAUUGUGCCUAAAUCGCUUCCUACAUCAUUAUAACAGUUUUUUUAAAGUUGCUGAGUCCAAAUCUCCAAUAACUAAUAAAUUAUGAUAAGAAAUAGAAAUAUUAAUAGUGAUGCCACAAACGCUUAGAAGCCCCUUGUUUUCAGUGCAUCACAUUCCGAAAUUGAAAUUAACAGUAGUUGCGAAGGCAGAGCAGCCCCUGUUUUUUUACAAUUGUACAAAAAUGGGAAGUAAAGCCAAUUCAGGGAGCUCCCCUGCUUUCGACUUAAACAUACAUAAUCCGAAGAAUUUAUAAUUAAAUAAAUCAUUCAAAAUCUCCUUUAAUUGAACCCCCACUUCUACGGUUUAAUAGGUGGCUAACGUAGUGAAAUUAACAUUUGGCUCAUGAAGUUGCCAUUAUAUGUAUUGAAAAAUAAAAUAAUACAAGAAAUUGAAAAUUAUUUGGCACUGGAACAUGUUGGAUUGUUAGUUGUUAAUUACGAUGGGUAUAUAAUCUGUCAGCAAUUCUCCUCCUAGAAUCUGCAAAUUAAUUAAUUAAAAAAUAAAAUUAUUAAAAUAUUAAAUGCAAAUUAAUUAAUUAAAAAAUAAAAUUAUUAAAAUAUUAAAUGCAAAUUAAUUAAUUAUUAAUUUAUAGAUUUACGUUUUGCAAAUUGUGCGCGGGAUGACAAAAAAUGCAAUCAUGUGCCGUUAACAUUUACAUGGUUAAUGUCAUCAAGAUCACAUGGUUGUUAUUUAUGAAAAGAGAAUUGCUGGAAAUUUUGUUAAUCCACUAUUGCAACAAUAUAUUGUUAUAAAUUGCAUUGUGUAAUGUAUGUGAACCAAAAAAAAAAAAAGGCGGUAAAGUAAAAUCAAUAAAAAUAGGGAAAAGGACACAAAGACCCCCAACGUUUAAAUAAGGGACACAAAAUUUCCUAAUGUUUCAAAAAAGACACUCAGACCCCUAUUUGUUAAUAGUAAAUUAUAAUUUUACCAUUAUACCCUUAUAGCAUAUUAAAAAAUAAUUGUUCAUUAUCCAAUUUAUUUCUAUAUUAUUAAUAAAAUUACGAAUAUAACUUCAUUACCCAAUUUUUCCAUUUAAUUUUUAUCAAAUUUUAUCUUCAAACUAAAUAAAUUUAAUCCAAUGCUCAAAAAUAAAAAUAAAUUAAAUUGAUUAUUAAUAUAAUAAAAAUAACAAUUCUCCAUAUGUUAUUUCUUAUAAUUUCUUAUAUAUAAAUUAAAUUGACAAUUUCUUAAAAAUAACAAUUCUCCAUAUAUAAAUUAAAUUUAUUUUAAUUUAAUAUAUGUUAUUUUUAUAUUAAAUAUAUGUUAUUUUUAUUAUAUUAGUAAUCAAUUUAAUUUAUUUUUAUUCUUAAGUAAUGGAUUAAAUUUAUUUAGUUUGAAGAGAAAAUUUGACAAAAAUUAAAUGGAAAAAUUGGAUAAUGAAGUUAUAUUCGUAAUUUUAUUAAUAAUAUAGGAAUAAAUUGGAUAAUGAACAAUUAUUUUUUAAUAUGCUAUAAGGGUAUAAUGGUAAAAUUAUAAUUUACUGUUAACAAAUGGGGAUCUGAGUGUCUUUUUUGAAACAUUAGAGAGUUUUGUGUCCCUUAUUCAAACAUUGGGGGUCUCUGUGUCCUUUUCCCAUAAAAAUAAAAGAAGAAGCUGGAAACAGGGAGAACACAUACACACGUGUGAGAGAGAAGAAGAAGCUACCAAAAACCCGACCCGCACCCGAGAACCGACCGGUUGUAUUUCACGAUACCGGCCACCUCACCGGCCGAGCAAGGUAUCAAUUAGAAGCUUAAAGACUGGCCAUUAUAUCCCAGCCGUCAGCGUCGCCAAAAACCGACCGGAACGCCGCCGUUUGUAGCACGAAAAACUGGCCAUUCCCGUCCGACCAUUCCCGUCACCUGAAACGGCCGAAUUGCCAUCGACCGGCUACUUAGAGGCUCACGGCUGUGGGAGCUCGAUCCACCGCCAUCGUCGCGCGUGGGAUGUCACCGCUGGCACCGUUGGAUAUAAAUCAAUCACCAUAGACUCUCUUUGUCUCAUAACACAAUGGGUGAUGAUUUGAUCAACAUUCGUUAGAGCUGCAGUUCUUUCUUUUGGGUACUUUUUUAUUUUCAUUCAGUCAGAUUCAGUUGCAUAUUUUCUUUUAGUCCAAAUCGAAAUCAGAUAUUAAGUACAUCUUCCAGAAUGGAUGCAACAAAAAUUCUAUCUGAUCUGCAGUUCAUGAAAAGUGGCCGAAUGCUUCCGGCAAUUCAGGCAAAUAGAAGCUUUGUUGACUGAUUGCUCUUCGUGUGAAAUUCUACCUAAUGGCUAUCCUUUUAAUGGUUUAAAUUCUUCUUUUUUUUCAUUGAACUGUUGAUUUAUACUGUCUUGUAUGCAAAUUAAAUUCGGAAUUUCUGAUGAUAUAAUCUUGAUUUAGAACAGAUUCGGUAACAUGUGGCAUUCUACAUUCUUGCAAUGCCAUUUCUUGUUAUGGCAGCAGCAUUUUUUAUCAUCGUUUCUAGAGAGAAUGAAGAGAGAGAGAAAGUAUCAUCUUAUUCCUUGUUAGUUUCUCCGUGUGAGCUCUGUAAAAUUACUUUGAAUCAUAAAUAAAACCCAAGUCAUAUGUAGCUAGUUUCUGUGUGUGAUUGUUUGUUAAUCUUGCUUAUUUCUUUUUUCCUAAUGGCUGAAAUAUUGCUUUAAGUUCUCAAGUCAUCUAUUGAGUUCAUCGAGGUCAUUCCAUUGUUCAUAUGUAGCUAGUUUGAUCUUGAACAAGGUCUUGGGCAGUGUUUUGAUGGCUUGAUUAGCGGCUAUCUUGACAGUACAAUUGGUAUCAGAACUAGUUCUUCAGAUCAAGAUCCAAGUAUGGCUACAUCAAAGAUUGAUCUCCAGAAGUUCAAUGGAAAGAACUUUAAUAUACAAAACUUGUAUCUAAUGGUUUACAUUUGGAGAUGAUGUAAUAAAGUGCUUUUGAUAAAUUCGCCUGGUCGGUUUACUACUUCACUAACCAUUAAUGAGCAAAUCCUCCCAGUGACCCUCAAACUCUUCUACACAAUUAUAAUAAUUUCAGUUUUAGAUAUACAAAAAUAAACAGCUCUCAAAUAUAUUAUUUGAUAAUGACAAAAACAACAAUUCACUCCAAUAAAUCUCAUAAUAAAUACAUGGUCUCUAUUGCAAGUCUUUUUAGGACGCAUUCAAAAAGAAAACAUAGGGAAUGGCAUUGCAAGAAUAUGGAAUCAGAAUAAAAGUGAUACAGAGAGAAAAAAAAGGGGGGGGGGGGGGGGAUGGUCGGAUUGCUUUGUUUGCAAAUUAGGAAAUAACUUUUGUAAAAUAAAAGUUAUUUUACUAAUGAUGGUGAUUAAUUUAUUUAACUUGUCAUAGUCUUUAAUUAAGAAUGAAGUGCAAUAAAAGCUUGUUGAAUUUCAUCAAAGGCUUGUAUCUCAUCUCACAAAUUGGCAAUAUCGAUCGGCUUCUUUAUAGGCGUAGCCAUGACGAAUUUAUCACUUCUUUCAUAUUGAUACCCAUAAAUUUCAACCUUAUUUUAUUUUUGAUGCACAUUCUAACUUAACAAAAAUAGUAUUCAAAUUGUCAGAAUUUUUUUUUUAAAAAAAUCAUAUACAAUAUAACCUCUAUAAAUUAAUACUCGAUAAAUUAAUAAUCUCUAUAAUAUAAUAAUUUUUUGCGGUCUCGACUUGGGCCUUGAAGCAAAAUUAAUAAUUUCGAUAAAUUAAAAAUAAUAAUUUUUCUGAAAACUCCUAUAUAACUCUGUGAUCUCAUUUAUAUCAUAAAUUAAUAAUUGUAGAAAUUACAAAUACUGUGAAAUUACAAAUGUAACUGACUAUGUAAAUUUAUUAAAAUAUGAGCUUAUUGUAAAUUAAUACAUUAUUUAUUUGAUGAAUUUAUUUAAAUUCUAUUGAUUAUAUUUGUAAAAUAUAAUGAAUUUUCAGUCAAUUAAAUGUUAGUUCUUUGUACUGUGAAUACACUCUAUAAAUUAAUAAAUUAUUAAUUUAAUGAUUAAUUAAUAUCUCUCUAAAUUAGUAAAUUCCUGUAGUCCUGACAUUAUUAAUUUAUACAGAUUAUACUGUACAGGGGUUCAUUUUUCUUCUUCUUUACUACAGGAUCACAUGGUUGUUAUUUAUGAAAAGAGAAUUGCUAGAAAUUUUGCUAAUCCACCAUUGCAACACUAUAUUGUUAUAAAUUGCAUCGUUUCCCAUAUAACAAAUAUAAUAAAAUUUUGAUAAAUUAAUAUCUCUGGGACCAUGAAAUAAUUUAUUAAACUUUAACGAAUAUCAAUUAUUUGAUAAAUUAAUUAAUUACUAAUUUAUGAAAGUAUUCGUUAUUUUAGAAAAAUAUGAUUACGUUUAUAGUAUUGAUUUCCCUUGAGUUGGAAUCUAUUAUGUUUUAUUUGAAUAAUACUUUUCUUUUAAGAAGAUUUUUUAAUAGUUAAUUGCUUUAUGAUUUCAAACAAAGAAGUAGAUGAUACUAACGUUGACUAAUUUUUUGUUGCAAAACAACAAUACUAACUAGGAUUUCUUUUCGCAUUACAAAAAGUCAAAGACGAGAUCUAAGUUGAAAUUAAUUUAAAAAAGAAGCAAACAAUGCUAAGAACAUAUUUUACACAAGCUAUAUGGACAUGUCAUAUGGAUUUCGUUUUUAUACUAGGUAAUUAUUAAUUUAUAUGAUAACAAAUUUCCUUCAAACUAUAGUAUUUGAAUUUGAAUUUUUUUUUAAAAAAAAUUUAGUAUUACAAUAAUAGUCGUGACUCGAUUGGUUUCGGUUUUAUAAGAAAAAGGUGGGGAAAUAGACAGACAAUGAAGGAACGAGUUAAGCAGAGCCAAUAAACAGGGGAAAGUUAAUUACUGUCCUUGAGCACAUUAAUAAUCUCGGCUUUCUAUGUACAAUUUUGUAAAUUCAUGUCAUAUACUAGAGUCUUCUGGGUUUUGUUGCAUCAAUUCUUUGCUGUUUAUCUUGUUUUAUUAUUUUAUGACGCAAGAGUCCUGGUAGCGAUGUAUCAAGAGUAAAAAUAUUUAAUUUAUUUUUCAUUAUUAUUGGUUUCUUUGUAACAAUUAAUUAAUCGACCCAUCGAGGUAUAUUGGUUUCUUUGUAACAAUUAGUUAAUUGCUUAAUACUUUUUUGUACUUCUCGCCAUGAAAUCACGAAGUACUUGCAAAUAAGAUCAUAGAGGUGGUGUGUUGUGAUGUGAUAAAAUCAUAUCUAAAUUAAGAGAUGAUUCAUAUAUAUAGGCACAUAUUGAGUAAAGAUAUUUAAACACAAGCAUUCAAUUUUACGAUAUACCUAAUAAUCAAAGGUUUAAUGCUCAGGUUAAAAGAGAGUGAAUAAAAAUAAAUGUAAAAAUAUAAAAAGAUAAACAAGUGAACAUGAUAAUUUAUUAAAUAAAAAACUAAAUUUAUAUCUAUUUUAAUAAGUGUGAAAUUAUUUACACUCUAAAAUUUAUUUUGAGCACUUAUAUUUUUUAUUUCAAAAAACUUCAUAAUUCCAUUUACUAAUAAGGACGAUUCAACAUAAGUAAAUAGGACAAUAAUACUUUUGGCAUUCAUGUAGCGCGCGCACAUUCAUGUAAAAUUCUUAAACCUUGUAGAACACUCUUCAUCAAAACUCAUUUAAAAGCAUAUUUUUCUGACUUAGAUUUCGAGGAGGUUCUAUGGGAAUGACCAACUGCUGAAAAAACAAAUAAAAAAAUCAAAUACAAAUGUAGAAUAUUCUCAUUAAAUUUUAUUUUUUGUGCACAAACAUGGCCUGCAUAUAUACAAAAAUAACUGUUCUACGAAUAUGUAGAAGCAAUCUCAACUGUCCAAUUUUCUUUUCAAAUUUUAACGAAUAUAAAUUUUAUAUGUUGAAUAACUAUGGAAAUUAAGAUUAGGAAAAUGAUACUAUCAACAAAUAAGGAAAGCAAAGGCAGUUAAUAUUGGUGCGACAAAUAUUUUUAUGAGUGUACUAAGAAAAAUAAAGAUAAUAAAAGGAAUACUAUUGGUAAUGUCAAUAGCAUUCUUUCAUAUAGUGCACAAAUUACUUUUAUCACUUCUUUCAUAUAAAUACUCAUAAAUUUUACCCAAAUUGUCAAAAAAAAGAAAAAAAAACCAUAUAGUUAAUUUUUCUUCUUCUUUAAUCCAUUAUUCAAUAGGAGUAUAAUAAAUAGGGAUGGCAAUGGGGAGGGGAGGGGAGGGGACCAAUCUCUCCGUACCCAUCCCCGAUACUUUGCGUAAGUCCCCGUCCCCGUCAGGAUUAUUUAAGAGAAUCUUCAUCCCCUCCCCAAAUAAUAACAGGGGAUCCCCGAGGGUUCCCGAUCCCCGAAUAACUAAUAUAUAUUUUUUGUUUUCGAUUUUGAGUUAAUCAUAUUAAAAUAAAAAAUUCAAAUAAAAAUAAAGUUCGAAAUAUAUCUUACAUUAAUAUCCAUUACAAAAGUUACAUACAUUAAAUUAGUAAGUAACACAACAUGCAAGGGAUACAAACUAUCAUGAACAAAUUAAUAGUCUAAUACAAAAUUGUUACAAAUAAAAUCAAAUUUAGAUUCAAAAUUAACUUUUCAAUGGUGGUGUGGGCACUUUAUAAAUGUGGACUACUUCCUUUACAGCACAAUAGUUAAGUCGAAGCAAAUCAAGAGCAAAUAUUAGAUUAGAUAAGAUAUUAAAAUUGUGAUUUGCUGUGGGCAAUUAUAACAUCUAAAAAUAAAUAAAAAAUAGAUUUAAGUUUAAAAUAUGUAAUGAAUAUUAAGAUUAAAACAAAAGUUUUGGGAUAAUAGAAUCUGUCUGGUCUUUUUAAUGUCCUAAAUAAAAAUUUAGAACUUUAAUUAGUUAAUUAGGCCUAAAAGUUUAAUAAUCUAAAUAUUUUGAUAUUUUUUAUUUUUACCAAUACUUAUAAUUUUAUAAUUCAAAUUUUAUUAUUUAUUUACUAGUAAUUUUAAAAAAUAAAAAUUAAAUUAAAAAUUAAAAUGGGGAAAUGGGUAGGGGAUGGGGAUGGGGAUGGGGAUUCCACCUCAUCCAUGUCCCCUCCCCGAAUAAGAAAUUGGGUAAAAAAAAUUCUCUGUCCCUUCCCUGAAUAAGAAACUAGGUAUGAAAUUAUCCUCUUACCCUCUCCGAAUGAGGAAAAUCCCCGAGGAUACCCGUCCCUGUGGGGAUUUUUGCCAUCCCUAAUAAUAAACAAUAUUCAAUAGGAGUAUAAUAAACUAGGAGAAAGGAGAAAUUAAGGAGAAAAUUAGGGUGAUUAUUGCAAUGAUAAGAACUCUUAUUUCAGAUACAUGCGCGGCAUUCAUUAAUUUGACCAAAAAUAAAAUUUGUAUUUUAAUCAAAAUCGAGGGACAUCAACAAAAAUUUUCCACUCCAGGUAUUUAUCAUUUUCUCGUUAAGAAAAAAAAAUUGCAUAAAAUUAAGAAACCAGUAGUCACUGAAUGGGAGAAACAGAGUAAGGAGAGUUCAAAUUUCAAAAGAUGGAACCCGAAGAAGAAACCCUAGCAACAAUCCUAGAAGAAGAAGAAGAAUCUGAUGAUGAAGAUACGGCCAUGCCCAACGUUAAGCACAACCCUAAAACAAAAACAAAAGACAACUCUUUGGACUCGAGUGAUGCCACUGACUCCGACUCGAAUUCUGACUUAGAAGACGAAGCAAAACAGAACAUGGAGCUUCAAAACUAGAGUAUCAGCUAUCCAAUGAACCUUCCAAUUACGACACCCAUGUUCAAGUAACUUCAAUACGCAUACUUAUUCAGUUAUUUUGCGGAUACCCAUUUGCUUGUUCUUUCUUAGUUGGGUGAGAUAGAGAAGAUGAGACAAGCUAGGGAGGCAACAAAAGAGUUUUUUUCCAUUGACACCGGCUAGGUGGCAAGAAUGGGCGAGAAGUGAAGCCUCUAUUGCAACUGGGUAUCUGUCAUUACCUUUUUGCACUGGUUUUCGAUUUUUUGAACAAAUAUUUUUUCGCUUAGAGAUAUAGAUGUUUAUGUUUGUUAUUUGCUAAUGUAAAAAGGAACAAAACCUGCUUAAAAGGUAUUAAAUAAGGUGAUACUUAUAGUUGGAGUUCUAUUCUUUGGGGUUUAAUUGAUGGGAGAAGAAACAACUUAUAUGUUUCCAGAAUUAGACAUUUGAUCGCUGAGUUAGUUGAGGAAGAUAUUUAAUCACAAUGUCUGAUGUUGUUUCUAUUGGCCUCAGCUAAUUGUUAAGAUUUCAUACUUUCAUUCAACAAUGCAAUAGACUUUGGUUGGGUCCACCUUAGUUGGGUGUUCUGAGGAACCAAUGAGUGUCUUGAGAAAACAUGGGUGGAGUGCGGAUCAUUUUGAGGAUUCAGUUUCCAAGAAAGCAAAAAUGAAGCCGUAGUCGUAGUUUAAAUUAAUUUAUGUUUUUGUCUUUUUCUGUGAGCCUAGUGAGCUUUUGUUUUCACUUUGUUCUCUUUUGCUUCUUUCCUUUCUUUUCCUGUUGUUUCUUGACAAUCAAGCAGAUCAGGAUUAAGUGUUUACUUUUGGUAUAAUUAUUCACCCUAACUCGAAUAAUACAUAGGUUUAGUGCUAUCAAAUUAGGAAGUGAAUUAAUAUCUGAAGCUGACUUGGGAGUGGAAUGCAUGUUACUAAAAAUAUGCUAUUAUGGUAGACAGAAUUUUCUUUUUGGGUAAGACUAAAAUAAUUACCGCUGUUAAUUUAUUUCAAUAAGUUAGUACAUCAUUCGAUAAUAAGUCCAAGAUUUUAAUGGUUUUGUUUCCUAAAAAUUUGUCAUCAGUGCACGAACAAAGUUCAAUGGAUGAACUUCUCUUCGUUAAUUCAAGUUCUGUAUGAAACACUAACCUUGCUCUUUACUUUAGAGCAUUUUAAUAAUUGAUGUUAAGAUUUGCUAAUGUAAAAGGAAAGAAAACCUGCGUAAAGGUAAUAAAGAACAGAAAAAGAGACCCAAUUUAGAGAAGGGAAUAUUUAUUGUGGGAGUUCUAUUCUUUGGGGUUUAAUUGAUGGGAGAAGAAACAGCUUAUAUGUUUACAGAAUUAGACAUUUGAUUGCUGAGUUAGUUGAGGAAGAUAAUUAAUCACAAUGUCUGAUCUUGUUUCUAUUGGCCUUAGCUAAUUGUUAAGAUUUCAUACUUUUUUCUGGUUUUUCGUAACUGUGACCUAAAGCUUAAUGUAUACUUUGAUAAUUACAUAAUCGGUUUCUUGCUUAUACUUGGCUUUAAUUUGUAGACCUCAGUGUCACGGACCGCAAUCGUGGCACCCAAGAUAUGCGCUUGUACGCUAGUGUCGAUGAUGGUUGUGCUGAUUGUUGGAGACGUGCUUCAGGAAUGUGUGUGUGGGGAAUACAAUGCCCUAGACUCUUUGGAGUUCAGACAGGCCGACCCGGUUGAGUUUGGGGAGCUUGUCGCUCGUCGAGGACUUAACGCUGAAGAGGGGUCUAGGAAAAUCCUGACGCACACUGGUUGGGAACUGAAGCCGUUCUCCUGACGAGCCCAAGGCAGGGCGAAACCAGUCGACAUUGUGCCACUUCCACUAGGCUUACUCUCGUAGUAUGGGAUGCGGGAGUGCCGCACAGGCUCGAAACCUCUCGUCCCGUGACAUCAGGCUCUUUUGGGAGUUGGGAAGAUUUACAAAAGAGGAGUUUCUGAUUAUCUAGUUUGUUCUCUUUAUGCCUACAGAAUUUGAAUUCAUACCAUGCAUAAAUUUAUGAUUCUUUGAGAAAGAUUUUAUGAAAUUGGAGCAUUAUAGUAAAGCGCACCACUGGUAAGCUUGAUUCACUUCAUUUUCAUUUACUACCAAGAGGUGCUAGCAGUUCAUGGUGCACAACAAGAGGUGGGGAAAAAAAGAAAUCUUCUUGCUAGUUACAUAAAUUUAAUAUUUGAAUCAUUUUCAACCAAAGAAAUGUGCCGAAGAGCACCAUUUUCGUUUAUAUCAAAGUUCAAUUGCAUCUUAUAUCAUUUGUUUCCAUCUCCUUUGUGUAAAUAAAGUCCUUGAUGAUGACAAUAAGAAUCAAAGAAGAAGUUAAUUUCAUAUAUGGAGAUUUUCAUCAUAGUAGUUCAUUGAAAGCGAAGGCAGCUGAAUACUCCUUUUUCUGAUGCAGUUUGUCCCUCUUUGGUGUGAUUAUUUGAAAUUUUUGCAAGAAUAUGAUCCAUCUAUACGAGAAUGUGCCUAAUAAAAUAUCACAAAGGUGCCUAAUACAGUGAAAUUAACAUAUUCAGCUCAUGAGAUUGCCAUUAUAUAUAUUGAAAAAGAAAUUAAUAUAAGAAACUGAAAAUUAAUUGACAUUGAAUCAUGUUGGAUUGUUAGUUGUUAACUAUGAUGGGAAUAUAAUCUUGGUCUUUUAAUUAUCAUCUAGCUAAUGCAUGUGCACUUUCAUUUGUGUCUAUCACUGGAGAAUAAAGUUGUUUGAUUGAACAACAUCAUAUGACAGAAACUCAAAACUCAAAUUCAUUGCCCGAGCAUACCAUGCCAUAUGUAGCUCAAAAGUGCAAUUAACAUUGAACAUUCAGCUAGCUAGCUCGUACUAAUUAAUUGAUAGAAAUUCUAGUUCUUUAUGAUUCACUAAAAGAGAAAAUAUUUGACAAUCACGAAAACAACAACAAUUCUCUCCCAUAAACAACAUAAUAGAUACGCAGUCUAUAUUGCAAGUAUUUUUAUGACUUUAAUUAAAAGAGAAAAUGCAAAGGACAUAUUAUAUAUAAUUGAAUGUUCUCCUUGAUAAUUAGGCAAAAUAAUACCAAUCUUGGUAACUAAUACAAUCAUCAAAAUUAUCCGAUUUUCAUUUUAAUUAUGUCCAAUCAUGCUAAUUUAAUAACGAACACUGAAUACAUGAGUAUUUCAACUUUGGCUGAGUAUGAAAAAUAUAAGAGCUGCAUUUAUGCUUUUUGUUAUUAAGUAGGACAUGACCAUAUUAUGUUGCAUUUGUCAGAAAACUGAAAAUUAUUGAAAAGGAUCUUAAAAGAGAGGUGUUGAAUUGUGAGCUUAAAAAUGAGUUUUAGAAGUUUCUGACAUGUCGGUUUGUAUCCUUGAUUGUGCAUGCCCUGUCGGUUUCUGGAUGAAACAGGAGAAUAUGACAUCUGUGUAUUGUCUUUUACUUCCAGUAAGUGAAUCACAUGUUCUUCGCGUGAUUUGACAAACUUUAUAUGGAUUUAGCAGUUGUUUUGGUCACUUAUUGAAGCAUGAGUUAAGCACGUGAUUCAAGGUUGUUAACUGACUGUUAUAAGGCGGGAAAAAUCUGGGUUUCUUACAACAAACCCAGAUGGCAGCUGGUGAGUGGGAGAUGUUUCUAGAUUCUUCAUGAUCUGUAUAUAUAGUCAUAGAGGCUAUAGUUGAGCCAUAUGAAAAGCUUGUAACUUCUUAAUGUUUGUAGCUUGUUCUUGGUUAUUGCUCUGCCCAGGGAAGUGAACUAAAAUGAUACCAACUUUUAUUUAUGGACAGGUUAAGAAAAUUUUUGAGUUUCUGAAAAAUGGCUUCCAUGAGAUCAGCAGUUCUUUGGAUUUAUCUUUUGAAUAUGCCUUGGUUGCUGAUGAGAAGAUUCCAUUCCUAGCUUAUCUUGCCAGUGUUCUAAAGGUGCAUUCCUUUUUCCCAUAUGAGCUAGCCACCAGCAGGAAGCAAAAGAUUCAGGAAUCUGAUUGCUGACUUCAUGAAAAUGUACCACCAUAUUCCACUAAAUGCUGAUGUGAGAAAACCUUCACCACUCCUCUGUUUUUUUUUUACUUCUCUGGACAAGUAAUUUUUGUAUUGUCUGUCCUAGAUUCUGUUUUCCUGAUGCAUUAUUUCAAUUUCUUUGCAUGUGAACUUGGAGCAUUCAUAUUAUUUUAGGUGUGAAUCUAUUGGUCAUUUACUUCUUUGUAACAAAUAACGUAUGAAAAAAUCUUGUUAUUUUUGGUUCUCCAUAUAUAGAGCUCUAUGGACCAAUUGCUUGUCUUCUGUUAUCCUCAUUAGAAUUUCUUCAGACUACUUCCAGUUCAUGCUAUUUGUGAUAAGUUGUAUUGUUUUUGUGGUCUUUCUUAUGUCUGUUGGAAAAAUACUGUAAUAUGAAAUUUUAUCUAAUGGUGCCCUUUAUUCCUUUUGCAUCCUGUCCCCUCUAGUAGUUAAAUGUAUUUUUGGAUUUGUCAAUUUAUUUGGUUUGAUGAAAUCUUGAUUCUCAUGCUAUCUUUCUGUUUAUCCAACUUGACCAUGGAAUGUGUUGUUGCUGUGAGUUACGCUGCACGUCCUUGUUAUUCGUCUAGUCUUUUUAUGUAAACAUACGGUUUUGAUGUACUCGUAUAUAUACUGGACCUGAGAUAUUUGCACCUGACCUACUUAUUGAUGUACGUGUAAAAUGAAGAACUUUUUGAGAUCUGGAAUGGAUCAAGACUUGCAAUUUUUAUUUGUAGAUUUUCCACUCUCCAGUCCAAUUAUAAAAGACAGUUUGUGAAUGCUGCAUGAAUAAGCUAGCCAAACUUAAAGAUGCUUAAUUGCCUCUUUCUCUUCUUUUGUAUACGAGUAAAACAAUCCACAUUCCUAACUUUUCUUCUCCACUUGUUUCUCAAGAAUGUUGUCUUUCCUUCAAGAGCUGUGUGGCAAUUGUGAAUGCUCUUCGAUUGUUUUCACCUCGCCUCGAACAUCUAACCAGACACUUACCGAAGCAAUGGUUAACAAGUUUAGCAAUCAAGGUAUGAUCUAUUUCUGAUUUAUUUUUGUGUUAUUUUUGACAUAGUUGAAGAUGUCAUUUUUUGGCAGAUUUUCUUUGCUAUUCUUGGAACAAGUAAUAGUGCUUAUUGCCUUGUUUGCACACAUACUAGUCUAGACACACCACAGAAGUUUUUGGAUGAUGAAAUAUCAGAUAUGAACUCAGCACAUUGUGUUGAAUGAGGCAUAUCAGAAGUUUCCCCAAGUGACGGUAAAAACUGGUAAUUGCAGGAGAUGAUAUAUUUAAUGAAAAUUACUGGGCAGUCAGACUUUUGUGUUGACAUUGAAGGGGGAGAUGGACAAAGGUCGAAGUAAUACAAUGAGUGCUGAGUUGGAACAUGUUAAUGCUCAUUUGGAAAAUGGGUGAGGGUCACAGUGCCAAAGCUUGCAGCCUAAGGUUAUCAACAUUGAUGAAGAGGCAAGUAAUUCUUCCGGUGAAGAUAUUAAUGCCACGAAAGCUCAAAUGUAAUUUGAUUAAAGGAAGAAGUGCUUGCUUUGCUUUAUGUGCUAUUCGUUUAUGAUAUUUUCCUGGUUUUGUUGUGAGAUGUUUAUCUUUGGAUGUUCUGUUUAUUGUACUUUGAUGGGUUUUUGAAGAUGGCUUGUAUGUAUUAACAACAAUAAAGUGGUUUUUAUAAAUCCUAGUCCUACAGCACUAAAAGAAAUUAAUACGCUUGGUUUAUUGUUAAUAAAAAUAUAUAUUAAAAAAAAAAGUCUUUUUCUUUGGCAUAUUUUAUGCAUUACAAAAAAAAAAAUAUUAUCACACUCUAAUUCAUAAGGAUAUUCCUCGUGUCAUAUUAAUGUAUUAAUAUGAAGAUUUUUUAGAAUUAUAAUAGUUUUUAGAAGGGAGAUUGCCAAUUUCCCCCCUACAGUAAUCAACAUAUACCAUUUUCCCUCCUACUAUUUUUAUAAUGGCCAAAAACCCCCUUGAUAACAUAAGUUUACAAUAUUACCCUUAUUUUCAACUAUUCUUUUAUUUAUAUUUAUUAUAAAUUAAAUAAAUGACAUGAAUAGAAACUAAAUAAAAAAUUAAGCAUUAAAAACAAGAAAUAUAUGUUUUGAUAUGAGAAAAAUUAAUAAUAAAAUUUUUUUCUUGUACUUAUUUAUUUUGUGAAAAUUUUCUUAUAAUAAAUAUAUAAGAAAGUUAUUAUAAAAUGAUAAAAAAUUAUUAUAAGAAAAUUUGAAUGACAAAUAAAAAUUUAUUAUAAGAUAAAUAAUAAAAUAUUUUGCCUAUACUUCUUACAUGUAAUUUUAAAAUAUUACAAAAUGUUUAUUAUAAAAAAAUGUUCACAAAAUAAAUAAUUACAAAAAAAAAUUAUUAUUAAUUUUUUUGCUCAUAUCAAAACAUAUAUUUCUUAUUUUUAAUACUUAAUUUUUUUAUUUAGUUUCUUUCAUGUAAUUUAUUUAAUUGAUAAUAAAUGUAAACAGUUUUUUAUUUAGUUUUUAGAAUUAUAACAGUUUUGAUGAAUCCGAAUAUUCAAUAACUUAUAAAUUGUAUUUAUUUAAAUUAAUAGCGAUGACACAAAAAUAAUUAAUUCAAGAACUCGCCUAUAGAGCAUUAAUUUUGUAUUGCAAUCUAGCCCUUAUGUGUUUAAUUAGCAAUAGGAAACUACUUUAUUGUUCAACGCCAUUUAAAGAACAUAAUAACGUUGUUGCUGAUGAGGCAGCCUGUAAUUCUUCUAGUGCAGAUAUUGAGGCCACUAAAGUUGAAAUGUAAUGAGAGAAAUAUAAUGUGUUUGCUUAGUUUGCUUUUCCUUUUUCAUAUUUGUUUUUUAUAUUUAAUUGGCUUUGUCGCGGGGUACUAUUUUCUCUUUUUAUUUUUUGUUUUCUCAUAUCAUGUAAUAAAGUGCUUUUAGUAAAUCAUGGUCGGUUUACUAUUAAUUCAAUCAAAUUUAAUUUACUUUGGCUGUAAUAAAGUGCAUCAUUGUUAUUAUAAGCAGACGCUGUAUAACAAUAGAAAGAGCACCCAACAUCUCAAGAUCUUCCAGCAAAUUAAUGAGAUUACUCCUGUACACGAUCAAAAUCAUUUCAAUUUCAUCGUAUGUAUAUGUCAAUAUGUGUGUGUAUAUAGACACACGCUCGCAUACACAAAAUGAAAAUAAUUUUGAAAUAUUAAACAUUUAAAAUAGUCAAGCAUAUUAACAAUUUACAAUUUAAAUUAUACAUAGACGAAAUAAUGGUAACAACAAUAAAGUGCGUUUUAUAAAAGAAUUAAUGAGCUUGGUUUUUAUUAACAAAAAUUAAAAAAAAAAUUCUCCGGAGCUUAUUAUGAAUUUUAAGGAGGAAAAAAAAAGAGUCGUACUCCGAUUCAUAAAGAUAUUCCUUCUUUCUUCUUUCAUAUUUGAUGUGUUAAAUAUGAAGAUUCAUUCCAAUUAUAACAGUUUUUGAUGAAUCUAAAUAUCAGUAACUGAUAAAUUAUAUUUAUAAAUAUUAUUAGCAAUGGCACAGAAACUAUUAAGUUAAAUUAAACAAUUUUGUAAUACAGUCCAGUCCUCGUGUGUUAAUAUUGUUACUCAUGAGGCAGCUAGUUAUCCCUUCGGUGUAAAUAAUUAACGUUCAUAUGCACAAUAUUUAAAAUAAUCACCAAACAACAAUUCACAAGUAAGAUUACACAGACGAAAUAAUGCUAAUCUAGCAAAUUCAAUCAUAAUAAUUUGAUUUUCAUUUAUAUUAAUUAUUUCCAAUCAUGCUAUUUUUUAAAGAAGAACACUCCAAUGUUUAUAUAUCCAACUGGUAAAAUUUCAAAACAAUUUUUGCCAAAGUCAAAUGAAGAGAAAUAUUAUAUAUAUGUAAACAUAAAUGAAGUUUCAACAGCUGAGAAUGAGAUAGGCAAAAGAAAUUAAUUCAUUAAUUAAUUAAUAGAGUCCUCCUCUGCUAAAUAAUGCGAGCCCAUUUGUUCGACUUACUAUUUUUAUUUUUGUUUCAAAAACCCAUUAAUCACCGACACCGAACCAUAUUAAUUAAAAAUAGUUUUCAACUAAUAUUUGAAAAUUACAUACACAAACAUUUAAAAAAAAUACUAAUAAUAAAAUAUUUCAGUCGUCCACUGUUCAAUCAUCGAAAAUCCAUUAGUCAUCUAUUUGAACAUAAGGUACAUGGGUUAACAAGUCCCAAUAUUGUCCUCCAUCCUCUCUGCACUUCUCUUCUAUCAACGGACAGCUCCAGAUCUCUAAUUGCAAAAGUGAGGAAGGCAGGCCCUUCUCCGGAAAGUAUUUGAGCUUGGGACACCAACGAAGAUCCAAUUCAGUGAGGUUUUGAAGAUCAACAAUUGAAGAAGAUAGGCGUUCAAGAUUUGGAAAUUUGGAAAUCACCAGAGAUGUUAGAGAGGCAGGAAGAGGAAGCGCGGUCCCUAAUCUUUUGUCCUCUAGUGGAAAUGACACCAUGGCGUCAUCACAUCCUUCGAUUGUGAGUUUUCGCAGAGAGGAGAAUCUGUGAAAUCCCCGGCCCCGCUCAAUCAUUGACUUCCAAAUCUCCAUAUUACCCCGAAUAUGAAGUGAAUGAAGGUUGGUGGGAAGGCCAUCUUCUUCAAGGCUUGGAAGCUCACCUCCUCUUCCUAUUGUUAAUUCUUGAAGAGAGCUCAGAUUGUGCAAUCCCUUGGGUAAGGCCUCUAGUCUCUUACAAUCAAGUAUCGUCAGCCUCGUGAGUUUCGCACAAGGCAAUCCCCCUUCGGGAAAGGACACCAGAUUUCCACAAUUCCAUAUCUUAAUCCCUUGAAGCUGACGGAGAUUAUGUAAACCACUCGGUAAAAUUUUGAGAUUUUCACAAUAAGAAAUGUUGAUUUCUUCAAGAGAUGUGUUGUUGUCCAACCUUUCUGCUAUUGACUCCAGCUUUGAACAAAACCAAACCGAAAGGGACUUAAGAGACGGAGGUAGAUUGCCAACUUCAAGGGACUCAAGCGUGGCAGGUAACUCGUUUUUUGAAAAUAUACAUGUCAGAGAGUGACAACAGUAAAUUGUUAAGUCCUCAAGAAGAGAUGAGGCAUACCUUCUGCUGCUGCUGCUGCUGCUGCUGCUGCUGCUGCUGCUGUUGCUAUUGCUACACCGGAUGUCCUCUUCCACUGUCAAAGUCCUCAUAUUAUCGCAAUUGUGAAUCACCAACUGCUUAAGGCUCAGUGGUAGCUGGGCUUCAGCAAUAUAUGUCAACGAACAACAAUGCUUAAUACUCAAGAUCUCGAGAGAUGAAUUGGUGUCGCACAUCCAUGCCUCUGGUAAUGAUUUCAGUGCAUCACAACUGCUAAUCCUAAUUUUCCUCAACUUGGAAGGCAGAGCAACCUCAGGAAAGGAAACAAGGGAACUGCACUUGUAGAUUUCUAUAUCUCUCAAGGAAUUGAGGCCGAGCGAUGAUUGUGGCAGCUUGACAAGGCCUUCGCAAGAUCUCAGUCCUAGAUAUUCGAGUCUGCAUGACAACUCACAGAGCUGCUGUUGUUGGUCUUUCUCUUCCUCCGCCACCAAGGAUUGAAGUUUGGGACAGCUGUCAAUCGUCAGUCUUUUGAGAGAGCAAAUGUCUUGCAGUAAUCCGUUAUGACUCUUCCAUAUAUAUGUUUCAUUUUUAAUAUUUUUUAUUUCCAAUUCUUCCAGUUUUGGUAUUCGCGGCUUCAAUGGCCCUGCGAGGAACACUUGAUUUGAUGUAUCUCUACAAACCACUGAAUUCUGUGAGCCGAGAUGAUCAGUUGCACUUCUCCACACAACCUUUUUACAUCCAUCAAUCUCUAAUUUGCAAAGAGCUGGAAGACUCGUAAUUGAAACUAACAAUUCUUUGCAUUCUUGAAUAACAAGCAUCUGCAAUGCAGGAAGGUGCUCUGGAAAUGUUCCUUGCAGUUUAGAACAUCUUAAAAUGUCAAGCUCUCUCAAUUUAGGAAACCGUUCAACUCCCUCACUGGAUCCAUGAGGAAUCCAGUCUUCCCAUUCUUGCAUGACUUCAAAACGAAGAGUCUCCAAGCAUGGAAAUGGAAUUGGAGAGUCAUCCCCAUAGAACUCUGAACCCAAUCUCUUUACUCUACUCAUUCCACGCACUGUAAGAUGCUUUAGAGAGGGCAGUUGCCCGACAGACGGCGGGACAGUACACAUGCCGCAAUCUUCAAAUUUAAGUGUUACUAAAUUUGAGAAUGAGGAAUCUCCUAACCAUGUUGGAAAUUUUGUACCUCCAUAGCCACAGAUACCAAAUUGUUCCAGAUUUUUAUGGGGUUUGAGCAUGUCAAGCACACCCAUUUCAGUUUCUGCCUCCCUUGAAGAUGAACCAUCGGUACUGCAUGUCCAUCGAAGCAAUAAUUCUCUAAGAUUCUCCUUUACAUCCAAUUGAGUCUCCUUCGCAUUACCAACGUCUUUUACAUUCUCCAAUUUUGAAAUUUCAAGUGUCCCACGAAGAUGCAUCAACAACUUCAGCUCUGGUAACCUCAAACCGCUGUCUUUUCCCACAACAAAAUUAGACAGUGUCUGAAGACAAGUCAACUUACCAAUUCCUACUGGCAUUUCCUCCAAUGAAUAUGUAUUUGAAUUAUUGAGAUGAUGCAAUUUGGUGAGGUUUCCCAUGUCUGCACACAACUUCUCCAGCCGAUCACAAUCUUCCAACAGAAGGGUGUGCAAAUUGUAAAGCUUGUUGACUGAUUCAGGCAGAGUUUUAAUCUCAGUUCCAGACAGGUUAAGGUGCCUUAAAUACCUCAAAUCACCAACUGAAUCCGGCAGCUCGGAGAUGCGAUAUCCACGCAGAGAGAAGACCCUCAAUCGUUGGAGUUUGAACAACUUAGGAAGAAUGCUAAGAGCCAAGUAUCCAUGCAACCUAUUCGACAACAUUACUGGUAAAAAAGUUCGCAAAUGUUGGAUAUCAUACAAUUUCUCAAACCUUUGAACUCCAUCAUAAUCUCCACGAAUGUAUGAUAGAUGACGAAGAUUUCUAGAAAAACAUUGUUGCUUGUUAACCUCCGAGGUAUACUCUAGUGUGAAGUAUGUCUCCCCUGCAGCCCAACGGGCAAGGUCGUUGAUAAGAUCGUGCAUAACAAAUCGUGAUGCAUCGGUGGCCGAUUGCUGGAAAAAAGAUCUUGAACAUAGCUCCUUAAAGAAAUCACGACCUAAAUCUUCACUAGGAUUCUCACCUUCUUUGUGAUCCAAAAAACCGGAGGCACACCAUAAUAAAAUUAUCUCCUCCUCUUCAAAUUCAUAAUCCUUUGGUAAUAAUGAGCAGUAUGCAAAGCAUUGUUUCAAAGCUGGAGAAAGAUAAUAAUAGCUCACCGCAAGGGCUGGUAUAAUGCGGCAUCUCUCUUCUGGUAAUUCCCAUAUCUUGGUACUGAGCACACGUUCCCACUCACGUCUGUCAUGCUCUCCACGUAAAAGUCCUCCAAGUGUUUGUACUGCCAAGGGCAAGCCAUCGCAUUUGGUCACUAUCUUCUUGCCGAUUUCCUCCAGUGACAUAUGUGAACUGAAAUCUCGCGUCCCCAAAGAAUGUUGAGCGAAUAUAGCUAGACAAUCAUUAUCUGACAACGUUUUUAAUUGAUAAGCUGGAAGAGUCCCCAUGAUUUUUGCAACCUCAUGAUUGCGAGUAGUGACAAUAAUCUUACUUCCCUGUGCACUUGCUCCAAGCGGACGGCUGAAGUCAACCCAAUCAUCGUAAUUCCGGUUCCACACAUCAUCUAAAACAAGCAAAAAUUUCUUUCUAGAUAGUUGCUUAUUCAGUUCCUCUUGAAGCUUAUUCAAGUUGAGAUAAUCCACAUUCUGGUGAGUCACGAUGGAUGUCAAGAUUGUUUUUGUUAGACUGAUAACAUCGAAAUCAUCUGAGACACAAGCCCAUGCCUUGAGAUCGAAAUGAUUCUGCACUCGAUCAUCAUUAUAGGCAAGCCGAGCAAGAGUAGUUUUGCCCAGCCCACCAAAACCUACAAUAGGUAUAACAGAGAAUCCACCAUCAUUUCUCAAAUCAUCCCUCAGCAACAAUUCAACAAUUUCCUUCUUUUCUGUUUCCCUGCCAAAGACUUUUGCUUCAGCCACUACAGAGGUUGUCUCUAGCCUUUGACUGGCUUUUUUGGACCCUCCAGCUGAACCUUCUUUCAAAUCUAGCGAGUCUUUCUGCGUCACAAUUUCUUGAAAUCUGCCGUUGAUCUCUUUGAUUUUGGACAUCAAGCCAUAAUCGAACUGAAUCGAUUGUGGAGUACAAGUGGUGCAGCAAGUAAGAAUGAGCUUCCGAAACUUACUUGUUCUUGUACGACUGCUACUGGGUUGAUCCUGAGCCGCAGCUGGAUCUCCAUUUCCAAGCAGCAACUUCCUCCUGAAAGCCUCAGUUUGAAACUCAUCCAACAAGUCUUCAACAUCAUAAGCCAAGUUCUGAAGCUUGCCAAGCCACUUCUUCACAAACUGAUUAGUCGUCUUCUUCUCCUCAGCAUCAUCAAGCACCGCCUUGAUCAUCUCCAACAUAUUCGCCCACUUCAUCAGAUCGGCCUUGAUUUGCUCUUGGCGUGCAAAAAACAGAAUCCCCUCUGAAGCUAACUUAUUGACCAGCAAAUCAACGGACGCCGUAAGGAUUGCCUCUCCGAUGAUUGACAUUUUUUUUCUUUUUUUCCUUUUUCUUUUUUGUUUUGCAAAGAAAGAAACAGAAUUUUGAGUUUUGAAAAGCAAAAUGAGAAAAUUGAACAGUAAGUGUGUAGGGUCAAGCAAAAUACGCGUACCAAGUCUUCCGCUUGUUGUUUAAAAAUAAAAAUAGAGCCCACCACCCAUUAAUAAUUUAGCAAUUCACCAAUCACCAGUCACCACCACUCGUUACCAGAUUCAAUAAAUAUAAAAUCGCACGUCGAUAUUUGUGGGGUCAAGCAACAUUAAUCCAGUGUCCGGGUAAAUGCUGAAUAAAGAGGAAAACGGAAUGUAUCUACUACGAACCUUCGCUUUACAAGUCUUCAAAGUCAUAAACUAUCAAAACGUUUCUCUUUCUGUCUUCAAAGUCCUACAAUUUUUUUAUAAUCACACAAUGAUAAUUUCAAUUAUCAUGUUAUAUUAAUAUCGUGUUAAAAUAAAUUAUAAUAAAAUUUUAGCCGAAUAUAAUAAAUUCGACUUAUUUACUAAAUAUAUAUAUUUAAUAAAAUAAUAACACAAUUAAUAUGUUAUCAAUCAAAUAAAAACUCUAAUGUGAAAACAAAAACUGUCCCACACCAAUAAUUUGGCAAGCUUCAGUGCUUCACUUUAUUACACUAAAGUGAAAACAAAAUCGGCCCCCACCACCAUCAAUAAUUAAGCAAGCUUCAAAUGCUUGUGUUUGUCUGCUUGACGAACUGCGCAUGGGUGGACCAAGCAUCAUUGAGCAAUUCGAAAAAAAUUUAAAAAAAAAUCAGUGUCCAGCAAAGAAAAUCCAUCUUUAUGUGUUGCUUCCUACUUAGUACAUCUACUGAUAUGUACAUCUAUGUAACAUUUAGAAAAUGGAAGUAGAAAUUGGAACUCACUUUAUGGCUCGUAUGCAACACACGUAUUAACAUUUAAUUAGAGUUCACACACACACACACACACGUGUGUGUGUGUGUGUCUAGUUUUAAUUGAGAGAUAAAUUAAACAUGAAUACUUAGAUGUUUCUAAAUAAUUGAAUAACGAUAUUAUUGGUAUUUAUAAAUUUCUAAGACGCGAUAAUUAUGUGGGGGACAUAUAUAUAUGGUUAUAGAAAAUGGCGGUAAAAAUGGUACAAAUCUAAUAUAAUAAAAAUGUAUAAACUAUAGUAAAUUAAUGUUUACUUCAAAGUACGUUAUAAAUAUCGCUUUCCUUAAUACGUUAUUUGCUCCCAUCGAUUGAGUUAUGCAUAUGGAUUAAACAAAAAUGCAUCUAAGAUACAAUAAAGCGUUGAUUUGUUUGUUUACGUUGUACAUCAAUGAAAGCAAACAUGAAUAUUCUUGAAUGUUAUAAGCCUAACAAGAAUUAAUAUAUUAUUCUUACAAAAAAAUAAUAUGUUAGAUAUUUGAUGCAUAAAAAAUAAAUGUUAAUCGAUGAAAUUCUUUUGAAGAAAGAGGACUACAAAAAAAAUGGUGUAGGAUCAUUUUAUUCAUGUAUAAUUGACAUUUAUUUUUUUUGAAUGUAGGGGUAUUUUGGUAAUUUUAUGGACACAAGCAUUAUAUGUUGUGGAUAGAUGUUCGUUUUGAACUACAUUGCGUGUGGUUAGUCGUAUUUCACAUUUAUGAAAAGUAAUAUGUUGUUUCCUUGAUUAGGAGAAACUGCGAAUGAGAACCAAGCUGUUGAUAUGAACAAUAAUCGAGUUUAAGUAUUGUCACUAUAAGUGAAAUAUGCAAACCCAUUUUCAUAUUUUAUUAUGAUUUUAGAGUGUAGUAAACCAUAUUUGCAAAAUAAGAUCUUAAUGCUCUAAUUUAAUGAUUUCUAGAAUAAAUUUGAUUUACGUAUUGGUACAUUAUUAAAAAUUUUAUGAUUAUUGGUUUUCCCUAUCGAUUGUGAGUAAUGCAUAAUAGUACUUUGAAGAAAAGAAAAGUAAACUUAAUGUUAAUGGAAAGAAAAGAAGACUUAAUGUACGAUUAAAAAUGUGUUAUUUAUGUGUAUAAAAAUUUGUUAUUAAAAAUCAUGAGACAAUACCCUCUCCAUCUAGUUACAAUGAUACAGAUAAGAUGAGAGCCCUUUGGGGCCCCUCUGAACACAUAGAGAGGUUAAUAGGUUGUGUUUUUUAGCGCUUUUGCCCUUUGGAGGCUUAUGCAUGCUGUAUGAUAAUAAAAAAGAUUCAAGAUACAGAUAAGAUAGAGGCCUUUGGGUCUGUCUAAGUGAACAUAGAAGCUUUGGAUCGUGUGCUUGGGUGCUUUUGUCCUUUAAGGACUAUUUUAUGCAUGUUGUAUGAUGAGAUAUAAUGAUAUAUAUGAGAUAGCACUUCAUUGAUCUAUCCUUUGUAGCUCCAGGCAUGACAAUGCCCGAAUAGUAUGUCAUUGCACUGCCCAUAUGAGGUCCAGGUAUGACAAGAUCAUUUACUUGUUUAGUGACAGUUUAAGAAUAAAGUAUUCUAUGUUAUCUUUUGAUAUGAUUUUCAUGUGUAUUACGUACAGUAUAAUGUAUUCUUCAAUGACAAUUGUUUGAUUUAAAGUUUGAAUAAUUUAACUAUGUUCUUACUUAUAGAUUAGUAAAGUUGGCAUGUCGAAAAGAUAUGAUCAUCUUUAAAGUAAGUUACUUUCAAAAGAUGUUAUCCACUCAUUGAGCUUACUAAUUUUUAUAUUCACCUUAUUUUAUUAUAUUUUUCCCCCCUAUAGAAGGAUGCAUGUAUACCAAUCGACUAACCGACUGUAGUUAUUUUGAAUUUUUGGUCACGUGAUGGCGCUAGGAGAAAUAGAUGGUAUUAUGCAUUUUGAUCAUCUCAUUUUGGAAUGUAUAAUUGUAUUAUGAUUUGAUGAUUAUGGAUGUUUAAUAUAUAUUGAAAUCAGUUAUAUUAUAAUCUUUUCAUAUUGGAGAUGUUUGGGUGUUAUUUGGUAUUUUAGUUGAGAAGGUUGAUUGAUGGAACUGAUUAUAUAUUGAAGUAUGUUAGGAGUGCUUGUAUAAAUUUUCAAUUUUAGGAUUGUUAUAUUUAUAAGGGAAAUAACUGCCGAAUUUUUGGUAGAAUCGUUACUAAUUAAAUUAUUAUCAGUCAAGUUAGACGAUAUCAGAUAGACCCGCAUGGAGUUUGAGGCGAGUUGUUUCAAAUCAAGCCCUUUAUAAAGCUCACUCACCCCUUGUUAGCUCUCACUCGUUAAAAGCAUCUAUCUAUCAAUAUAUCAAUCAAUGCUUACAUUUUCUUUCCUCUUAUACAUCAAAAUGAAGUUCAUCUUGGCAACCUUGCUGUGGCAUUAUUAUUGUCAAUAGUAUAGAACGUUUACAAUUAUCAUCUUCUGGUUGACCAAACAUGUAGCGACGUUCCGUUUGGAGCCAAUUGUGUGGCCUCAGUCAGCGCGAAACUCUCUUUAAAACCCGAUGUUGAAAUUAAACCAAAAUGAAAUCCUCGGCGCAGCAAUAACUGUACUGAAGGAACGCGUUAUUCAAGCUAGGGAAGACUAUUCUAAAGCGCAUGAAAUUAGUAAAGACAACUAUGAACAGAGCGUGCUCAUGGCUUCCAUUGAAGAAUACAAUAAAGUCGUAGAAGCUUGUGACAAAGCAAUUGGACCACCUAAGGUUGGCGAUUUUGACGUCGCAAAAACGGCAGUUGACGAAGCCGACCUGAGCGUUUCUCGCGCUGACGGAUACAACACUGAGAACCCGAACCUGAAACAUGUCAAUUUGAACUUGAAAAUUGCUUCUAAAAAUACAGUGGCCAUAGCCAUCAAGGCUCUUAGUAAUCCUGGUGCUCAAAGCGAAAAUUAAAAUAAGGAGAGUACAAUUACUUAAUUUAAUUGAUCAUGAUUUCAUAUUUCUUUCAUCAUCGAUCUUUGUCUUUUUUAUCUUUUUUGAUAUGCAAACCAAUGAUAUUCUGUUUGAUGAUAUUGUCGGAGAGAAUAAUAAUAAUAAUAAUGUGUGCUCUUUGAAGUAGCUUUCUGCUUAUGUUGUAAUGAAUAAUUUUUUAAUUGGUUGAUUGAAUUAUUUGAUGCUUUUAUUUAUUUAAUUACGUGAUGAUCACGCAUGACUAAUUAAGUGGAUUCAUAGAACUGAAAAAAUGAAAUAAUGAUGGAAACAAAAUAAUAAAUCAAAACGAUUAAUUGAUUGUCUUCAUGUGUGUUAAUCAACAAAUGCAAAGAUUAAUUGUCAAUUAAUCAAUACAUAUAUAUUUAUUGACUUAAUUUUCGUCAAUCAAUUAAAUUUUCUAAUCACACUUUCUCUCACAAGGUAAUAGAUUGUAGUAUUCAUACCAAAUUAAAAAUUGUCCAUGUUACCGAUGAAAAUCAUGAUAACAUUAUUAGGGAGUCUUUUUUUUUUUCUCCCCCUUUUUCUGUUUUGUCCUUUUUCUGUUUUACCGAUGAAAAUCAUGAUAACAAGGGACCAAGCAUGACCUAUAUGUAUAUCUACAUCAACAAGCAAGGAAACAAGGGAUUGAAUUUGAUGUGUCACAGCACAAUAAGUUAAAUCUUAAAUUUGGACAGACAAGCAAAUAUAGAAGCAUCUAAUCCACCAAAGGAUAGACAUGGGACUUGACAUGAAAAUAAAUACAGACACAAACAUAAACAUUUACUCCUCCAAUGAUUGUUUCAAUAUCUUUAUCCUUGAUAUUUGCUCACUUUUAUAAAAUAUAAAUCUGCUGGUAAAUUUUUUGUACCUUAAACAGUUUUCUGACUUAUGAGAAAAAAAACUAUUUUAAAAAAAAUAUUGCAAAGAAAAAUUAAAAAAAAACUGCUAAAGAGACAAAAUAAUGUCAGAAUGUUGACAAAAAUAAUGUUAAAAUUAACUCGUUUUAAUGUGUUGACAAUUGAGUGAUUACAAUGAGCCCGACUCAAAUAUUACAUGACUAUAUUCAACUAGAUCACAUAUAAAUUUUGAUUACCUUCACUACUAUAAGAUGUUAUUUGAUUAAUACAAAUUAAUUCAAAUCUGAUAUGUUAAGUGAUAAGUGCAUAUUUUUCAUAUAUUUUGCUAUUAAUUUCUCUAUCUUUUUCUUGUUUUGGUCUUAAAUAUUCUAGUUAUUUUAGUUAAUUUUUAAUUUAGUAACUUAUAUUUUAUUGUGUUAAUUUUUAUCUUAGUUUUAUUUAUUUUGUUAUUUUAGGUAUAUUUUGGAAUUAAAGAGAAAUUAAAUCAGAGCAUUUAAGAAGAGAUCUGCUUGAAGGAAUUAGAAAAGGAAAAUAAUUAGUGAUUUUUGGAAACCAAAAAAACCGAAGCCAACAAAAUUAAUUCAUGCAUAUUCAGAAGAUUAUGACCAUCACGUGGAGAUUAAAGAGGGAAUUGAAUUUAAUUCAAUUUGGCGGCUUCAUUUAAUUGGAAUCAAGAAUCUUAAAGGGUAAUAACAUGUGCAAGCAUUAAAGUGGCUUUGGCUUGCUCAUUGGUUAAUAUGGGAAGCAAAUUGAACAAAGAAGAAAAAAGAAAUGGCCAUAUUUCAUGCACGUGAAUUGCCUAAACAAGUGGUGGACAAAGCAUUGGAAAUAAAGAAUUGAAAUGGCAUGUGCAUGGCAAUUAAAGGAAACAAAUUAAUUGCUUUAAAAUACGGCCAAUCUUGGGCAGUAUAAAAGCCAACUUUUGGCUUUUGAUUUUGAGGAACUAGCAGCCGGAAGAAGAAAAAGGGAAGCCAAGCCAUCACUUGAAAGCAAAAUUGGAAAACAAAGAUUGCAAACCAAAAGUGGCCACGUGAAAGGAAAGAGAAUAAAGUCUUUUGGCUUUAGGAAAUCAUUAUUGGCUUAUUAAUUGAAGCAUGAGGUGGCGGUUUUGAGCUUGGAAUUUAAUUCUCUCCAGGCAAGGAUUUAAACAAAGCCAAAGCAUUAUAAAUAGGAAGAAUUCGGGCAGCCAAGAGGAGAGGAGAGCAAGGCAGCAAAAAGGAGUGCAGACGCAAUUCGAGGAAGAGAAUUUGACAUUGCAGCCGCGAGAAGAAAAAAAUCAGCAGCCGGAAUUCAAUUGAAGAAAAAGACAGCCGCUUGAAUUAAUCUCCAUGACUGGUUUUAUCAAUUUUUCUAUUCCCAAUUUAAUUAUGUUAGGCUAAAUUUUUAUUUGGUUGAGGGUGAAUUCAAAACCCUAAACAUGCUAUGCAAUUAAAUUUAAAUUCUAUCAUUCAAUUUAUUUAAUUGAGAUUGUUUAUGUUCUUCUAUAAUUAAUGUUCAUGGUUUAUUCUUGUUUUGUUUGAGUGGCCAAUUAGAUAGGACUUGAAUAAAUUUUAUUGCUAGAUUAAAAUUCUUGAUCCGUAAUUGUCUUGAUAUUUUAAUCAUUAGUAGCAGGUUGGAAUCAGUGAUUUCAAUUGAAGAACAUAACCUAGGUUAAAUAAUCCGAGCUUGUGUGUUUAUUGCCUAGAUCAACCUAAUAUCUUUCUUUGUUUAAUGCUUCCAUUAUCUUAAAUUUAAAGAGCUUGUUUUAAAUUAUUUAAUGGUUAGAGAUUAGGUGAAGAGCUUAUUUUGCCUAACGACACACUAAGGAAAGAUUGAGACUAACAGGGCUUAUUGUUGUCUACGGUUGAUAGUUUCAAUAUAAAUUGAUGAUAGAAUUAAUAUAUUAUGUGCAUGUUUGGUGGUGGCGAAUGAUCCUUUAACCAAAGUUUUCAUCAUUAUUAUUUCUUUCUCCUUUAAUUAGAGUUUUUAUUAAAUUCUUGUUCGUAAUUUUAAUUUCUUUAUUUCUUACUAUUUAGUUAAAAAUUCAUAAAUCCCCCUUUUAUUUUUAAUUGGCAUUUUCUUUAGUUAGAUUAAUUUAUAUUAUUAUUACUAUUACUAUUAUUAUUAUUAUUAUUACUAUUAUUUUAUUUUAAAUCUUGCUUUGGAGUUAAUAAUAAAUAUAACUAGCAUAGUCUCUGUGGGAUCGAUCCUUACUCGCUCUGUACUAAUUAUUUAUAUUAGUGGUAAGGUUUUAAAUUUGGUGCACCUUAACGACACUACCAUUAAGUAGAGAAUAACAAUGUUUUAGAUCAUUGUUUACAAUACAUGGAUAAACUGGGUAAUUAGUUUAAAGACCUGUAAACCAAAAAUGGAUUUAUGUAUUCAUCUUAUCUCCACAUUAUAUGUUGAUGCUUUCAUUUCCACUCGUCCUUUAGUUUCUUCUCAAUGCAAAUGCCAGGAUAGGUGGAACAACAUUUCCAAUGUGCAUUGGUUCUGGCCAAAUUUUUCAUUUAAACAGUUGCACGAACCUUGAUCCAGUGCUGAUCACAAUCUUGUAAGAAGAUACGCACAAAUCUUAUAUCAGCACUAAAUCCAAAUCUCAAUAGCAGAUAUCAAAAUAGCGAUAAGACUUACUUGAGAUCAAUCGCACAUUCACGAACUUUCACCGAUUGUAUCUCUAACUGUUAUUGCACGGAAAUGAGCGCCAUUUGGUAACUUGCCAUUAAGCUCAGGAAGGCCGGCAAAGACGUGCAUUGGUUCUGGCCAUUCCGGCAUUGUUUCCUCAGGUGAAGCUGUCCAUAUGAAUGCUUGUUUACGACAUGGAAACACAUCGUGUGCUGCUGCUUCCAAUGCAUCAGACCUCACCUAUAAUAACAACAAUAAAUAGAUGAAUAAUCUAAUCGGAGGUGAUUGUACAUAUACCGACAAUAGGGUUUAUUUUAACUAUGACACAAUUGCACAACUAAUUCCAAUAUUAAGGCUCAAUUUAGGACUGGUUUGGCAAUUAAAAAGUGUUUCGUAAGGACUUUCAAUUAUGAUUUGGAAGUUAAAGAUAAUUUUACUCAACAAUUGUUUGAUGAAAUUGUAUUAGAUCUUGGCCAGGACUUGACCGAGUGUUUUCAAUCAGCUUUCUUUGGCUAGUCACUCAAGUUUAAGCCCUGUAAGUGGUAUGAACCUAAGAAAUUGAUUCAGGCUUUUCGCACCACCCCACAACUUACUAUUUUUUCAAAUAUAUUUACUUUAAAAAUCAGGGCAUCUUGAUAGGCACCCCUCUAUGUUAAGUUAAAUGAAUAUCGGUGGGUGAGGUUUAUAAUAAUAGACAGCAAUAACAUACCACAACUUCUUUAUGGACAUGCAAUCCAUCGGUCGUAGCAGAACUAGUUGACAGCGCCUGCAGGGCACAUGCAAUUAUAUUUUGAUCAGUGUUCACGAAGCUAAAGCAGUGUAAAUAACAGAUCAUGGCUUAAUUAAUUAAUUACCUGAAGGUGAUUAAAUAAUUGAGAAUGAAAUUAUAUUAUUAAGCAAAGACAUAAGCUAAAUUACCCCAUUUAUCCGUUUGAAUCUCGUCUUGAGAGCAAAUGGCGGCACUGACGAGGCUUGCUCAAUUUCGGCCUGCAUGGCUGUAUGUCUGAUAAGAGUGGAAAAAUAGUGCCUUUAGCUAAAUCGUAGAAUGUUAAAUCUGAUGCUACUGAAUAUGGAGAGUGAUUCAUAUACACGGUCUUCAUGAAUAUAUAGUUGUUAAUUACAGGAGAAGUUGCAAUAUGAAGUUAAUUUGAAAUUUAUAUUUCUCACCUCGAAUAAUUUCUGGUAAAUCGCUGAUUCGAUAAGGUUAAACUUUCUUUAUGAUCAUCAUCAUCUUCUUGGUCUUCGCCUUCCGAUGUUCCUAUUUCUGAUGUUUCUCCACAUUUUCUUCCUCUUUUAACAACUUUCGUUGAAGAUUUUGACAGAAAUAUCAUUGUGAGAAGAGUAUUUCUAAAGUUUACAACUUGGAAAUGAGACCUUAUGUGAUAUGUACAUGAAGGAUAAAGUACAUGUCAGUAUUUAUAAGAAACAAUGUGAUGGUUUUAAAGAGAAUAGUGGUGGUUUUAAAGAAACUAAAUAAAGUUUAUUAUUUAAUAAAAAGUCAAAUACAAAUCCCGAAGAAUCCGCUGUAUAAUCUGACAGGAUCUAGAAAACCGAAGCACAUGCAUGGCAAUAUCAUUACUUUGUAUGACUGGAUUAUUUUUAUAAAUUUUUAUCCAAAGAAACUAAAUAAAGUUUAUUAUUUAAUAAAAAGUCAAAUACAAAUCCCGAAGAAUCCGCUGUAUAAUCUGACAGGAUCUAGAAAACCGAAGCACAUGCAUGGCAAUAUCAUUACUUUGUAUGACUGGAUUAUUUUUAUAAUUUUUUAUCCAAAGAAACUAAAUAAAGUUUAUUAUUUAAUAAAAAGUCAAAUACAAAUCCCGAAGAAUACGUUGUAUAAUCUGACAAAAUCUAGAAAACUAAGGCACAUGCAUGGCAAUAUCAUUACUUUGUACAACUGGAUUAUUUUUAUAAAUUUUUAUCCAAAGAAACUAAAUAAAGUUUAUUAUUUAAUAAAAAGUCAAAUAUAAAUCCCGAAAAAUCCGCUGUAUAAUCUGACAGAAUCUGAAAAACGGAGGCACAUGUAUAGCAAUAUCAUUACUUUGUACGAGUGGAUUAUUUUUACAACUUUUUAUCCAAAGAAAUUAAAUAAAGUUUAUUAUUUAGUAAAAAGUCAAAUACAAAUCUCAAAGAAUCCGAUGUAUAAUCUGACAAAAUCUGGAAAACAAAGGCACAUGUAUGGCAAUAUCAUUAUUUUGUAUGACUGGAUUAUUUUUACAAAGUUUUAUCCAAUCCCUUGUUUGAUCCCAGUAAAUCAAUAUUUAAAUAUAUAGUUAUUUUGUUAUGUUAUUUGAUUUUAACUAUUAAUGUCAAUAUUGGAAUAUAUCUUUAUAUUGAACUAAUAAAACAACUGUAUAAAGACAUUUGAAUAAAGUUAAUUACAAAUUUUGAAUUCAUGAUGUAAGAUAGCGUUUGCUUUUUAAUCUGAAAUCUGAGUGGGGUCUAAAUUUGGCUGAAAUAUGAAUAUAUUUAAAUUGCAUAUGUUUAAAUGACAUGUUUAUUUUCUCUUUUUCGAUAUCCAAAUAUAAGUGGCAUCUUUUUUUUUUUUAUAAAUCAAAAACAUCCAAAGUAUGAUUAUUAUUUAACAUUUAUGUUUUUGUAAGAAUUAUUUAUACUUAUUAUAAAUUUUAAGAGUUAAAUACGUGCACAUUACAAUUAAAAUCAAACAUAUGUAGAGUUGAGUAAUUGAUCUUUAAAUAAAAAUAUUAUUACAUCACUCCAAAUACAAAAUUGAUUCAAACUUAUUAUACUAAUAAAAUGUGAAUAAAUUUAAAUUUAUAAUUUAUAAUUUACAUCAUCUUUUUUACCAUUUAAAAUUGUAAAAGCCCAUUCGCCCAAACCUAGUCUUAAUUAGCUGUACAUAAGUGUAAAAGCCCAUAUGUUCUUAAGAAGUGUUAAGUUUUCAUAGACCCAUAAGUGAAUGGAGAAGUGUAAUGCCCCAAAUUCAAGCCAGAGUUAUAACUGUUGGCAGAUCUGUAUAAUUCUUUUAAAACAGUUCUCUAAUUAUAUUAAAAGACAAAAUAAAUCUAAUUAAAUUCUUAUAUUUUUCUCUCUCUCUCUAUAAGUUUCUUUUUCUACUUCAUUACUCCCACACAACUACACCAAAGUCUUUUAUAUUUUUUUAUUUUCUCUCAAACACUUUGUAUAUUACAUAAUAACUAUUUAAGUCCAUUUUUAGUUCUACUCAAUUCAAGUAUAUAGAAUUUUCUUUUUAAUUAAAUAUAUAUGAUUUAAACUUUCAAAAUUUUGUAAAAACAAUAUCCCUAAUAUGAGGUUUGUGGAAGAAGUUAAAUAUUUUUUUAAUAAAAAAGAAACUGAAAUUUUAAAACAGAGAUUUUGAAAACUUAAAAUAGGUUUUGAGGGGGGGGGGCUUGAGUAAAAAAAUAUAAGGUGCUAUUAGUUCCACUCUUCAAGCAAAGAUACACAGACCUUUACUCUUCCAAAUAAAUUUUGCGGUGAAUUUUAUUGUUGGCUAAUCACGUUGAUAUGAGUAUGAAUAUGAAAAGGAUAAAACUUAUAAUAAAGAAUUAUAUGAACUAUAUUUUAAAGAGAAAAUAUAUUUUUAAAAUUAUGAAAAUUUUCUUACAAAUAUGAGCUAGGGAGAUAAAUUGAAGAGGUUACAUAUCAUCAAUCUAGUUACUUCAGAAAAUGUGGCCCAAUGUCUUCAGAUGGGUUAGUGUUGGUGUGUUACUAAGAAAUAGGCCGAAGUUGUAAAAAUAAAAAAUAAAAACAGUAGGUUUUCAUAUUAACAAAGAACAGUUAUUUCACAGAACACAUGAAUAUCUCUAUGAUGUUGAUGCUUUCAUUUCUACAGCUUCCUUUAGUUUUCUCCCCAGUGCAAACGCCAGAGGAGGUGGAACAGCAUUUCCAAUCUGCCGAUGCUUGUGUUGGAUGUCACCAACAAAUUUAUAGCUAUCGUAGAAACCCUGCGGGAAUCAGGAGAGCAGGGUAAGAUGAUACAACUUUGCCCCAGAUUAAUGAUAAGUCAGCACUUGAAACAGAGGAAGAAGCCCAGCUGGUCGAGGAGCACAUAAAAGGUCCAGCUCGUAUUCGAGAAGGCACAAAGAGAGUGGAAAAGAUGGCAGCUGCGAUUUUGUUAUUUUGUUGUGACUGUUUUUUCUUUGAAUCAUUACUUUGUUGGUGCUAUUAGUUACACGUGUAAUGUUCAGGGGUAAAAGAUAUAUGUAGAGGGGAACACGUCAUACAAAGGAAUGGAUUGGCAAAUAUUUCUUCUUCUCUCGCCGUCUCACCUGCUAUCUCUGUUUCUCCAUUAAUUUCAAUUCUUUUUGCUUCUUUUUGCUGGAGUGAUAGAUUAGAUCCAAUUCUUUUUGCUUCUUUUUGCUGGAGUGAUAGAUUAGAUCCAAUUCUUUUUGCUUCUUUUUAAACUCUGAGUUGCAGAGUUGUAUCAUAAGAUGACAGCAGAAACAGUUGCAAAAUUUAUCUUGUUUGAUUCAAAAAUUAGCUUGUCAAGUUAAAAGUGUCACCGGUGCUGCAUGAAAAUUAUUUUUGGUCAUUCUGGUUUUUCAUCAUUCCAACUAACUGCAGGAUAUUUACAUAUAUAGCCAAAAAGACUUACUUGUGAUCGAGCACACUCACGAACUGUGAUUAUUCUAUCCUGAUCUGGGUGAAAACACGUUCCGACCAUACCCAUCGGAUGAGGAUCAGUAACGGAGGUUGGAAAGUUUCCUUCCCAGUCCAACCUUCCGAACAGACCCUUCCAUUGAUUAUGCUUUUCAGCUGUAUUGGGUAAGCACCAGGGUAUUAAAUCUACAACCUGUCCGUUAGACAAUCGAACCUGGAGGGGGAAUUUGAAAAGGAAAAUGUUUAAAACCAAAGCAAUUAUGAAAUGAUAAUUUCAGUUAGAUCUGAAAGAAAAACUAUACACCUUCUCACUAGGAAGAACACGCCAAUCGGAACCAGGCUGUUUUGGGAUCUUUUGACACCUCAUAAGGUUCAGCUCACUCAUUGCCUUUGAUAUAUGAUCAUUUAAGACCAGCAUAUCUGCUCUGAUUUUCUUUUGAAACCAUGGCACAGGUUCACUUUUAUACUGCACGGUAGGAAAAUACAAGAAACAAGACCUUUGGUAGAAGGAACAACAAUAAAGAUAAAAUGAGCAUCACAGACAGGUGAAGAAAAUCCCACUUCCAUGGUUGUUAUAGAAGCCCCAUUGCCAACAGCUGGGAGGUCUCCAAUUGUAUCUCUAACUGUUAUUGCACGAAAAGGACCACCAUUUGCGGUGCUUCGAACAGCAGCAUAAUGGGAAUUUCUAGCUAACUUGACCUUUAGCUCAGGGCCAGUGAACACAUGCAUUGGCGCAGGCCAUUCUGCAAGGGUUUCCUCAGGUGAUGCUUCCCAUAUGAAUGCACGUUUACGAGACUGAGACAUGCCAUAUGCUCCUGCUUGCAGGACACCAAAUCUCACCUACAACAACAAAUUAGAUGAAUAAUUUAUAUAAGCUACAUGAUACUUUCACAAUUUUCAGAUUAAAUUGACAAAUGAAAUGGAGAAACAAAUUCAGGGAAUUUUGAUAGGUACCCCUCCAUAAAGUUAUGAGUGAGUAAAUAAAAAAUUGUAUCUACCUGAUAACCCAUUUGGAGGAGAGAAGCCAGAGUUAAGCGAAAUGUUUGCCCUUUGUUAAAUGAUGUAAAGUUCCUUACAUUCUCCAGAAGGAAAAAUCUGGGGCGGAAAUAAUCAGCAAAAGACAACGAUGCUAAGAUCAUUUCACAUUGAACUUUGCUCCAAGAGCCUUGAUUAAACCUAUUCAUUCCAGAAAAUCCUUGGAAAUAACAAAGAACCAAUAGCUAAACUUAAUAAGUCCAUUGUACACAUUUAUUGUUAGAAUUGCUUACAAAAUAAAUCCUAGAAGUAGACUAGAGGAUUGAUCGAUGUACCUGACAAGGAGGCCCUCCACUGAUGAAAUCCACUUGUCCUGGCCGAGGCAAAUUCUUAAUUGUCUCUUCAUCAAGUUCUGCUGCUAGCUCUGCAGCUUCAGGAGUUGAAAUACAGUCAUCAGCAUCCCCACAUGCUGACAUGAUAGCCCUGCAUUUGAUUCAUUGAUUUACUGAAGAUAUAAGAGUUGAUUACAAAGCAAUUAUCACUGAAUCGAACAUAAAGCCAUGAGUUAUUAUACUCAAAUGAAAGCAAACAUCAACCUCAGGAUCACAUUGCAGUUGUGAAUAAACACCAAAGCUUCUGGAUGAUUAACCUUGAAUGCUUCUCCUGCUGGUUGCUCAUACUCUAUUGCCGAGUUGGUUAUCGACACACCUUUAGUUGGAUAUUUGUCAGUCAAAAUAGACCUAAAUCGGUUUACUUGCUCACGGAACUUUGAAAGUUACCUGCUUGCUGUAGGCCAUCAGAUAAGCCACCACAACCUGCGAAAAUAUCUAAGGUGGCUAAGCGAUUCUUAUGGACAGCAUCCGCCUGUUUGUCAACAGCACCAUCAUGCUUUUCCUCUUUACAUUUCCCAUUUAUCUUUCUACAGGCAGUAUCAUCAGCCACACUCUCUUUUAGCACACUAGUCUCGAUGUGAGGCGGCAACUGGCCAUUAUACAGACAUUACAGUCAGCAUAAGAAACCACGGUUUAAUAAACAUAAUUCACAUGAAUCUAGUCAAGGAAAUGAAUUAAAGGGAAAAUGAGUAAAUAUAAACUACCUGCUUGAUGGUUCCUUUAUCAGGAUCGUAUAAAUGUUCGCAGAAGAAAAUAUGCUCAAAGAUGGUGGGGCUAUCCGAAGGGGCAAGAUCAUGCUUCUUUCUAAUGUCACAUUUGCCUUCUACUCCAGUAACAGGAACUGUGAAUACUAGUUUACUGUAAUAAACCUAAAGAUUCAAUAGCAAAGACACUGUGUAUAAGAUCCACAAUAACAUAAUAACACCAAAAAGUCAAAUAGAAACUUUGUAUCACAGAAAAUAUAAGACAAAAGAAUACGUAAAAUGUUUAGAUUUUACUCCAUUCAAUAAAAAAGAAAUGUUAAAAUCGGUUCCUAGAACAUACUUACUUCUCAGAUUUGAAUUUAUUUUCAGCACCACCUGUUUCUUCACCAAAGACCUGGUGUGGCGUCUUUCCUCCAUUUUUUCAAAAAGACCAGACACAAAUGCACACUUGCUGAUCCUUUUAUUAGGAAGCUCUGCAAAUUGUUGGAGUAUGAUAUGUCCAUGAACCACCACAUACCUUUCAACUUCUGUGGGAUUGGAAGAAAUAUAAGCAGGAUUAGUCUUACUGAACUUGGACACUUUUUUUAUUACAUCUGCAAAUGAGAGUCGAGAUGCUCGACUCUGAUUGUUCAACAUUGUAAUGAGGGCAAUAGCAAGCCUCACAGUUUUUAGAACUGGUUUGUACCAUGCUGCAUACUGCUUUGAUGGCCUUCCAAGCCUAUACCUGAUAAGAACUAACACUGACAGAAGAUAAAGAGUACAAAAAGGCAAGCUUAAGCACUAGUACCACCACCAAACCUCUUGAUAGUAUAUGGAUAUAGAUGCAUACCAGGAAAUAUCUGUCCGAACUGAUAUGGAAACGAACGAAUAUCCAAAUUCGAUCAUCCAUUCCUGUAUUGCACUCAAAUAUACUGGUAUUCCCCCAACAUUCUCUGCCACAGAUGAAGACUGAUCAAAAUUAGCAUCAACACAUAAUCCACUUGAAUCACCAGUUGUCAUAAUCCCGGACCCAAAGAUGGUAAUAUCAUUAUCAUCACAUGGUUUAUGGCUUAGCAAAUUUAAUUCUGUGGUGUGUACCACAUUGGCCACUCCCUUUUUUAUGUUGCAUAUUUGUUGAUUCAAAGAAAUAGUACUUUUGUAUCCAUCAAACUUACUUUAUUAAUAUUCUUCAUCAUUUUGGUUAAUGGCUUAGCAAAUGUAGGAGGAGUUAGCCAAAAUAAAUUACUUUCUCUUAUAUUAAUUGUUAUGGCAAACGAGUUUAUUUCACUCUCUUAAACAAGAAUUAAGCAACCCACGAAACCAGAAUUGAUAAAAAACAAGAUUACGAAAAAGAACAAAGAAGAACAGAGCAAUCAAAGAUUCUCAACACACCAAGAAACUAACGUGGUUCAGCUCCACAAAGGAACCUACAUUCACGGCUGUAAAAGCCAGCAAGGGCAGAAGCUUUAUUGAACAAGAAGAUGAUGGAUUAGAACUGAGUCACCAAUUACAAAUUAAAACUUUUCUAAUCUUUAGCGUUUUCUCUCUGUAAUGCUUAAGUGUAUCUCUCUGCUCUAUAAAUUGGAAAGUAUCUUAGAGAUAGCUUAUAUAUAUGUAUGCUUUUCACGUGUGUAUCCACUUGCAAUGAAUCAGUCUGUUAUUAACUAACUAACCAACUCUCGAUUUGGAUCCCACUUAUGCCAGCUCACCUGCCACCUCAGCAAGUUCAUAACAGAUUAUAACUAACUUCGGCUUCACAAAUCUCCACCUUAGUUCUAAUCUGUUUAUGCCUCUCCCUUCACUGCAACACAGCACCAGUAAACUUGUUUCACAAGCUAACACUCCCAAUCAGAUUCAGUAAGUCCCUGAACCUGACUGAUGGCGAAGGCUUGGUUAACAUGUCAGCUGGAUUGACUUCAGAUGGCACCUUAACCACAUUCACUACUUCUUUGCUGAUUUCAUCCCUUAUGAAAUGCAUUCUAACAUCAAUAUGUUUAGUUCUCACAUGAUACUUAGGAUUUUUACUUAGCUGAAUAGCACUUAAGCUAUCACAGCCAACUAUAACCACUUCUUGUUUAAACCUCAAUUCAGAGACCAGCCCUCUCAGCCAUAUUGCCUCCUUGACAACUUCUGUAAGUGCAAUAUAUUCAGCUUCUGUUGUUGAGAGGGCAACCACUGAUUGCAGGGAAGACUUCCAACUUAUAGCACCUCCACACAUAGUAAACACAAAACCUGUUAUAGACCUUCUUCUAUACUUAUCUGCUGCAUAGUCAGAGUCCACAAACCCAGCAACUUCAGGUGAUGCUCCACUUAUUUUUCCAAACAUGAUGGCAGUGACAGCAGUUCCUCGAAGAUACCUUAGUACCCAUUUCACUGCAUUCCAGUGAUCCUUCCCUGGAUUCCCCAUAAACCUACUGAUGACUCCAACUCCAUGAGCCAAGUCAGGUCUGGUGCAUACCAUGGCAUACAUGAUGCUGCCAACUGCACUAGAGUAGGUAUCUCCCUCAUAUAGUUAAAAUCAUCAUCAGUUGUAGGUUCCAGUGACUUAGAUAACUGGAAGCGAGCUGACAGAGGUGUUGAAACAGGUUUUGAAUCUUCCAUAUUGAACUUGGUUAACACCCUCUUCACAUAAUCAGCUUGAGAUAGAUACAAAACUUUGGAUUCCCUAUCUCUUAUUAUCUGCAUACCCAGAAUUUUUGUAGCUGCACCCAAAUCCUUCAUUUCAAAUUCAGUGCUGAGCUCCACCUUAAGUUUCUUUAUUUCUUCCUUUUUAUUGCAUGCAAUAAGCAUGUCAUCCACAUAAAGAAGCAAAUAGAUGCCUCCACCACUUGAUAAGAGUUUAUAAUACACACAGUUAUCAAAUUUGCUUCUGUAGUACCCAUGGCUUAUCAUGAACUCAUCAAACUUCAAAUACCAUUGCCUUGGGGAUUGCUUGAGGCCAUACAAGCUCUUCUUCAAUAAGCACACCUUGUCCUCUGAUCCUUUCUCAAUGAACCCUUCUGCCUAUGCCAUGAAAAUUUCUUCAUCGAGGCUACCAUGUAAGAAGACAGUUUUAACAUCUAUCUACUCCAGCUCCAGGUCAUGAUAUGCAGAGAGGGCCAACAGCAACCUAAUGGAGCUGUAUUUAACUACAGGUGAGAACACUUCAUUGAAGUCAACUCCUUCUCUUUGUGUGAAUCCCUUUGCCACAAGUAUGGCCUCAUGUCUUGGUGGUUCAUUUUCUGAAGCUCCGGCCUUCAAUUUGAAAAUCCACUUGCUGCCAACUAGUUUCUUGUUAAGUGGUUUGUUCACUAAGAUCCAGUUAUUAUUCUUCGUUAGAGAGAUUAUUUCAUCCUGCAUUGCAGCAUACCAUUUCAGCUUAUCACCACAACACAAAGCUUCUUUACAGCUCAAAGGCUCUCCACCAUUUACUUCAUCAACUACUAUCAAUGCAUAGGAAAUGAGGUCAGCUAUGCCGUACUUCUUUGGCAUUUUGAUGGCUCUCCUCUCUCUAUCCCUAGCAAGUUGAUAUGUUUCCAGUCCUGAUGGAUUCUUUCUUUCCUUGGAUUGGUCUGAUGGCUGCUCAGAAGUCUUACAACUAUCAGAAUGCUCCACCUUCUGUCCAGCACUUUCUUCUUCCUCUGUUUCAGUAGCUUUAAUCUCAGUUUCUAGCUUUGACUGAAGCAUUUGCUCUUUAUCAAAGGUGACAUCCCUGCUGAUUAGUAUUCUGGAUGGUUUCCCAUUGAGGGUCCAUAUUUUAAAUCCUUUUAUGCCCUCUGGAUAACCCAAAAAAUACCCUUUGACAGCCCUUGGUUCAAGCUUUCCUUGUUUUAUGUGUGCAUAAGCUGGACACCCAAAGAUCCUUAGAUUAGUCAAGUCUGGUGGCUUCCCUGACCAAAGCUCCUGAGGUGUCUUGAAACCUAGAGCUGAGGAUGGACUUCUAUUUAUCAAAUAGGCAGCUGUAGUCACUACUUCAGCCCAAAAACCUUUUGAUAAGUUCGUAUUCAGCAGCAUACAUCUUACCCUUUCUAUUAUGGUUCUGUUCAUUCUUUCUACUAGCCCAUUUUGCUGUGGAGUGUAGGUGACAGUUCUAUGCCUUGCAAUGCCUUUUGAUUUACAGAAGUCUUCAAAUUCUUUGCUGCAAUACUCCAGCCCAUUGUCUGAUCUAAGCCUCGUUAUCUUCUUUUCAGUUUGAUUCUCAAUGAGAGUUAUCCACUCUUUAAACUUUCCUAGUGCUUCAUUUUUGUGUUUUAACACAUAAAUCCAAACUUUCCUGGAGAAGUCAUCUAUGAAGAACACAAAGUACCUUGCUCCACCUAAAGAUGGCACUUAUGAAGGCCCCCAAAGGUCUGAGUGAAUGUAAUCUAAAGUCUGCUUGGUUUCUUUUCUCCCUAAACUGAAUUUCAGUCUUGUGGCCUUCCCAAAUACACAUUUCUCACAGAAUUUUAAGGAAGUAACUUUGUGAUCACCAAGCAAACCUUGAUUGCUUAGCUCCAUGAGACUUCUCUCACUGAUAUGAGCUAGUCUCAUAUGCCAGAGCUUAGUUUUAUCUCUGACAACACUUGCUGAGAUUCCAUGCCCAAGUGAGGAUCCAACAAGUAUGUACAUCCCAUUUUUCCUAGCCCCUUUCAUUACAAUUUUACCUUGAUCAGAAACUUUUAUUUCUCCAUUCUCAGCUUUAAUGGUACAACCUGAUUGGUCAAUCAUUCAUAGGGAUAUUAGAUUUCUUUUUAGUUCAGGGACAUAUCUUACAUGGUGCAAAUCUCUAGUGAAACCAUCAUGCAUUUUUAAAUUAAUGGUUCAUAUUCCAGCAACCUUGCAAGCCAAAUUGUUCCUUAACAGCACAUUCCCUCCAUUCACACUUUCAAAGGUCUUAAAGAGGUUUUUGUUUGGACACAUAUGGAAAGAGCAGCCUGAAUCUAAUAUCCACUCACCAGUUGGAUGUCUCUCAGCCACUAGGACAUCAGCUUCAUCAUAAUCACCUUCAUCCUCUGAAGCUACAGCAGCCUUCUCAUUUGACUUCUUCUGUAGCUCUUCUAGUUUCUUUUUCUCAAAGCAAUCCUUGAUGUAGUGUCCCUCUUUCUGACAGAAGUAACACUUCCUCUUCUUCUUCUUUUUUUCAGCUUUAUCUUUCUGGUUAUUGUUCUUUUUCGGCUUGUUGUGUUCCCUUUCUGGCUUUCCUUUGGCAACUAAACCUUCUGCAUUGGUUUGAUCUUUCACCUAUGAUCUUUUCUUCAAAUCCUUGGAUUCUAGUGCAUCUUUGACAUCUUUCAAAGAUAGGGUCUGUUUGCCAUAGAUGAGAGUAUCUACAAAAUGUUCAUAAGAUUCUGGAAGGGAACUUCGAAGGAUGAGUGCCAUGUCUUCAUCUUCAAGAAUUAUGUUGACAUUCUCAAGAUCAAGAAUGAGUUUAUUAAACUCAUCCACGUGAUCUUUCAUGGCUACUCCAUCUUUCAUUGAGAAUGUGUAUAAUCUCCUCUUCAUGUACAGCCUCAUUGCUAAUGAUUUCUUCAGAAGCAUUUCUUCUAGCUUUGCCCACAAACCAGCUGCAGUUCUUUCUUUGGAUACUUCUCUCAAGACUUCAUCAGAGAGAUGCAAGAUAAUGGUGCUAUGGGCCUUAUUGUUUAUGAUCCUCUGGUCUGUACCAAAGCUUGAAGAACCUUCUGCCUUCUCUUUCUUGGCCAUCGGAUCUUCUCCAUUAUCGAGGGCACUGUUAAGCCCUUGUUGAGUCAGAAUUGCUCUCAUCUUCAAACUCCAGAGAUAGAAAUCAUUAUCUCCAUUGAACUUUUCAAGAUCAACUCUGGUGCUUGCCAUUUUUUAGUCUGAUCCCAACCAACACCAAGCUCUUAUACCAGUUUGUUAUGGCAAACGAGUUUAUUUUACUCUCUUAAACAAGAAUUAAGCAACCCACGAAACCAGAAUUGAUAAAAAAACAAGAUUACGAAAAAGAACAAAGAAGAACAGAGCAAUCAAAGAUUCUCAACACACCAAGAAACUAACGUGGUUCAGCUCCACAAAGGAACCUACAUCCACGGCUGUAAAAGCCAGCAAGGGCAGAAGCUUUAUUGAACAAGAAGAUGAUGGAUUAGAACUGAGUCACCAAUUACAGAUUAAAACCUUUCUAAUCUUUAGCGUUUUCUCUCUGUAAUGCUUAAGUGUUUCUCUCUGCUCUGUAAAUUGGAAACUAGCUUAGAGACAACUUAUAUAUAUGUAUGCUUCUCACGUGUGUACCACUUGCAAUGAAUCAGUCUGUUAUUACCUAACUAACCAACUCUCGAUUUGGAUCCAACUUAUGCCAGCUCACCUGCCACACUCUAUCACGGAUUUUAACCUAGCUUUAGGAUUCAUUGAUGAUGAUUAUUCUACUAGUGAUGAAUAUUUAGGAACAACUUGUGACUUUAGCAAAAAUUUUGAGCCUUAUGGUCUUUGGCGUAAUUUAUCUGUUGAUCACAAUGCCUAUGACCCGAGUAAAUCAAAGAGUUCUUUCUUACGUGAUCGUGUUUUGAAAUGUGUGCAUCGAUUCUUAGCAUAUAAUUUUUUAGGCAAGAAAGAUCACUCAGGAAUUUUCUCUAAAACUGAAUUUUAUUUUAUCUGGUGCAUGUUAAAUGAUGUGAGGCCUAAUUUAGGUUUUUGGUUAGCGGAUCAAUUUCAAAGUGUGCUUAAACGGUAUAGGACUUUAUUUCUUGGUCCAUACAUUACUCUGUUAGCUAUAAACCUAUGUGUGCUUGAUCCUGACAAUAAUGAUUUGCAUCCUGCUUGCAAAAAGGAAUUUUUGGAUAUGUCUGUGUUUGAAAGAACAGGUGUGGUCGAAUUCAAGGAGGGGAGAUUUGAGUUUACUGAACCAGGACCCACUCAACUUCCGAAGAAGCUUUAUGCUAGGAGUGGUGCUACCUCUGAUGACGAGUUUGACGAUGACACUGUUGCCCCGCCAACUAUUCCUUCUACAUCCGCACCACCUUUGAGCAUUCAGUUAGAGAAAAUGGAGCACAAGUUGAAUAAAAUGGAGCAGAAUUUGGCCGCAUACUUCGAGAGUGUGGGAUUUACCCCACCAUUUCCGCCAAGCCCAUAGACGUUAUGUGGAUCAAAGCUCACAAUUCAGGGAAGUUUCUUUUUGCCCUUAAACUUUUAUCCUUACGCUUUAAUUUUUAUGUGAGCUUUGAUUAUCUUACAUUGGGGACAAUGUAAGUUCUUGGUGUGGGGGAGGGAUUUUUGCAUUAUUGAUGUCUGGAAGUAGUAUUUUCACUCUACUCAUUUAUUUUCACUCUACUCAUCCUUAAAUGAUUUUGGAGUUAGUAUGCUUUAUAUAUUAUUAUUUUAUCUUUUCUUUUCUUUCUCACUACUUUUUUUCCCAUCUAUCUCAAAUUAUUUACAUCUAUUUUUUUUCCUAUCAUACUCUUUCAUCACUCACAUUUUAUCUUUCAUUUUUUUUUACUACAUACAUCUUUCUCGCUUAUUAUCAUUUUUACCUUUCCUUUUAUAUCUCAUUCAUACCUUCAUCUCAUUCUACACCACUAUUGAUGAUUGAUUCAUUUGAAGAGUGUACAUGAUUUGAUGGCAAAUUUACCAACUUUGUGAGGAUUUGAGCCUAUGAGCAACCACUUUGCUCUAAUUAUUUUUGUUAUGUGAAUAUCAAUCCUAGUUUGUUUAUUCUAGAACUUGCUUUAUUAUGCAUGUUGAAGCCACAUUACGGGAUUUUAUGCAUUAAAAUGAUAAGGGCAAACCAUUUACCAUUUUUUUAUUCUCGCAUUUUCCUUUUUCUUUACCCGAAGACCUUUAUUUGCUACCUUUGUUUGAGCCUUAACCAUUACCCAUCUAAUUCUCUCCGUCUACUUAACCAUUUUUCUUCUUUUUGAGCCUCAAUUUAAGGAGAUUUUUGGACUCAUUGUAAUGGAUAUAUUUUGUUGCUUUUUCUACCUUGUAUUAAAGUUUCUCAAUUAGAUCAACAAGCAUUAUGCUUGAAUUCAAUUGUGCAAGGUUCGUUUCUUUUGUUUGAUUCGAAAAAAAAAACAAACAAAAAAAAUGAAAAAAAAAGAAAAAGAAAAGGAAAAAGAAAAAAAAUCGAAAAAACAAAAAAAUGUUUACAUUCUUGUUGACUUGAGUAGAAAUAAGCAUUUUAAUAUCAUAAGUUCAUUCAAUGAGUUCAUUCUUCUCAUUUUGAUCUCUUUUUCUUUCGUAAACCUUUCUUUUUCAUUUAACCCAUUUAACCCCAUUACAACCCUUUUAAAACCCUUAGAUUUUUGCAUUUUAUUCAUGUUUUGUGGAUUGAGAUGUGAUUUAUGAGCAAGCUUAUGGUAAUAGCAUUCUUUGAUUUGAUUUGAGUGGAUAAAUGACACCUUAAACACUUUGAGUGCAUGGAGUGAAGUUAUUGAGAGGGCUAUUACAUCUUGUUGCACUUGAAUUUUGAAUGGAUCUUCUUGGUGGUUGAAUGUUCUUAUUCUAUCUUAUGAGAUUCUAUGCUUUAAAAUCCUUGUCUCUCGAAUGUUGAUCGACUUAAUUUCUUGAGGUAUGCUUGCUUAAAAUUAUUUUUGGAUGAGUUGAGAUGAGAAUUGAGUGGAGAUUUGGGAUUAAUCUUGAGUUAUAUGCUUGAGGACAAGCAUCAUCUUGGUGUGGGGGAAUUUGUUAGAGUGCAAUUUAUGCACUAGUUUUGCAUUGUUUACUUCCCUUAAUAUCGAUGUUUUGCACUUAAUAAUAAUGUUUUACUUGUGUUUUACUUUUGUAGGUGCAAUUCUAUUGAUUGAUGAUAAAAUUGAACUAAAAGAUGAUGUUUAAGGAGGAUUGUUCUCUUGGAGAAAUUUCUGAGCGUCAGAAGAACUUUGUUGAUAAGGCGUGGGCGCGUGCUGUCAACUGCGGACCUACAGUUUUUAGUUUAACGUGUUUUGUAUUUUUGGUUAUUUUUGUAAUUACGAAUUUAAUAUUUCAGAUAUUAGUAUUUUAUUUUAAAUAGAAUUCUAAAAGAGAAGAGAGAGAGAGUAUUUAAGAGAGGAAUCUAUUGUGAAAAAGGGGGGAUUUUGGAUUGGAGAAAAAGAAACCCUAGAUCUAAUUUUUCUCUUCUCUCUAUGAGAAGAACUUUGUUGAUAAGGCGUGGGCGCGUGCUGUCAACUACGGACCUGCAGUUUUUAGUUUAAUGUGUUUUGUAUUUUUGGUUAUUUUUGUAAUUACGAAUUUAAUAUUUCAGAUAUUAGUAUUUUAUUUUAAAUAGAAUUCUAAAAGAGAAGAGAGAGAGAGUAUUUAAGAGAGGAAUCUAUUGUGAAAAAGGGGGGAUUUUGGAUUGGAGAAAAAGAAACCCUAGAUCUAAUUUUUCUCUUCUCUCUAUGAGGAACUAAACCCAUUUUUCUGGUUGAAGGUUAAUGAAGCUUUGAUUUAUCACUACUGUGAGAUCUUUCUUGUGCUUUAAUUGUUUUAUUGCUUUUUGGGUAUUUGUUUAUUCUCUGAAUUAGUUUCAUGAUUAUGUUUGUUAAUUAGGUAAUUGGCCACUAUUUAAUUAUCAACUUAAUCUAUUAUCAAUUAAAGGAUUCAUCGUAUGAAGAAUUUAAUGCUUGUGACAAAUAACAUAGCAGAGAGUUGUGUUGUGAGAAUAAACAAUCUAAUUUAAAUGAAUCAUCAUAUGUGUUGAUUAGGAUUUGGGUCUCUCUGGUUUUUCAGGCUGUCAAUUGAUUAAAUUCUAUGAUCGUAUCUAGGGUUGUCUAUUGAUUAGGGAAAUAACCAAUGGUCGUACCUUGGUUAUCGACUAGUUAAGGAGAGAUUGGCUAUUAGAGGGUCUCAGUAGCUAUAACCGGUCUAUUCAUGAGUAAUAAUAAUCUAUAUUUGAAUCAAUGAUCAGUAGUCGAAUCAAGCUGAGUUAAUUCCUUCAACCAGAGCUUUCUCCAAUUUGAAUUACAACUUUAAUUUGCAUUCUUAUUAUUUUAAUUUGAUUUUCAUUAUUGUCAACAAUUCCCCUAUUUUACGUUUUACGUUUCAAAAGGAUUUAAUUAAUUACCGAUCUCUGUGGACACGACCCUGCUCAAUCACUAUACACAAUUUAUUUAGAGUAGGAAUUUAUUUUUGUUGGCUUCGACACCCAUCACCAGGUAGCAAGGGAACAGGAGCAGGAAUAUUCUGCUCGUCCAUGAAUAUGCCAUUCGCGAGGCCGAACCCUUGCUAGAGGCAUAGGGUCACUCCCGCUAGGGUUCGAGGCGAGGAGACCCGGUCAACGGCAGUUGGCGAGACGUGCCUUCCUAUCCGAGAAUCAAGGCACGAGGUCCAUCUCCAUUCGCCCAUCAUGACGAUAAUGGGACAUCCACAUCUGAGCGUGGGGAGAACAACGGGCGUAAACUGCGGAAGACCGGGACUCAGAGGAAGCCUAUAAAAAGGUAGCCAACGAAGGUAAAAGGGUUAGCAAUUUUGAGAUUAUAAGAGAAAUAAAAGCAAUUCUAAAGAAGAGAAAACUACCCAAAAGCCAUAAGAUUUGUGGCAAGCGUUCCCCGAACCUUCAUAUCUGACUUGAGCGUCGGAGGGUUUGCGCCGGGAAAACAACCGGCGUACUCUGACCUGUCUGUGUGCGCAGGAACCUCUGGAGAGGAAUCUUUACGAGGAGAGAUCCUGGUCGUGGUGAAGUUGAUCGAGCAGAGACCCUGGUCGUAGAACGAGGACAACCAGAAUCUCGCAUCAACAUUUUGGCGCCGUCUGUGGGGAGCUGAGCAAAAAGCUUCUGUUAAUAGCAAGAAGUGAGGGGAAGUAACUGAAAAGCAAUGGAGGCAGGAGGAAGUAGUGCACAAGGGGGUGAUAUGAGGCUUAACGAUUCUGUGACACUGAGGGAGAUAGCCAGUGAAGCACAGGAAAAAGCCAUGUUCGACCGGAUGGAACGGAUGGAAAAGCAGAUGGAGUCCUUGACAACCAUUCUGCAUGAGCGGCGGAGCGAACGAAGGGUAACCCAGGAAGAAAGGGUGAGAGGAGGUGGAGUGGCACCAGAUCCCGGUAGUACGAGGAGAAGUCAAACCACCGGGAGACUUGGUGGUGAGAGAGGUAACAUACCCCUGCGGGGAGAAUUCCAUAGAGAGGAAGAACAGUCCCCGGCAAGGCAGAUUUUUGACGAGGACGACGAGGUGGCGAAUGCAGAGGAAACAGUGCUGUCCAACCACUAUCUGGCUCUGAAGUACCGGGUAAAUGGGGUAGUUGGAGUGGUACAAGGAGACCAGAGGAUCGCAAGAAGCUGCUACUCCUCGGCAGCAAGGGAAGUAAUGUAGAUAACAUCCCUCGAUACCCGAGUGAAAAACAAGAAGGGCCAUAUAGAGUCAAGCAGAUGGUGGGACCCGGAGCUUACAAGCUGGUUCGCACAGACGGCCACGAGGUGAAACGCCCAUGGAGCGCAGCACACCUCCGAAAAUACUUCCAGUAAGACUUGUUCACAUUUUAAAACAAUUUCUGCUCGUGCUCUUUAUCUUUUAUUUUUAUGUUUUACGUCAAAGCAAGUUCAUGUAUAAUCAAAACCUGCAAUUGAUAGAAUGUCGAGGAAAUUCAGUCACUGGGAACCGAAAAAAUUUCUAAGGCAUGCAAAGGCUCGACAAGUCUCAAAGCCUGUUUUAUGGUGAGACAGAAGCCAAGUAUGCCAGGAUCUACUCGGCCACGAGAAGGCUAGCAGAAUCCCAAGCUUUGAAGAAAUCAUCUAAGGCAUGCAAAGGCUCUUCAAGUCUCAAAGCCUGUUUUAUGGCGAGACAGAAGCCAAGCAUGCCAGGAUCUGCUCGGCCACGAGAAGGCUAGCAGAAUCCCAAGCUUUGAAGAAAUCAUCUAAGGCAUGCAAAGGCUCGUCAAGUAUCAAAGCCUGUUUUAUGGUGAGAAAGAAGCCAAGCAUGCCAGGAUCUGCUUGGCCACGAGAAGGCUAGCAAAAUCCCAAGCUUUGAAGAAAUCAUCUAAGGCAUGCAAAGGCUCACCAAGUCUCAAAGCCUGUUUACGGCGAGACAGAAGCCAAGCAUGCCAGGAUCUGCUCGGCCACGAGAAGGCUAGCAGAAUCCCAAGCUUUGAAGAAAUCAUCUAAGGCAUGCAAAGGCUCGACAAGUCUCAAAGCCUGUUUAUGGCGAGACAGAAGCCAAGCAUGCCAGGAUCUGCUCGGCCACGAGAAGGCUAGCAGAAUCCCAAGCUUUGAAGAAAUCAUCUAAGGCAUGCAAAGGCUCGUCAAGUCUCAAAGCCUGUUUAUGGCGAGACAGAAGCCAAGCAUGCCAGGAUCUGCUCGGCCACGAGAAGGCUAGCAGAAUCCCAAGCUUUGAAGAAAUCAUCUAAGGCAUGCAAAGGCUCACCAAGUCUCAAAACCUGUUUUAUGGCGAGACAGAAGCCAAGCAUGCCAGGAUCUGCUCGACCACGUGAAAGCGAGCAGAAUUCCCAAGCUUUGAAGAAAUCAUCUAAGGCAUGCAAAGGCUCACCAAGUCUCAAAGCCUGUUUUAUGGCGAGACAGAAGCCAAGCAUGCCAGGAUCUGCUCGACCACGUGAAAGCGAGCAGAAUUCCCAAGCUUUGAAGAAAUCAUCUAAGGCAUGCAAAGGCUCACCAAGUCUCAAAGCCUGUUUUAUGGCGAGACAGAAGCCAAGCAUGCCAGGAUCUGCUCGCCACGAGAAGGCUAGCAGAAUCUCAAGCUUUGAAGAAAUCAUCUAAGGCAUGCAAAGGCUCGACAAGUCUCAAAGCCUGUUUAUGGCGAGAUAGAAGCCAAGCAUGCCAGGAUCUGCUCGGCCACGAGAAGGGUAGCAGAAUCCCAAGCUUUGAAGAAAUCAUGUAAGGCAUGCAAAGGCUCGUCAAGUCUCAAAGCCUGUUUAUGGCGAGACAGAAGCAAAGCAUGCCAGGAUCUGCUCGGCCACGAGAAGGCUAGCAGAAUCCCAAGCUUUGAAGAAAUCAUCUAAGGUAUGCAAAGGCUCACCAAGUCUCAAAGCCUGUUUUAUGGCGAGACAGAAGCCAAGCAUGCCAGGAUCUGCUCGACCACGUGAAGGCGAGCAGAAUCCCCAAGCAUCGAAGAAGUCACUAAGGCAUGCAAUGGCUCACCAAGUCUCAAAGCCUGUUUAUGGCGAGACCAGAAGCCAAGCGUGCCAGGAUCUGCUCGACCACGAGAAGGCGAGCAGAAUCCCAAGCAUUGAAGAAUUUACUAAGGCAUGCAAAGGCUCGUCAAGUCUCAAAGCCUGUUUUAUGGCGAGAUAGAAGCCAAGCAUGCCAGGAUCUGCUCGACCACACGAAGGCGAGCAGACUCCAAAGCAUUUGAAAAAUUUUCAAAGGCAUGUAAGGACUCGCCAAGUCUCAAAGCCUGUUUUAUGGCGAGACAGAAGCCAAGCGUGCCAGGAUCUGCUCGACCACGCGAAGGCAAGCAGAAUCUCAAGCAUUGAAGAAUUUUUCAAGGCAUGUGACGAAACCAUAUGCCAAGCCAGAACUUGCUUAAUCAGACGAAGACGAGCAGAUUCUCAAACGAAAAAUAACUCAUGAUUACAACACAAGAAAGUAAUCAAAAAACAUUUUUUAAUUUGUUAAUAAUUAACAGAGGAGAGAAUCUUCACAAACAUGGUUCAUUACAAGACAAGAAAUACAUCAAGAAGAUGGUGGAUCAGUAAGCCGAGCAGCGUCGGCGGGCUGGGCCUCCUCAGGUGCGGGGGGGGUAUCACCAGUUGCGUCCGGGGGGGUGCUCGCCUUGCCAACAUCAGCAGGGAUUGCACGAGGAGGAGAGCUUUCCUCCUCAAUCACGAUUGGCUCCACCCCUUGGGCAUUUUCCUUGGCAGCCUUUUCCAGUCCCACGCGACCAAGAACCACUGAGUUUCUACUGCUGGUCCAUUACAUUACCCAACACCAGAAACUGGGGGACCGGUGUUUGAGGGAAAUACUUCGGUGAGACCAGACGUGAUGAGCAGAUGUUUGGUGGCAGAAUUCUGCGAGCAGGUGUCUCCUAUAAGAGCCAGGUAGCAAGGGAACAAGAGCAGGAAUAUUCUGCUCAUCCACGAAUAUGCCAUUCGCGAGGCCGAACCCUUGCUAGAGGCAUAGGGUCACUCCCGCUAGGGUUCGAGGCGAGGAGACCCGGUCAACGGCAGUUGGCGAGACGUGCCUUCCUAUCCGAGAAUCAAGGCACGAGGUCCAUCUCCAUUCGCCCAUCAUGACGAUAAUGGGACAUCCACAUCCGAGGGGGGAACAACGAGCGUAAACUGCGGAAGACCGGGACUCAGAGGAAGCCUAUAAAAAGGUAGCCAACAAAGGUAAAAGGGUUAGCAAUUUUGAGAUUAUAAGAGAAAUAAAAGCAAUUCUAAAGAAGAGAAAACUACCCAAAAGCCAUAAGAUCUGUGGCAAGCGUUCCCCGAACCUUCAUAUCUAACUUGAGCGUCGGAGGGUUUGCGCCAGGAAAACAACCGGCGUACUCUGACCUGUCUGUGUGCGCAGGAACCUCUGGAGAGGAAUCUUUACGAGGAGAGAUCCUGGUCGUGGUGAAGUUGAUCGAGCAAAGACCCUGGUCGUAGAACGAGGACAACCAGAAUCUCGCAUCAGCAGAUACUAAUAAAUUUCACCGAAAUGGUCACCAAAAAACAAAAAAGAGAAAAAUCAUAUAGUUAACUUUUCUUCUUCUUUACUCCAUUAUUCAAUGGGAAUAUAAUAAACUAGGAGAAAGGAGAAAUUAAGGAGAAAAUUAGAUUGAUUGUUGCAAUGAUAAAAACUCAUGCAAGUGCUUAUUCAAAUAUAUGUGUGGCAUUCAUUAAUUUGACCAAAAAUAUAUGAAUUUAUUUGUAUUUUAAUCAAAAUCGAGGGAUAUAAACAAAAUUUUCCCUAAAUUGCAUAAACUUAAGAAACCAGUAGUCACUAAAAGAGAAACAGAGUAAGAAGAGUUCAAACUUCAAAAGAUGGAACCCGAAGAAGAAACGCUAGCAACAAUCCCUGAAGAAGAGGAAGAUGAUGAUGAAGGCACGGCCAUGCCUGACGUUAAGAACAACUGUAAAAUAAAAACAAAGGGCAACUCUUCGGACUCGAGCGAUGCCUCUGACGCCGACUUGGAUUCUGACUCAGAAGUCGAAGCAAAACAGAACAUGGAGCUUCAAACCUUAAGAGUAUCAGCUAUCCAAUGAACCUUCCAAUUACAACAUCCAUGUCCAAGUAAUUUCAAUACGCAUAUUUAUUGAGUGAUUUUGAGGAUACAAUUUGCUUGUUCUUUCUUGGAUUGCGAAAAAAAUGGUUUUUUUUUUCAGUACAUAAAGGUUUUAAGAAAAAUGGGUGAGAUAGAGAAGUUAAGACAAGCUAGGGAAGCCAUGAAUGAGAUUUUUCCAUUGACUCCUGCCAAGUGGCAAAAAUAGGCGAGAGAUGAAGCCUCUAUUUCAACUGGGUAUGUGUCAUUUCCUUUCUGCAAUGGUUUUUGAUUUUGUGAACAAAUAUUUUUUUGCUUAGAGAUAUAGAUGUUUAUGUUAGUUGUUUGCUAUCGUAAAAAGGAAGAAAACCUGCUCAAAAGGUAUUAAGGAAAGAAAAAAAGGAACCAAUUUGAAGAAGGAGAUAUUUAUAGUGGGAGUUCUAUUCUUUGGGGUUUAAUUGAUGGGAAGAAGAAAUAGCUUAUACGUUUACAGAAUUAGAUAACACAAAUGUGACUCAUUUGUUAAAGGUGUAUAUUUAACAAUCUGAUAACAUAAUUAACAAAUGUGACUCAUAAUGCGAUUAUUACACAAAUGUGACUUAUACCACCGAUAGUUUGGCAAGCUUCCGUCCUCGUGUUUUAGGAACUGGACAUCGGACAUCGGUGAAUUAACCAAAGGAUCAUGAAAGAAUCUCACAAAACAAAAUGGAAACUAUACUUUUUUUUUUUUUGUAAUUGUACAGGUAACGGGACUAAUUUUCAGAUAGUUUUCAAAUUACACUUAUUUACAAAAAAGCAAUACAAAAUGAUUUCCUUUCCUUUUGAAACAUGUUGUCGAAUCAAGUAAUAGUGAAAUAAAUAGAAAAAUGGUAAUUCUCUGAUAGUAUUUUUUCCUUUUCUAAAAGGGAUGGUGGGGUUUGGUUGUUUGCAAAAUUAUUGUUGUGGUUGUCUAUUUGUUUUUGUUUUCACUUUGUUAAUUAAUUAGCGAACUAAUCAUGUAAUCAUUUGUAAAAGGAUCACUAGCAUCAGCUUAAGAAUGCAGUUUACUCUUUUUUUUUUUUUUAGAUUUUUAUUCCUAGGAUUUGGUUUCACUCUAUUUCGAUUAUUGACAUUGUUGAAGAGGGCAGUAAAAGGCUGCUGAAUGUCAUCAAAUGCGUGCAUCUUACCUCACAAAUUGGGCAAAUAUCGGUUGGUUUCUCUAUAGGCGGCCAUCAAGAAUUGAAAGUAACAAUACCCACCAUGUAUCGAAAAUUAAUUUUAUGAAUAUUUUUUACUUGAAAUCUUUGAAAAGAUAAACUAUCCAAAUUAGAUUAGAGAUAUACAUAUAUUCAAUACCAAUUAAAAACGAGAAUAUGAUUUAAUAAGAAAGAACAAGAAUUGAACAUGUCCCAAAAGACCAAAAAUUAGAUUAUACAAACUUGCACGCAGGCAUAUCAUUUAUUAAUCUUAAUUUUUUAAUUUGUUGCUGAAAAUUAAUUAAUUAAUUCCACUAUUUCGGUUUUUUAAUUUUAUGGUGUGUAUCACAUUAGCCACUUCUGAAUUAAGUUGCAUAUAUGUUAAUUCAAAGAAAUAGAUCUUUUGUAUCAAUCAAAACUCACUUUAGUAAUAUUCUUCAUCAUUAUGGUUAAUGGCUUAGCAAAUGUAGGAGGAGGGGUCAGCCAAAAUAAAGCACUUUCUUUUGCAUUUACCUUUAUUAGACUUUUUUUUUUGUUGAUAAGUCGUUGAAGUUUAAAGAGUUUUUAAAACAAGUUAAAACAAUUCCAACUCAAAAUCAGCAAGGUGCAAUUUGGUUGUAAUAAAUAUUUGUAAAUUUUAGUCUAAUUUAAUUGUACAUGUACAAACUAACUUUAUCACUUCUUUCAUAUUAAUACUCAUAAAUUUGAACCCUAUUUUAUGUUGAUGCACAAUCUAACUUAACAAAAAUAAUAUUCAAAUUGUCACAAUCCUUUAAUAUUCUUUAAUCAAUGUGUUUAUUUCAAAAUAAAAAAUCCACCUAUUUAUUACUUUCUAACUAGUAAUAUUAAUGUGUUAAUAAUUGUGAAGAACCAGUGUAAUUUGUAUGAUCUAGAAAGCCCUUUAGACACAAUAACCCAAAUUUCUAACAGUAGCGGUUGGACUUGCUUGGGAACAGCCUCAAUUCAGCUACUUUUUUUAUCGUGAUAUUUAAACAUAAGCAUCCAGAUCCGUGCGGAUCCCCACCUUUCACAUCUGGAUCUGCAUUUUUUAAUAUCCGGAUUUAAACUUUUUCUAGAUCCAGAAGAGGAUAUUUACUUGCCAUCCCAAGCACCCAGCAACAUCCAUCCAUUAGGAGUGAAACCCCAUUGAUUUCAUAAAUAAAAAAUAAAUAACUCGCAAAGACAAUCUUUGACAAUCACAAGAACAACAACAAUUCACUCCAAUAAACAACAUAACAAAUACAUGGUCUACAUUGAAAGUCUCUUUAUGAUUUUAAUUGAAAGAGAAAGUACGAAGGACAUAUUAUACAUAAUUGAAUGUUAUCGUUGAUAAUUAGGCAAAAUAAUACUAAUCUAGCUAACUAAUCCAAUCAUCAUAAUAAUCUGAUUUUCAUUAUUUAUUUGAUAUGUCCAAUCAUAUGCUAAUUUAAUAAAGAACACUAAAUGCUUGAGUCUUUAUAUGUUUCAACAACUUUGGCUAAGUUUGAAAAGAACAUAUUAAUUAUGAAUAUUAAUACAUAACCCUGCAAGCUACAGAUUGCAUACAUAUGCAGUUGCAACAAAUACAUAUGUAAUAAAAAGAUCAAUAGUUUUUCAGCAGCUGAGAAAGCAAGCCAUUACUCGCAUACUACACCCACCCAAACACAAUUAAUAUGUUAUCAAACAAAUAGACACAAUAGAAAUAAAAUCUAAUGUGAAAACUGAAAACAAAAACAGCCCCAUCACCAUCAAUAAUUUUGACGAACUGGACAUGGGUGGACCAAGCAUCAUUGAAUAAAUGAAAAACAAAACAAAAUUAAAAUCAGUGUCCACCAGAAAGAAUCCAUCUUUACGUGUUGCCUCCAAUUUGGUACAUGCAUAGAUAUGUACAUCUAUCUAACUUUAAAAAAAUUGUAGUAUAAAUUAGAGCUCACUUUUUUAGAUAUGGCUCAUAUACAAUACACGUGUCAAGAUUUAAUUGGAGUUUACAUAUAUACACGUGUCUUAUUCUAAUUGAUAGAUAAACUAAUCAUAAAUACUCAGGUGUUUCUAAAUGAUUGAAUAAUGAUAAUGUAGUGACUUGAUUGCUUUAUUCUCUGAUUAGAAAUAAAUCACUGUUCAAGAACCUUUGUCAAGAUCUGUUCAAGUUGCAAUUAAAUCAACACCAAUAUGAGGCCUCAAUGCUGAUUCACACUUCAGCUCUAGGUUAAUGGAGAUUGAAAGCAGAGGACUAAAUUGAACUAGAAGCAAAACACACUCACACAAAGAACAAGAUUUAACGUGGUUCGAUUAUGCAUAAAUGCACAAUCUACAUCCACGGGAGAAGCCACAGAAAAAAGCUUUUUUGAUGAUUCAAAAUGAAUUUUACAGAGCUAAUACAGAGGAGAUUACAAGGAACAAGAAGACUCUUUCUCUCUUUCUAAGAUCUCUCCGGAAAGCUCUCAAAAUCCUAUGCAAUUUUUUUUCAACAACCAGCCUCUUCAUACCCCUGAUAUUGAAACCCAAUUGCACAGCUUUUACAUGAAUGACAAUGAAUGAAGUUAUGUUAAUUUACAUUAAGUAGAAACCUUCCUAAAUAGGAAUAGAAAUACUCUAUUAACAUAUCGAAUACUACCUUAAUAAAAAUUUAGUUGACAAAAAAAAAAAAAAAAGCCUUGAAGGCUUGAAAUAAUUAAACCUAAUUAAAUAAUUGUCUUACAUAACCAAUUUUUUCCUUUCUUAAUUUAAUAAGACAUCGCCACACUCCUGAUUUUAUAAUAUAAAGCAUAAAAUAUAAUAGACAAGUUUGAGUUUACUUUUUUUAUCAUUGAGCAUGCAAUUCUCUGAAAAAACUCAUUGUGUUUGUGUCUAUUGUAAAUUUAUGACAUUUACUAAUCUUUUGGGUUUUGUUGUAUCUAUUCUUUGGUACGUGUUCAUCAUGUUUUCAUUCUUUUCUAAUGCAAGAUUCUUGGUUACAUUAGGAAUCAGAGUGAAAUUCCAAUUUUAAAGUUUGGAGAAAUAAAAUGUAAUAUGAUUUUUUUUCAUGAAUAAAACGAUUUAAUUUACUUUUUUCUACUAGCAAAAAUUAUUACUUUAUUAAACCCAUCAAGCUAUUGGCUUCAUUUAUAAGCCGGUCAGUCAGUUUUUUAGUUUCAAUUGUUAUCUUUUAAAAGAUAAUAGAAAAAUCUUACUUUGAGUGUAUUUUAUCACUUCACUAAAAUUUGAUUAACCCAUCAAGUUAUUGGCUUCAGCUUUUCGUUCUGUUUUCUUGUAUAUGUUGCAAUUUUCAAGUAUCACUCAAAAUUUUAGACCGUCAACACCUGCAGGAAAAUUGCAUAUAUUCUAUCAUUCAACAUCAACAAAUAAAUUCUUUUCACUGGAAUCCAACAAUCGUUAAGUGUUAACCUUGUAGUUCUCAAAAGCAGAAAUUGUUGUAUUAAUUUUUUCAAAGUGUCUCAGUUAAAAGAAAACUAAAGAUAGAAGAGAGUGAAAUUUCAACUGAGAUCUUGCCACAUAAGACGAUCGAUUUAAUCCUUUCUGUAUCUUUCUUCUAUCAGCGGACAAUCCUUGAUAUACAGUUGCAAGAGCGAGGUAGGCACACUCUUGUCCAAAAAGUAUGUUAGCUUCGGACGAAUAUAAAGCCAAAGAUACACCAACGACGUGAGAUUUUGACCAACUGAAGACAGGCAUUCCAGGUUUUGGAAAUCAUAAAUCCACAAACGGGUUCCUAACUCCUGUGGCGAAAUGACACCAAGUCAUGAAGUCCUCCGAUUGACAGUCGUUGUAGAGAUGAGAAUCUGCUCAAUCCCCCUUCCCCCCACCCCAUCGAUUGCUUCCAAAUCUUCAUAUCAUGAAUAUAAAGUGACUGAAUGUUGCUGGGAAACAUACCAUCAUCUGCCUCAACUGGGAAGCAAUAUCCUAUACGCUUGCCAGGCCUGCUCUGUUUAAUUCUUGAAGACUCUGCUUGUCCUUGCGUGAGGCCUCUAGUUUAUCACACCACGUUAUUCGGAGCUUAGUCAAGUUAAAGAAAAUAGAGUGUUUGGUUGAAAGGAAAAUUCUAAAGCUUCAGAGAGAAAAUAUAUCAAACUGAAAUCAUUCUAUUAAUUCUUAAAACUGAAAUGAAGAAUUACAAAGCUUUAUAUACUCAUGUCUAGAAGAUUCUGCAGCAACAAAUGUAUGUGACUAAUCUCAACAACUUAUAAUAAACUAUUGGCGGGAAUCAUUAACAAACUUUAGAAGCUGUUUUGCGCAUAUAACUAAUUGCUGACGUGGUCAAUGACUCAACAAGCUUUGCUGACUAAGCUGCUGACAUGGACAUCAGGAUUUAUUCUUAACAUGCCCCCUUAAGCUCAAGGUCUUGGACAAACAUUGAGCUUAGUUCUCAUAUAAGCAAAAUGGUCAAAACCAAGUGGCUUAGUAAGCACAUCUGCCAAUUGAUUUGAGCUUGAUACAUGUUCAAGAACAAAUUCCUUCUUGGCAAUAUGUUCUCUUACAAAAUGAAUGUCUAAUUCAAUGUGCUUGGUUCGUGAAUGAUACUUUGGGUUGCUUGCCAGAGCCUCUGCACUUUUAUUAUCACAGUACAGAACAGGUGUGUUGUUGAGCUGUACUCUGAGUUCCUGCAACAAAUAUGAAAUCCAUAAUUCUUCUGAAGUUGUCAAGGCCAAUGCUCUAUAUUUUGACUCAGCUGAUGAUCGAGAAACAACAUUUUGUUUCUUAGAUGACCAAGAGACAAGAUUGGAUCCAAGGAAGAUGCAGUAGCCUCCAACAGAUCUGCUGUGAGAGAAAGAGACUUUGAAUUGUAGAACUGAAUCCCAUAAGUAGCUGUACACUGAAGAUACCUAAGAACCCUUUUGCAAGCCUGCCAGUGAAGCACAGUGGGAGCAGCCAAAAACUGACUUAACUUGUUCUGCAAUUUGUAUGGUCCUGCAAUUUGUAUUCCUUUAUGUGGGAUUGGUUUUUUCUUUGAACAAAAUUUCAAGGAUAAGAAAUCUUACCCAUCGAAUACAAACUUUGAAAUUUAUUAUUAUUCAAAUUUAGAAAACUGCAGAAACAAAGUGCCUUCAUAGCACCAGUUAAGCUGCGUCUUGCUACCAUGCUGGUUCUAUUUCUAAUUUAUUAAAUAUAUACAAAAUUAAAUCACCUGAGCCUCUAGUUUCACUAGUUUCCAACUUGAAAUUAAAACGCGGAAUUGAUGGUAUUGGAGUUCGUUAUUUAAUUUUGUUGUAGGUUUUGGGGAAUCAGAUGGCCAUCCAUUUUUAUGUCUAUUUUAUGUACUAUUGGCCACCAAGUAGCUUGCUCAUAUAUGUGUAUUGGGUUGUCACAGGCCUUAAAGCUGAAAAUCCAUCCCCAAUCUAAAGUGAAAAACAGUAGCUAGAACAGAAUCUAUGUUUUGAUGUCCUAGUUUAUAAGCUCAAACAAAUUAAUAGUAUACAGAAAAUGCAUGAUAGAACCCAAAACUCAUAUUGAUUUUUAGUUUCGAAAUUCAUUUCAGAAAAUCUGUUCCGUUCAUCAGAUUCAACUAAAUUACCAACUAAACUCUAGCCACGUACUUGUGUAUGUAUAGGUAGAGCACUAGGUCAACAAAGGAGUCCAUCUUUAAGGCCUUGUCUAAGACUGUGGUUGUCUUUUUCAUGAGCUUCUUGUUAGAUUAAUUUUAUAUUAAUCUAAUAUUUAGGGCCACACAUGAAAUAAAUAAAAUGUGUGUGCUAUUAUUUAAUAAGCCAAGAAUUAAGUGAUCUAUUUGAAGUUAAAUAAAUGGCAAAUGGUAUAAUUAUUGUGGAUUAAAUGCAUAGAUACUAGAAUUUAAUUAUCACUUUAAUGAGGGGUUGACGUGAUAAUUAUCAUAAAUAACUGCUGAACGGGUUUCAUUAGAAAACUGCCUGUCAAGUUAUUGAAUUAAAAGGGGUUAUGGUCCCCAAUCUCUCUUCAUCCUCUGCAACUUCUCUAAUCCUCUCAGAGAGAAUUCUAAACUCAAGAGAAAAAGAGAAGAUUGGAAGUCCAUCUCCUACACUCAAGAACCACUACGAAUCACCAUGGAUUCAGGUAUGCUUCCGCUUUCAUAUUUCUCAGUAAUUUAAUAUGGAUGUUACAAGGACUUAAGGUUUUACACUUCUGGCUUUCCAGCUUGCUGAGCGACGUACACAUGAAAAGGUUAUCCUUGUCUUUUUUACUCUGUUUUCAUAUCACAGAAUCCAUUUUUGAAUAUAUGUAUUUAGGUACACACGCGCAUGAAUAUGCAUGUUUUUAUGAGUAUAUUUAAGUAUAUCCAAUGCUGAAUAACUCUUCCAUUUGAACAUGACAGUAAUCAGAUAGUUGAUAUUUAUGUUACAAAAAUUGGAAGCAAAUAAGCAAUUCAGAAUCAUGCAAGGACUUGGAUUUUUUUGUUAAUUCACUGGGCAUAUGUUUAUCCCACCUCUGAUUUUUCUUAAUAUUUCUCACUUGUUCAUUUCGUGGCACUUUUAGCCGCUACAUUGGCAUUUUCUGCCAUUUGCUUUUGUUCAUUGAAGUAAGUUAGCUUAUGAAAUUGCUUUUUGAUAAAUGUUCUUCAGAGGGAUUGUGAAAAGGCCAAAUCAACUGAGAUGAUCGGGUUUUCUAGAUCAGCCAUCUCUGUCCUCAACGGUGCUGAACCGUCAAUUACUGAGACACCAAACUCUGACCUGAUUCAUAUGGAUGUAGACCAAAGCUUCUUGCCUGCACCAUGUCUGGUCAGAGCUGCUAUCUUUGAAAGUUUUGCAGGACAAAACAUGUCUGAGUCAGAAAUUGACGUCACCCCUAGCGUAAGACAUAUAUAUCAAGAGCAAUUUUGGUUUCUCAGUCGAUACAGAUACAGAAUUCACAUAUGCAGGUUGCUCUCAAUCUCUGUUUAAUAGGUUAGUCCUCUGCCGUAUCCUAGAAGGUGGACCAUUAUGCUUCCCAGCUGGCUCGAAUGGGAACUAUGUUUCUGCUGCAAAAUUUUUGAAAGCGAACAUUGUGAAUAUCCCUACUGAAUAUGAAGUGGGCUUUAAGGUGACAGAGAAGACACUUGUGACAAUACUCGAGACUGUAAAGAAGCCGUGGGUAAACAUUUCUGGUCCAACCGUCAAUCCAACUGGCUUGCUGUACAGCAACAAAGAGAUGUGUUUGUGAAAAAUAUGGGGCAAGAGUUGUGAUUGAUACUUCAUUAUCGGGAUUGCAAUUCAACUACGAGGGUUGGGGUGGCUGGAAUCUGGAAGGCUGUUUAUCGAAGCUGUAUCGUCUCUCUCUGUCUCUGCUCGGAGGGCUGUCUCCGAAGAUGCUUACUUACUGGAGCCCCCGCAUUUGGAUUUCUGGUUCCAAACCAACGUCAUUUAGUUGAUGCAUUUAGUAGCUUUCCGAGAUUAAGAAUAUAUUUUAUGCUAUUAAGAAUACAUUUUUGAUAAAUUAACCGCAAUUCUGAAUUUUAAUUUAGAGAAUGUCGAGAAGAGAUUUGAUUUUUCAUAUAAAAAAAUUAAAAAUGAAAUUAGUCAAAAUCAAUUACAAGAACAGCAAUAAGAAUAUAUUUUGUAAAAGCCAUAAAUACAUAUAAUAUAAAUUUAGUUUAAGAUUAAGUAAUUAUUAAUUUGUAUAGUAAGAGGGUCUUGUAGGACAAUAAGAAGUUUUUAAAAGAGAUUUGCUAAGGAACAAGUUUAGUUUGUGAAUGCUCAAGUAAUUGAAAGCAAUGCAAUUGAAGGAAAUAUAAAGCAAUCAUCAUAAUAUUUGAACUUCUUGAGAUUUUAAAAAAGUCCGGAAAAUAGACAAAUAAUGAAAAUAAAGUAAAUAAACAAAGUAAAACAGGGCAAAUAUUUACCAUUACACGUACAUUUUUUAUUUUUUAUUUUUCCAAAAACGAAUGUUGCCAUUACUAAUCUAGAAUGUCAGCUAUUGUAUAUAAGCACACUACCACACGUUGUGCUUUCUUUUUUUUACCUCCCCUUUUAGUAGUUGAAGUUACUAUAAAUAGAGUUUCCUCUCACUCUAGGAUAUAUGCUAUGGUCCUGCGAUUUGUAUUCUUUUAUGUGAGAUUGAUUUUUUUUCUUUAAAUAAAAUUUUGGGAGAUGGGAAAUCUCAUCAACUAAAUACAAAUUUUGACCUAGAUAAUUAGGUAACUAAAGUGCAUGCAUAACUAGUGAGACCGUGCCUAGCUAAAUAUAUGAUUCUAAUUUCUUUGACUUUGAUUUCAAUUUUUGCUGAACAUAUAUCUAUUCCAAAUAAAGAGUUAAUGCACUUUUCACUUCUCUGCCAAGGAGGUCCUAGGGGAACUAACAACAGCAGAAAAAAAAUAAAAAAUCUGAUACAGGCGUAGAAGAUAAACAAAUAAGUAUAUCUUGAGUUGCGUAUAUACACAAGUAAUGUUCUGCGGAUCUGUAGAAGCAAUCUCAACCAUCCAAUGUUGUCUAAAUUUUAAUGAACAUAAAUUUUAAAUGUUGGACAGUUUCGAAAAAUAAACUUAGCAAAAUGAUAUUAUUAACAAAUAAGGAGCACAAAGGUAAUUAAUCUUGGUGUGAAAAUAUUUUCAUGGGUGUACUAAGAAAAAAAAACAAAGAUAAUAGAAGGAAAGUUAUUGAGAAGUAUUUUGGUAUUUACAAAAGUGUUCAAAGUAAAAAGUGAUCUUUUAAAAUCUAUUAGCUAGUGCGCAUAAUCAUACGUUGUUCAGAGUAAAUUUUAAACUACAAAUAUUAUCAACGCUUUUGAUAAUAUUCUUCAAUCAGUUUUGCUCAUUCCAAAUUAAAAAAUCCAUUUCGCUAUUACUUUCUAACUUGUCAUAUUAAUGGAAUAAUUUAAAACAAUCCGUCUGACCAAAGUUCUUAAGGGAUGAACUAAGAUUUCAGUGCAUCACGUUCCGAAAUUGAAAUUAACAGUAGUUGCGAAGGCAGAGCAGCCCCUGUUUUUUACAAUUGUACAAAAUGGGAAGUAAAGCCAAUUCAGGGAGCUCCCCUGUUUUCAACUUAAACAUACAUAAUCCGAAGAAUUUACAAUUAAAUAAAUCAUUCAAAAUCUCCUUUAAUCGAACCCCCACUUCUACGGUUUAAUAAAAUAUCACGAAGGUGGCUAACGUAGUGAAAUUAACAUUUGGCUCAUGAAGUUGCCAUUAUAUGUAUUGAAAAAUAAAAUAAUACAAGAAAUUGAAAAUUAUUUGGCACUGGAACAUGUUGGAUUGUUAGUUGUUAAUUACGAUGGGUAUAUAAUCUGUCAGCAGAUUCUCCUCCUAGAAUAUGGUAACUAUCUAGUUUACUCAUUCAAACUCAAAAUCCUUUACUCUGUUAUGGUAUCAGAGCAUUAAAUCUCUCCAUUUUUGUUUUCUAUUCUCCCUCUUUCUACUGAAUUCUUGCAAUGGCAAGCAAUCAUUCCAACACUACCAUCUGAAACACCAAUGAUUCCAGCAACACUCUUAUCACCAUCAAUGUCGCAGCUCAAACUCCUCUCAAAUUAACUACCACCAAUUACCUAUCUUGGAAGUUACAAUUCUAAACACUUUUCGUUGGCUAUGAUCUCCUCGGAUAUAUAGAUGGCUCUAAACCAUGUCCUUCUGCAACUGUAACAACCAACAACACCACAUCCCCAAAUCUUGCAUAUACUCUCUGGAUCCGACAAGACCAAUUGAUUUUAAAUGCAAUCAUUGGAUCAAUCUCUCCCUCUAUAAUCUCGUUUAUUGCUAAUACCAAAACACCACAAGAAGCUUGGACCACACUUGCCAACACAUGUGCCAAACCCUCACGCGGUCGAAUCAAGCAAGUCAAAAAUGAAAUCAAACAAAUGACUAAAGGGCCUGAAUCAAUCACUGAAUUUCUGCAAAAUGUGAAGGCACGCGCUGAUGAGUUAGCUCUAUUUGGGUCACCAUUUGAUAAUGAUGACCGCACCGAUAGGAUCCUAGAGACACUUGGUGAUGACUACAAAGAGUUAGUCAGAGCUGUUCAAGGAAGAGAUACUCCAAUCUCCUUUGAAGAACUCCAUGAGAAACUCCUCAACUUUGAAGCCACACUCAACAUCACCAGACCACAAAUUGCCUUCCCCAUCACUGCUCAUGUUUCAACUCACACCAAUAACAACUGGCGCAAUAGUAACAACUAUGCCAAUCAAAGUUCAACCAACACCAAUCGGAGUCUAGGACAACCUCAAAACAACAAUUUGAAUCGACAGCAACGUCCCUACCUUAGCUUUUGCCAACUCUGCAGGAUUCAAGGACACACUGCCAAAAAGUGUCCAUCUUACAAGUUGCAACCAAUCCAACCUACCGACACCAGCAAAACCACUCCAUGGCAGCCCAAAACCAAUUAUGCAGCAACAACAAACAACAGUCAAAAUUGGCUUCUUGACAAUGGUGCAUCUCACCACGUAACAUCUGACCUGGAGAACCUUUCUUUGCACAAUCCAUAUGACGGAAACGAUGACAUGAUGAUUGGGGAUGGCACUGAGUUACAGACAACUCACACUGGUUCAACUACUCUUACCUUUCCUCAUAAAAAUUUUAAAUUAAAUAAUGUUCUCUGUGUGCCAAGCAUAAAGCGAAAUCUUAUUUCAAUUCAUCAAUUUUGCAAUACCAAUAAUGCUGCUAUUGAGUUCUUACCUAAUACUUUUUCUGUGAAGGAUCUCAACACAGGGAACACACUGUUGAGAGGCCAAACUAAAGAUGGCGUAUAUGAGUGGCCACAAUCCAGUCCCAUUCUUGCCUUUUCCAGUAUCAAAACUACUGCUCAUGAUUGGCAUCAUAGGCUAGGACACCCAUCUCCUUCUAUUCUUAAGCAAAUUAUCUUUUCCAAUAAAUUGAGUUUAACAUCUUCUGUAUCGUCUUCUUUUAAUUGUAAUGCGUUUCUAACAAAUAAAAGUCACAAGUUGUCCUUUUCGCAGUCAAUAAUAAAAGCGUCUCGUCCUCUUGAAGUCAUUUACAGUAAUGUUUGGACCUCGCUUGUGGUUUCCAUUGAUAAUUAUAAAUAUUAUGUCAUAUUUGUGGAUCAACAUAUAAGGUACAUAUGGUUUUAUCCACUAAAACAUAAAUUUGACGUGAAAGAAAUAUUUAUCAAGUUCAAAUCCAUUGUUGAAAAGCAAUUUGAUCACACCAUCAAAAUAUUAUAUUCUGAUAAUGGUGGUAAAUUUAUGGCUCUAACCAAUUUUCUAUCCAUGAAUGGCAUAGCUCAUCUUACCACUCCAUCACACACUCCUGAACACAAUGGCACGUUUGAACGAAGGCAUCUACACAUUGUAGAAACUGGUUUGGCACUCUUAACCCAUGCCUCUAUUCCAUUAUCUUAUUGGACACAUGCUUUUGCAACAGUCGUUUACUUGAUAAAUAGAAUGCCAACACCAACUAUACACCUUCAAACUCCAUUCGGAAAAUUUUUUAAAUUGCCACCCAAUUAUACCAAACUUAAGAUAUUUGGUUGCCUCUGUUAUCCAUGGUUAAAACCAUAUAACUCUCACAAGCUAGAGUCCAACUCUAAACCAUGUGUGUUCUUAGGCUAUUCCAAUAAUCAAAGUGCUUAUUUUUGUCUUGAUUGCAACACUUCAAGGGUCUAUGUGUCUAGACAUGUAAAGUUUGUAGAAAAUGUUUAUCCUUUUAAGCAUCUUAAACUAGAAGAGUCCAUAACUCACUCCAACACCAUUGCUAAGUGUUUUCCUUCACCGAUACAAAUACAAACAUCUCUCACACCAUUGUCACUCAAUACGCUAUCUACUGUGGAAGACUCUCAUCAACUUCCUUGUGCAAAUCCUGAGACACCAACUCUCUCCACAACUACAACCACAAACCUACCCUCUCAUACCAUGACAACACGAGCCAAAAACAACAUCCACAAACUUCUCAGAAAAAUAAAUCUCCAUGCUCAACUAGCCAAAUCUGACAAAAUUGAACAUACCACAGUCAUUCAUGUAACUCAGUGCCAUCCAUAAUAAUCAUGUCUUCGUUCGCGUCAUAUGGAUUGUGCAAAGAAAGGUUCUCAAGGUCAGAUGUUACGUGGUGAGAUGCACCACUAUCAAGAAGCUAGUUUUGACUGUUGUUUGUUGCUGCUGCAUAAUUGGCUUUGGGCUGCCAUGGAGUGGUUGUGCUGGUGUUGGUAGGUUGGAUUGGUUGCAACUUGUAAGAUGUACACUUUUUGGCAGUGUGUCCUUGAAUCCUGCAGAGUUGGCAAAAGCCAAGGUAGGGAUGUUGUUGUCGAUUCAAAUUGUUGUUUUGAGAUUGUCCUGGAUUUCAAUUGGUAUUGGUUGAAAUUUGAUUGGCAUAGUUGUUACUAUUGCGCCAGUUGUUAUUGGUGCGAGUUGAAACAUGAGCAGUGAUGGGGAAGGCAGUUUGUGGUAUGGUGAUGUUGAUCGUGGCUUCAAAGUUGAGGAGUUUCUUAUGGAGUUCUUCAAAGGAGAUUGGAGUAUCUCUUGCUUGAACAGCUCUGACUAACUCUUUGUAGUCAUCACCAAGUGUCUCUAGGAUCUUAUCGGUGAGGUCAUCAUUAUCAAAUGGUGACCCAAGUAGAGCUAACUCAUCAGCUCGUGCCUUCACAUUUUGCAGAAAUUCAGUGAUUGAUUUAGGCCCUUUAGUCAUUUGUUUGAUUUGAUUUUUGACUUGCUUGAUUCGACCAUGUGAGGGUUUGGCAUAUGUGUUGGCAAGUGUGGUCCAAGCUUCUUGUGAUGUUUUGGUAUUAGCAAUAAACGGGAUUAUUGAAAUGCAAGUUAUGCAACCCAAGAGGGGGGGUGAAUUGGGAUUUUAAAUUUUAUGCAAUACAAUUCGCACAACAAUUUAAUCUACCGCCUUAAUCAAAUCAAAAACAAUAAAUUCAAUCAAGUACAAUAUUAAAAGAGUAAGGGAAGAGAAAACGAACACAAGGAUUUUUACGUGGUUCGGCUAUCCCCGCCUACGUCCACGCCUCCAAGCUCACCCGGCUUGAGGAUUUCACUAUCCAAGCCUCCCAAGGCUUCAAAUGUUUACAAUUGACUUCCAAGGUGUCAAUGAACCUUUACAACAAGAGAUUAUAUCCCCAAUCUCUUCACCCCAAGUGUUUCCCACACUUGUACACUCACAAAUUGAUGAGAAAUGAAAUUCACAACAAUAAAACUCUCUUUAAGAGUGAAUAACAAAUUAUAGCUCAAUGAUGAUUCAACAAAUGAUGAUUUACGAAAUGGAAGCUCAAUAUAUGUUAUAUGAUCUUAUAUUUGCUUGUGUUAGUUCUUAAAAUGAAGUUUGAGUUGAGUUUUUAUAGUGAAAGCCCAAAAACUAGCCGUUAUAGGCAAAUUCCAGCGCUCAAGCGGUUAGCCGCUUGAUUAUCCGGCUAGCCGCUCAGGAACAGUAAUAUUACCGUUAUUUUUGAAUUUUGCUACAGUACUACUGUUCACUAAAAUUACACUUUAGCCCAAAACGUUCUAUAAUUAUACUAUGGCCCAAAACGUCAGAAAACUUUGCAAAUAGGUCCAAUUUCAGAACUUCAUAAAAAUAGAUGUCUUUCUCAAACUUUCUGAAAUUAUGAUAUGACCCCAAAGAUUUUCUUAUUUCACACAAAGGUCAUUUUCAACAUAAUACCUAUAUUUUUCAAAGUUCUCAAAAUCUUUCACUUUAGUUCAAAAUAUUCAUAAAUUAUAGUAUGGCCCAAAAUAUUUAAAAUGUUUGUAAAAACAUCCAACUCCGAAAUUUGAUACUUAUUAAAAUCAAAGAUUUCAAAUCUUAACAUUUAAGUCCAAUUUUACUCAAAUCCACAAAAUACUUUACUUUAUAAAAAUAAAAUAUUUUAGUUUAUGAAAAGUAUUUAAUUAAAUUAAUUUCUUGAGCUUCUCAAAUGCUAAAUCAAACAUCAAUUAAAUCAUACCGGUUUUACAAGAAUUUAUUGCACUAAUUUGUUCGUUGAGCUCUAAACUAUUCUUGAUGUCGCCAUUGUCCGUUGAGUGUCUUCAAUCUUGAUUUCACUUGAUUUACUUGUAUAAAUAUUAUCCUUCAAAAACUAGUAAAAAUGUGAAAUACAAUAUUUAUUAAAUCACUCAAUACAUAUGUUUGUUAUCAUCAAAAUUACAUUAUGUAUAGCCCUUUAGGCUAACAAUUAUAGAGGGAGAGAUUGAUCCAAUGAUUGCAUUUUAAAUCAAUUGGUCUUGUCGGAUCUAGAGAGUAUAUGCAGGAUUUGGGGAUGUGGUGUUGUUGGCUGUUACAGUUGUAGAACGACAUGGUUUAGAGCCAUCUAUAUAUCCGAGGAGAUCAUAGCCAACGAAAAGUGUUUGGAACUGUAACUUCCAAGGUAGGUAAUUGGUGGUAGUUAAUUUGAAAGGAGUUUGAGCUGCGACAUUGAUGGUGAUGAGAGUGUUGUUGGAAUCAUUGGUGUUUCGGAUAGUAGUGUUUGAAAGAUUGCUUGCCAUUGCAAGAAUUCAGUAGAAAGAGGGAGAAGAGAAAAGAAAAAUGGAGAGCUUUAAUGCUCUGAUACCAUAACAGAGUAAAGGAUUUUGAGUGAAUACUUUUCCAUUGAUUGUAAGACUUUAUAUACAACAAUAUACAUAACAACAUUGCCUAUUUUAAGAGAUAAGAUAACAGGAAAAUAUUUUACAUUUGAAUGAAUUUGAAUGAGUAAACUAGAUAGUUCCCAUAUUCUAGGAGGAGAAUCUGCUGACAUAUCUAGUUUACUCAUUCAAACUCAAAAUCCUUUACUCUGUUAUAAUCUAGGUCUUUUAAUUAUCAUCUAACUAAUGCAUGUGCACUAGUUUCAUUUUUGUCUAUCACUGAAGAGUAAUGUUGCUUGGUUGAAUAGUGUCAUAUUACAUCACAGAAUUAAACUCACUUGAUUUUCAUUGCCACAUGUAGCUUAAAAGUGCAUGAACAUUAACCAUUCAUCUAACUUAUACUAAUUAAUCAAUACGAAUAUCAAUUCUUAGUACCCGGCAACAUCCAUCCAUUAGAGUGAAACUCCCAAUGAUUUCAUCUACACAAAAUAAAUAUCGUAUGUACUUUGAAUAUGAAGUUUCAGCACCUGAGAAAGCUAGCCAUUACUUACAUAUUGGAGCCAUCCACCCCGACAAGAAAUCCAUUAAUCUACGGUUAAUUUGACGCAAGGUAUGAUUUUGCAAUGGCCAAUUGUAUAUAGCCGUUUGGUAUUUCCAUAUUAUAUAUGCUCCUAAUGAAAAUGAAGCAAGUACAUAGUACUACUACUAUGACAUAAUUUUCAUGAUUGCCAACUGUCAAUACCAGCUACCUCUUAUACGUGCCUUAUUGAGCAUGGAAACACCUUAUGUUAUAAUUUCCGUUCACCAUAGAAUAAGUCCAGGGCCAUUAAUUCAACAAUUACCAAACCAAUAUCCCAACAAUGGUUUGAUUACUAAUCUCAGCAACAAAAGUUCUGCAAUUUUUAUUUGGCCAAAAUGAAUGUUUUCUUACUGCCUCCUUGAUCUUAUCCUACCUGAUGAUUCCUGAAUGUUCUUCUUAUUCUCUUAUGCUGAGUCGCUUAUUGAGAUGAAUACUCAGGGGUUCUUCCUCAAGAAAUUUCAGCAGACACCUGAUUCAUUUUAUCAAAUAUUAGCAUCACUAAUCACUAAAUGAUAUAAGAUAGUUCUGUUUUGAAAAAUCAAUAUAAAUCAAUUAACUUAGAUUUUCUUAGUCUUGGAGCACAAUGUGUGAUGAUUUGAUGAGAAAUAUUAAUAUGCAUGCAUCCCCCUGCGUUCAUUAGAGCUGCUUGACACUUUCUUCUUUCUUUCUUUUGGGUACUGUUUUAAAUUUUUAAAUUUUGAAUCAAUCAGAUUGAGUUGCAUGUUUGCUUUUAGUCCAAACUGAAAUCAGACAUUAAGUAUUUUUGCUAGAAUGAAUGCAACCAAGAUUCUAUGGGAUAUGUAUGAAGAUGUUGUAAUAAAGUGCUUUUGAUAAAUUUCCCUGGUCGGUUUGCUUCACUAACCAUUAACAAGCAAAUUCUCCCAAUGACCCUCAAACCCUUGUGCACAAUUAAAAUAAUUUCAAUUUUAUAUAUACAAAAUAAGAAACUCUCAAAUAUACUAUUUGAUAAUCACAAAAAUAACAAUUCACUCCAGUAAAUCACAUUACAUUCUAUAUUGCAAUUCUUUUUAGGAUAAAUUCAAAGAGAAGGACAUAUAAUUGAAUUUGGGACACAUAAUAUAUUCCCAAUUACCCUUGGCUGUGUUUACUUUCUGGGAGUGAGGAGUGUGGAUUCCUCUCACUCCAGUGUUUACUUCAACAAAUUGGGAAAUGAUUGGAAAUCCCACUUCGUGGGUCCCACCCAUUUUUGGAGUGGAGAGUGGGAGUGGGACUCCCAUGGGGAGAGGUGGAAAUGGAAAUCCACUCCCACCUCUCCAUUUUCUACCAUUU
rnacentral:lncRNA from 1 species